UUCUUCUUCCUCCCAAAAAAAUCACUAUCCAGCUCAAGCACGAGUUCUAGCUCAUUUUGCUGCGAUUUUCGAUCUCCUUGCUCAAAGCACCUCUCACAAAACUGCUUUGGGGGAUUGUUCCUUGGUAUGUGACUCCUCCAUUGGUCCAAUUAGUUUUUGUUCUAAUGCUUUAUUCAUUGCAAAUUUGUGCUGCCUAGGUGACCAUGUUCUUGAGCUUGCAUGUCAAAUUUAUAUGGUUCCAACUAGUUCUAAUGCAUGAUAUAGGCUCUAGGCACUUGUAGGAGUAGUUGCUAUCAAUUUUGUUGAGCUUGGUUCACUUUUAUUUGAAGUUACUAAAAAUUUCAGAAAUUUUUCAGAGGAAGAAAUAUGUUUAGGAAAAUGUACCAAGGUGGUUCUUCAAGGAAGCAAGGACCCAGGCUUGCAAUGCGUGAUGCUGAUGAUGAACCACCAAGGGACGCCCCAGUGCGGCCUUGUGAAUGGCCUUCAGAGGACUUCAUGGAUCGAGCAGGAAUUAAGGAAGAAUUUAACGCAUAUUUGCGUAACACCGAUCUUGUGAGCUUCGAGGCAGCCGUCAGUACCACUAUCUCACUUGUUCCUUUGUGAGGAGGUUUGAAUUUUCAUCUUCACGCAAUUCUCAAACUGUCCUGUUUGAUCUUUAUGAAAAUUCUUUUACUAUGGACUUAGAGGAUUUUACCACUGCUUGCAAACUUCCACAAUGGGGUAGUACUAGUGAACCUCGCAAAUCUGAAUUUAGAGAUUUUCUAGCUAGUAUAACUGUGGGGGAAUCUAGAGACAUAGCACAAGCUACCAUAGGGAGCAUUCAUUUUCCUGCUAUACAUUAUUUUGCUCUCUUCGUAGGUAGGUGCAUAAAUGGUAAGGAUGAAGCAUGUCACAUGUGUGUCCCUGACCUCAGUAUUCUUAGGAGUGCCGUGUUAGGAGAUAAAUCUUAUAAUUUGGGAGACAUUGUUGCACGCAAGUUGCAUCAUAAUAGAUUUAAUGGAGAUUUCUUUGGUGGAAUUUAUGCAACCCGUAUAGCUAAUUUUCUUGGUAUAACCAUACGUGAGGAUGAUAUUGAGUUGCCUCCUGCUUAUUUGGAUUAUGAGGCUAUGGUUCAUCAUCAUUUUGUUGAGAAGAACGAUCAGUUCCUCCAGUACCGACUAAUCUUUGACAGACGACGCACCUAUCACGUCGCUCUCCCUGCUUCUACUUUCUUUGACUUUUAGGCAAAAGGGAGAUAUUUUAUAACCAGAGAGGAGGCGGAAGAGUAUAAGAGGAGGGCUAAGAUAGCUCGCCUCCAAGCUGCAGCACACGAUGCAAUGACCGCUGCAUCUCAGUAUGACCCCAACUACAACUAUGGAUAUCCGCCAGGCCAUCCGUGGCAAUAAACCAACUUAGGCCAAAAGCCUAAGCUUGGGGGAGUACAUAUCUCUCCCCGACAUUACAUUCAUGUUCACACACUCAUUGCUAGAUGUCGGUGUUCAUACUCUUUCACUGUAAUAUCCAUGCUAGUUUAUUUUCUUUUUCUUGCUUUCUUCUUGUGUGUUUAAUAAACCUUAAGAAAACCAAAAAAAUAGUGUAGCUUUUAGUUAGUUUACUUUCUUGCUGUAGUAGUAAUAAUUAAAAAGAAAACCCAAAAAGAUUUCCCGUUCUUCUUUUGCUUGUUGAGAGCUUUCCCGUGUAAAUAGUUUUAUUUCUUUUCUUUUCUUUGGGGGUCGAUAGGAGAAGACCUUGAUUAAAUUGUUGAAGUGGCUCUUAUAUGCAUUAUUGUUGAUUUAACCAAGAGCCCAUAUUGCCUUGUCUUCUCCUGUUUAUUGAAUGCUCGCAGAUUCCAGCUUAGUCCAAUGCACGUGCACUCUUAUUAUUUUCACAUUGUUCGGUCGUGCAAGUGAAAGGCAAUUAUGACGAUAUAUGAUGGACUGACUGAGAUGAGAGAAGCUGGUAUGAACUCGACCUCUCUUGUUUUUGGAAAUAUGAUUAGUUCAUCGUUCCUGAUUCAGCCUAUUAUGAAUAAACAUGUUUGCAAUAACAAUUAGAGAUCAUAGUUGCUUAUGCCAUGCUUGAUUAGCUAUGAGUCAUAAUGGUUUACCUUGCGUGCCAACAUGCUAUUAAAAUGGUUGUGAUGUGGUAUGAUGGGGUGGUAUCCUCCUUUGAAUGAUUUAAGUGACUCGACUUGGCACAUGUUCACACAUGUAGUUGAAACAAAUCAACAUAGCCUUCACGAUAUUUAUGUUCAUGGUGGAUUAUAUCCUACUCAUGCUUGCACUCAAUGUUUAUUAAUUUUAAUGCAUGUUCAUGACUGUUGUUGCUCUCUAGUUGGUCGCUUCCCAGUCUUUUGCUAGCCUUCACUUGUACUAAGCGGGAAUACUGCUUGUGCAUCCAAUCCCUUAAACCCCAAAGUUAUUCCAUAUGAGUCCACUAUACCUUCCUAUAUGCAGUAUCUACCUGCCGUUCCAAGUAAAUUUGUAUGUGCCAAACUCUAAACCUUCAAAUGAAAUUCUGUUUUGUAUGCUCGAAAAGCUCAUGUAUCAACUAGGGCUGUCCGUAUCUUCCAUGCUAGGCAGGUUAUUCUCAAGAGGAGUGGACUCCACUCCUCACUCACGAGAAAAUGGCUGGUCACCGGGAUGCCCAGUCCCAUGCUUUAAGAAAAUCAAAUCAAAAUAAUUGCAAACAAAACUCUCCCUGGGACUGUUGUUAGUUGGAGGCACUCGUUGUUUCGAGCAAGCCAUGGAUUGAUGCUUGUUGGUGGAGGGGGAGUAUAAAAUUUACCAUUCUAUUUGGGAACCGCCUAUAAUGUGUGUAGCAUGGAAGAUAUCGCCAUCUCUUGGUUGUUAUGUUGACAAUGAAAGUAUGCCGCUCAAAAUAUUAUUUAUCUCUAUUUCAAAAACCGAGCUCUGGCACCUCUACAAAUCCCUCCUUCCCUCUGCGAAGGGCCUAUCUAUUUACUUUUAUGUUGAGUCAUCACCCUCUUAUUAAAAAGCACCAGCUAGAGAGCACUGCUGUCAUUUGCAUCCAUUAUUAUUAAUUUAUAUUGGGUACGACUAUGAUUGGAUCUCUUUUGCCAUGAAUUACAAUGUCUAGUCAGUCCUUGAUCUUUAAAGCUGCUCUGCAUUUAUGUUUUGCGGUCUCAGAAAGGGCUAGCGAGAUACCAUCCUGUUAUAUCAUAUUAUGAUUGUUUUGAGAAAGUGUUGUCAUCCGAGAUUUAUUAUUAUUGCUCGCUAGUUGAUUAUGUCAUUGAUGUGAUUAAACAUGAGACCUAAGAGUUAUUGUUAAUGUGGUUAGUCAUAAUCUUUGCUGAAAACUUGAAUGCUGGCUUUACAUAUUUACGACAACAAGAGCAAACAGAGUUUGUAAAAGUUUUUCUUUAUCACUUUCAGUUUAUCAACUGAAUUGCUUGAGGACAAGCAAAGGUUUAAGCUUGGGGGAGUUGAUACGUCUCCGUCGUAUCUACUUUUCCAAACACUUUUGCCCUUGUUUUGGACUCUAACUUGCAUGAUUUGAAUGGAACUAACCCGGACUGACGCUGUAUUCAGCAGAAUUGCCAUGGUGUUAUUUAUGUGCAGAAACAAAAGUUCUCAGAAUGACCUGAAACUCCACGGAACAUAUUUUUGGAAAAUAUUAAAAAUACUGGAAGAAGAAUCCACGUCAGGGGGCCUCCACCAGUCCACGAGGGUGGGGGGCGCGCCUGCCCCCUGGGCGCGCCCCCUGCCUCGUGAGCCCCCUGACGCUCCACCGACCUCAACUCCAACUCCAUAUAUUCACUUUCGGGGAUAAAAAAAUCAGGGAGAAAGAUUCAUCGCGUUUUACGAUACGGAGCCGCCGCCAAGCCCUAAACUCUCUCGGGAGGGCUGAUCUGGAGUCCGUUCGGGGCUCCGAAGAGGGGAAUCCUUCGCCGUCGUCAUCAUCAACCAUCCUCCAUCACCAAUUUCAUGAUGCUCACCGCCGUGCGUGAGUAAUUCCAUCGUAGGCUUGCUCGACGGUGAUGGGUUGGAUGAGAUUUAUCAUGUAAUCGAGUUAGUUUUGUUAGGGUUUGAUCCCUAGUAUCCACUAUGUUCUGAGAUUGAUGUUGCUAUGACUUUGCUAUGCUUAAUGCUUGUCACUAGGGCCCGAGUGCCAUGAUUUCAGAUCUAAACCUAUUAUGUUUUCAUGAAUAUAUGUGAGUUCUUGAUCCUAUCUUGCUAGUCUAUAGUCACCUACUAUGUGUUAUGAUCCGGCAACCCCGAAGUGACAAUAAUCGGGACCACUCCCGGUGAUGACUGUAGUUUGAGGAGUUCAUGUAUUCACUAUGUGUUAAUGCUUUGGUCCGGUACUCUAUUAAAAGGAGGCCUUAAUAUCCCUUAGUUUCCGUUAGGACCCCGCUGCCACGAGAGGGUAGGACAAAAGAUGUCAUGCAAGUUCUUUUCCAUAAGCACGUAUGACUAUAUUCGAAAUACAUGCAUACAUUACAUUGAUGAAUUGGAGCUAGUUCCGUGUCACCCUAUGUUAUGAUUGUUACAUGAUGAACCGCAUCCGGCAUAAUUCUCCAUCACCGAUCCAAUGCCUACGAGCUUUUCACAUAUUGUUCUUUGCUUAUUUACUUUUCCGUUGCUACUGUUACAAUCACUACAAAACCCAAAAAUAUUACUUUUGCUAUCGUUACCGUUACUUCCAUACUACUUUGCUAUUAAAUACUUUGCUGUAGAUAUUAAGUUAUCCAGGUGUGGUUGAAUUGACAACUCAACUGCUAAUACUUGAGAAUAUUCUUUGGCUCCCCUUGUGUCGAAUCAAUAAAUUUGGGUUGAAUAUACCCUCAAAAACUGUUGCGAUCCCCUAUACUUGUGGGUUAUCAGCGUAGCACAGGAAGACGUUUCUGUGGUGCCUGCACCGACUAGAGAGGAAGUUAAUGAUGAUGAUCAUGAAACUUCGGAUCAAGUUGGUACUGAACUUCGUAGGUCCACAAGGACACGUUCCGCACCAGAGUGGUACGGCAACCCUGUCCUGGAAAUCAUGUUGUUAAACAAUGGUGAACCUUUGAACUAUGAAGAAGCGAUGGCGGGCCCAGGUUCCGACAAAUGGCUUGAAGCCAUGAAAUCCGAGAUAGGAUCCAUGUAUGAAAACGAAGUAUGGACUUUGACUGACUUGCCCGAUGAUCGGCGAGCCAUAGAAAAUAUAUGGAUCUUUAAGAAGAAGACAGACGCGGAUGGUAAUGUGACCAUCGAUAAGGCUUGGCUUGUCGCUAAGGGUUAUCGACAAGUUCAAGGGGUUGACUAUGAUGAUACCUUCUCACCCGUAGCGAAGCUGAAGUCCGUCUGAAUCAUGUUAGCAAUUGCCGCAUUCUAUGAUUAUGAGAUAUGGCAAAUGGACGUCAAAACGGCAUUCCUUAAUGGUUUCCUUAAGGAAGAAUUGUAUAUGAUGCAGCCGGAAGGUUUUGUCGAUCCUAAGAAUGCUGACAAGGUAUGCAAGCUCCAGCGCUCAAUCUAUGGGAUGGUGCAAGCAUCUCGGAGUUGGAACAUUCGCUUUGAUGAGAUGAUCAAAGCGUUUGGGUUUACACAGACUUAUGGAGAAGCCUGUGUUUACAAGAAAGUGAGUGGGAGCUCUGUAGCAUUUCUCAUAUUGUAUGUGGAUGACAUACUAUUAAUGGGAAAUGAUAUAGAAUUCUUGGAAAGCAUAAAGGCCUACUUGAAUAAGUGUUUUUCAAUGAAGGACCUUGGAGAAGCUGCUUAAAUAUUAGGCAUCAAGAUCUAUAUAGAUAGAUCGAGACGCCUCAUUGGUCUUUCACAAAGCACAUACCUUGACAAGAUAUUGAAGAAGUUCAAUAUGGAUCAGUCCAAGAAGGGGUUCUUGCCUGUAUUGCAAGGUAUGAGAUUGAGCACGGCUCAAUUCCCGACCACGGCAGAAGAUAGAGAAAAGAUGAGUGUCAUCCCCUAUGCCUCAGCCAUAGGGUCUAUUAUGUAUGCCAUGCUGUGUACCAGACCUGAUGUGAACCUUGCCGUAAGUUUAGUAGGAAGGUACCAAAGUAAUCCCGGCAUGGAACACUGGACAGUGGUCAAGAAUAUCCUGAAGUACCUGAAAAGGACUAAGGAUAUGUUUCUCGUUUAUGGAGGUGACGAAGAGCUCGUCGUAAAGGGUUAUGUCGAUGCUAGCUUCGACACAAAUCUGGAUGACUCCAAGUCGCAGACCGGAUACGUGUAUAUUUUGAAUGGUGGGGCAGUCAGCUGGUGCAGUUGCAAGCAAAGCGUCGUGGCGAGAUCUACAUGUGAAGCGGAGUACAUGGUAGCGUCGGAGGCAGCACAUGAAGCAAUCUAGAUGAAGGAGUUCAUUACCGACCUAGGAGUUAUUCCCAAUGCGUCGGGCCCGAUGACUCUAUUCUGUGACAACACUGGAGAUAUUGCCGUUGCCAAGGAGCCCAGGUUUCACAAGAAGACCAGGCAUAUCAAGCGUCGCUUCAACUCCAUUCGUGAAAAUGCUCAAGAUGGAGACAUAGAUAUUUGUAAAGUGCAUACGGAUCUGAAUGUCGCAGAUCCGUUGACUAAACCUCUUCCACGAGCAAAACAUGAUCGACACCAGAACUCUAUGGGUGUUCGAUUCAUCACAAUGUAACUAGAUUAUUGACUCUAGUGCAAGUGGGAGACUGUUGGAAAUAUGCCCUAGAGGAAAUAAUAAAAUGGUUAUUAUUAUAUUUCCUUGUUCAUGAUAAUUGUCUAUUGUUCAUGCUAUAAUUGUGUUAUCCGGAAAUCGUAAUAAAUGUGUGAAUACAUAGACCACAACAUGUCCCUAGUGAGCCUCUAGUUGACUAGCUCGUUGAUCAAUAGAUGGUUACGGUUUCCUGACCAUGGACAUUGGAUGUCGUUGAUGAAGGAAAUAUGCCCUAGAGGCAAUAAUAAAGUUAUUAUUUAUUUCCUUAUAUCAUGAUAAAUGUUUAUUAUUCAUGCUAGAAUUGUAUUAACCGGAAACAUAUUGUGUGAAUACAUAGACAAACAGAGUGUCACUAGUAUGCCUCUACUUGACUAGCUCGUUGAUCAAAGAUGGUAAUGUUUCCUAGCCAUUGACAUGAGUUGUCAUUUGAUUAACGGGAUCGCAUCAUUAGGAGAAUGAUGUGAUUGACUUGACCCAUUCCUUUAGCUUAGCACACGAUCAUUUAGUAUUCUGCUAUUGCUUUCUUCAUGACUUAUACAUGUUCCUAUGACUAUGAGAUUAUGCAACUCCCGUUUACCGGAGGAACACUUUGUGUGCUACCAAACGUCACAACGAAACUGGGUGAUUAUAAAGGUUCUCUACAGGUGUCUCCGAAGGUACUUGUUGGGUUGGCGUAUUUCGAGAUUAGGAUUUGUCACUCCGAUUGUCGGAGAGGUAUCUCUAGGCCCACUCGGUAAUGCACAUCACUAUAAGCCUUGCAAGCAUUGCAACUAAUGAGUUAGUUGAAGGAUGAUGUAUUACAGAACGAGUAAAGAGACUUGCCGGUAACGAGAUUGAACUAGGUAUUGAGAUACCGACGAUCGAAUCUCGGGCAAGUAACAUACCGAUGAUAAAGGGAACAACGUAUGUUGUUAUGCGGUCUGACCGAUAAAGAUCUUCGUAGAAUAUGUGGGAACCAAUAUGAGUAUCCAGGUUCCGCUAUUGGUUAUUGACCGGAGAUGUGUCUCGGUCAUGUCUACAUAGUUCUCGAACCCGUAGGGUCCGCACGCUUAAAGUUUGAUGACGGUUAUAUUAUGAGUUUAUGUGUUUUGAUGUACCGAAGAUAGUUUGGAAUCCAGGAUGUGAUCACGGACAUGACGAGGAGUCUCGAAAUGGUCGAGACAUAAAGAUUGAUAUAUUGGAAGCCUAUAUUUGGAUAUCGGAAGUGUUCCGGGUGAAAUCAGGAUUUUACCGGAGUACCGGGGGUUACCGGAAACCCCCCCGGGGGUUUAAUGGGCCUACAUGGGCCAUAGUGGAGAAGAGGAGGGGCGGCCAGGGCAGGCCGCGCGCCCCCUCCCCCUCAAGUCCGAAUUGGACAAGGAGGGGGGGCGCCCCCCUUUCCUUCCUCUCUCCCUCCUCCUUCCCCCUUCUCCUACUCCAACUAGGAAAGGAGGGAGUCCUACUCCCGGUGGGAGUAGGACUCCUCCUGGCGCGCCUCCUCCUGGCCGGCCGCCUCUCCCUCCCUUGCUCCUUUAUAUACAGGGGCAGGGGGUGUUGGAAAUAUGCCCUAGAGGCAAUAAUAAAAUGGUUAUUAUUGUAUUUCCUUGUUCAUGAUAAUUGUCUGUUGUUCAUGCUAUAAUUGUAUUAACUGGAAACCGUAAUACAUGUGUGAAUACAUAGACCACAACAUGUCCCUAGUAAGCCUCUAGUUGACUAGCUCGUUGAUCAAUAGAUGGUUAUGGUUUCCUGACCAUGGACAUUGGAUGUCAUUGAUAACGGGAUCACAUCAUUAGGAGAAUGAUGUGAUGGACAAGACCCAAUCCUACGCAUAGCACAAGAUCGUGUAGUUCGUUUGCUAGAGCUUUUCUAAUGUCAAGUAUCAUUUCCUUAGACCAUGAGAUUGUGCAACUCCAGGAUACCGUAGGAAUGCUUUGGGUGUACCAAACGUCACAACGUAACUGGGUGGCUAUAAAGGUGCACUACAGGUAUCUCCGAAAGUGUCUGUUGGGUUGGCACGAAUCGAGACUGGGAUUUGUCACUCCGUAUGACGGAGAGGUAUCUCUGGGCCCACUCGGUAAUGCAUCAUCAUAAUGAUCUCAAUGUGACCAAGUGUUUGGUCACGGGAUCAUGCAUUACGAUACGAGUAAAGUGACUUGCCGGUAACGAGAUUGAACAAGGUAUUGGGAUACCGAUGAUCGAAUCUCGGGCAAGUAACGUACCGAUUGACAAAGGGAAUUGUAUACGGGAUUGAUUGAAUCCUCGACAUCGUGGUUCAUCCGAUGAGAUCAUCGUGGAACAUGUGGGAGCCAACAUGGGUAUCCAGAUCCCGCUGUUGGUUAUUGACCGGAGAGUCGUCUCGGUCAUGUCUGCAUGUCUUCCGAACCCGUAGGGUCUACACACUUAAGGUUCGGUGACGCUAGGGUUGUAGAGAUAUUAGUAUGCGGAAAUCCGAAAGUCGUUCGGAGUCCCGGAUGAGAUCCCGGACGUCACGAGGAGUUCCGGAAUGGUCCGGAGGUAAAGAUUUAUAUAUGGGAAGUCCUAUUUUGGCCACCGGAAAAUGUUCGGGAUUUUUCGGUAUUGUACCGGGAAGGUUCUAGAAGGUUCGGAAGUGGGGCCCACCUGCAUGGGGGGACCCACAUGAACGUGGGUAGUGGGGGCAAGGCCCCACACCCCUGGUCAAGGCGCACCAAGAUCCCACCUUAGAAGGAAUAAGAUCAUAUCCCGAAGGGAUAAGAUCAAGAUCCCUAAAAAAGGGGGAUAACAAUCGGUGGGGAAGGGAAAUGAUGGGAUUUCUUUCCCCCACCUUUGCCAACGCCCCAAUGGACUUGGAGGGCAAGAAACCAGCCCCCUCCACCCCUAUAUAUAGUGGGGAGGCGCAUGGGAGCAGCACCCCAAGCCCUGGCGCCUCCCUCCCUCCCGUGACACCUCUUCCUCCCCGCUUGCGCUUGGCGAAGCCCUGGCGCCUCCCUCCCUCCCGUGACACCUCUUCCUCCCCGCUUGCGCUUGGCGAAGCCCUGCCGGGAUCCCGCUACUUCCACCACCACGCCGUCGUGCUGCUGGAUCUCCAUCAACUUCUCCUCCCCCCUUGCUGGAUCAAGAAGGAGGAGACGUCCCCGCUCCGUAUGUGUGUUGAACGCGGAGGUGCCGUCCGUUCGGCGCUAGGAUCAUCGGUGAUUUGGAUCACGACGAGUACGACUCCAUCAACCCCGUUCUCUUGAACGCUUCCGCUCGCGAUCUACAAGGGUAUGUAUAUGUACUCCUCCCCUCUCGUUGCUAGCAUCUCCUAGAUUGAUCUUGGUGACACGUAGGAAAUUUUUGAAUUUCUGCUACGUUCCCCAAGAGUGGCAUCAUGAGCCAGGUCUAUGCGUAGAUUCUAUGCACGAGUAGAACACAAAGUAGUUGUGGGCGAUGAUUUGUUCAAUUUGCUUGCCAUUACUAGUCUUAUCUUGAUUCGGCAGCAUUGUGGGAUGAAGCGGCCCGGACCGACCUUACACGUACUCUUACGUGAGACAGGUUCCACCGACUGACAUGCACUUGAUGCAUAAGGUGGCUAGCGGGUGUCUGUCUCUCCCACUUUAGUUGGAUCAGAUUUGAUGAAAAGGGUCCUUAUGAAGGGUAAAUAGCAAUUGGCAUAUCACCGUUGUGGCUUUUGCGUAGGUAAGAAACGUUCUUGCGAGAAACCCAUAGCAGCCACGUAAAACAUGCAACAACAAUUAGAAGACGUCUAACUUGUUUUUGCAGGGUAUGCUAUGUGAUGUGAUAUGGCCAAAAGGAUGUGAUGAAUUAUAUAUGUGAUGUAUGAGAUUGAUCAUGUUCUUGUAAUAGGAAUCACGACUUGCAUGUCGAUGAGUAUGACAACCGGCAGGAGCCAUAGGAGUUGUCUUAAUUUAUUGUAUGACCUGCGUGUCAAUGAAAACGCCAUGUAAUUACUUUACUUUAUUGCUAACCGUUAGCCAUAGUAGUAGAAGUAAUAGUUGGCGAGACAACUUCAUGAAGACACGAUGAUGGAGAUCAUGAUGAUGGAGAUCAUGGUGUCAUGCCGGUGAUGAAGGUGAUCAUGCCGCGCCUCGAAGAUGGAGAUCAAAGGCGCAAGAUGAUAUUGGCCAUAUCAUCUCACUUUAUGAUUUGCAUGUGAUGUUUGUCAUGUUUACAUCUUAUUUGCUUAGAACGACGGUAGCAUAAAUAAGAUGAUCCCUCACUAAAAUUUCAAGAGAUGUGUUCCCCCUAACUGUGCACCGUUGCGAAGGUUCGUUGUUUCGAAGCACCACGUGAUGAUCGGGUGUGAUAGAUUCUAAUGUUCGCAUACAACGGGGGUUGACGAGCCUAGCAUGUACAGACAUGGCCUCGGAACACAAGCAAAACACUUAGGUUGACUUGACGAGCUUAGCAUGUACAGACAUGGCCUCGGAACACAAGAGACUGAAAGGUCGAACAUGAGUCGUAUAGUAGAUACGGUCAACAUGGAGAUGUUCACCGAUGAUGACUAGUCCGUCUCACGUGAUGAUCGGACACGGCCUAGUCGAUUCGGAUCAUGUAUCACUUAGAUGACUAGAGGGAUGUCUAUCUAAGUGGGAGUUCAUUAAAUAAUCAGAUGAACUUAAUUAUCAUGAACAUAGUCAAAAGGUCUUUGCAAAUAAUGUCGUAGUUUACGCUUUAGUUCUACUAAGAUAUGUUCCUAGAGAAAAUUUAGUUGAAAGUUGAUAGUAGCAAUUAUGCGGACUGGGUCCGUAAACUGAGGAUUGUCCUCAUUGCUGCACAGAAGGCUUAUGUCCUUAAUGCACCGCUCGGUGUGCUGAACCUCGAGCGUCGUUUGUGGAUGUUGCGAACAUCUGACAUACACGUUUUGAUGACUACGUGAUAGUUCAGUGCGUAAUGUUGAACGGUUUAAAAUUGUGGCACCAAAGACGGUUUUGAAACGUCGCAGAACAUAUGAGAUGUUCCAAGGACUGAAAUUGGGAUUUCAUACUAGUGCCCACGUCAAGAGGUAUGAGACCUCUGACAAGUUUCUUAAGCCUGCAAACUAAGGGAGAAAAGCUCAAUCGCUGAGCAUGUGCUCAGAUUGUCUGAGUACUACAAUCACUUGAAUCGAGCGGGAGUUAAUCUUCCAGAUGAGAUAGUGAUGGUUCUCCAUAGUCACUGCCACCAAGCUAUUAGAGCUUCGUGAUGAACUAUAACAUAUCAGGGAUAGACAUGAUGAUCCUUGAGCAACUCGCGAUGUUUGACACCGCGAAAGUAGAAAUCAAGUAGGAGCAUCAAUUGUUGAUGGUUAGUAAAACCACUAGUUUCUAGAAGGGCAAGGGCAAGAAGGGAUACUUCAUGAAACGGCAAAUCAGUUGCUGCUCUAGUGAAGAAACCCAAGGUUGAACCCAAACCCGAGACUAAGUGCUUCUGAAAUGAGGGGAAUGGUCACUGAAGCAGAACUACCCUAGAUACUUCGUAGAUGAGAAGGCUGGCAAGGUCGACAGAAGUAUAUUGGAUAUACAUUAUAUUAAUGUGUACUUUACUAGUACUCCUAGUAGCACCAGGGUAUUAGAUACCGGUUCGGUUGCUAAGUGUUAGUGACUCGAAAUAAAAGCUGCGGAAUAAACGGAGACUAGCUAAAGGUGAGAUGACGAUAUGUGUUUCCAAGGUUGAUGUGAUCAAGCAUCGCAUGCUCCCUCUACCAUCGAGAUUGGGGUUAAACCUGAAUAAUUGUUAUUUGGUGGUUGCGUUAAGCAUAGACAUGAUUGGAUUAUGUUUAUCGCAAUACGGUUAUUCAUUAAAGGAGAAUAAUGGUUACUCUGUCUAUUUGAAUAAUACCUUCAAUGGUCUUGCACCUAAAAUGAAUGGUUUAUUGAAUCUCGAUCGUAGUGAUACACAUGUUCAUGCCAAAAGAUAUAAGAUAGUAAUGAUAGUACCACAUACUUGUGGCACUGCCACUUGAGUCAUAUUGGUAUAAAACGCAUGAAGAAGCUCCAUGUUGAUGGAUCUUUGGACUCACUCGUUUUUGAAAAGAUUGAGACAUGCGAACCAUGUCUAUUAGUAUAUAUGCAUGAAGAAAGUCCAUACAGAUGGAUCAUUUGGACUCACUUGAUUUUGAAUCACUUGAGACAUGCAAAUCAUACCACAUGGGCAAGAUGACUGAAAUGCCUCGUUUUCAGUAAGAUGGAACGAGAGCAACUUGUUGGAAGUAAUACAUUUGAUGUGUGCAGUCCAAUGAGUGCUGAGGCACGCAGUGGAUAUCGUUAUGUUCUUACUUCACAGAUGAUUUGCGUAGAUGCUGAGAAUAUUUACUUGAUGAAACACAAGUCUGAAUUAUUGAAAGGUUCAAGUAAUUUCAGAGUGAAGUUGAAGAUCGUCGUGACAAGAGGAUAAAAUGUCUGUGAUAUGAUCAUAGAGAUGAAUAUCUGAGUUACGAGUUUGCACACAAUUAAGAAAUUGUGGAAAUUGUUUCACGACUAAUACCGCCUGGAACACCAUAUUGUGAUGGUGUGUCCGAACAUCAUAACUGCACCCUAUUGGAUAUGGUGCAUACCAUGAUGUCUCUUAUCGAAUUACAACUAUCGUUUAUGGGUUAGGCAUUAGAGACAACCGCAUUCACUUUAAAUAGGGCACCACGCAAUUCCGUUAAGACGACACCGUAUGAACUGUGGUUUAGAGAAACCUAAGCUGUCGUCUCUUAAAAGUUUGGGGCUGCGACGCUUAUGUGAAAAAGUUUCAGGCUGAUAAGCUCGAACCAAGCGGAUAAAUGCAUCUUCAUAGAAUACCCAAAAAAGUUGGGUAUACCUCCUAUUUCAGAUCUGGAAGAAAAAGUGAUUGUUUCUAGAAACGGGUCCUUUCUCGAGGAAAAGUUUCUCUCGAAAGAAUUGAGUGGGAGGAUGGUGGAGACUUGAUGAGGUCAUUGAACCGUCACUUCAACUAAUGUGUAGCAGGGCACAGGAAGUUGUUCCUGUGGCACCUACACCAAUUGAAGUGGAAGCUUAUGAUAGUGAUCAUGAAACUUCAGAUCAAGUCACUACCAAACCUCAUAGGACGACAAGGAUGCAUACUACUUCAGAGUGGUACGUAAUCCUGUCUUGGAAGUCAUGUUGCUAGACAACAAUGAACCUACGAGCUAUGGAGAAGCGAUGGUGGGCCCGGAUUCCGACGAAUGGCUUGAGGCCAUAAAAUCCGAGAGGAUCCAUGUAUGAAAACAAAGUAUAGACUUUGAAAGAACUACUUGAUGGUCGUAAGGCUGUUGGGUACAGAUGGAUUUUAAAGGGAAGACAGACAAUGAUGGUAAGUGUCACCAUUAAGAAAGCUCGACUUGUCGUUAAGAUGUUUUCCGGCAAGUUCAAGGAGUUGACUGCGAUGAGACUUUCUCACUCGUAGCGAUGCUAAGAGUCUGUUAGAAUUAUAUUAGCAGUUACUGCAUUAUUUAUGAAAUCUUGCAGAUAGGAUGUCAAAACAUUGUUUCCUCGACGAUUUUCUUGAGGAAAGGUUGUAUGUGAUACAACCAGAAGGUUUUGUCAAUCCUGAAAGAUGCUAACAAGUAUGCAAAGCUCCAGCAAUCCUUCUAAGGAUUGGAGUAAGCAUCUCGGAGUUGGAAUGAACGCUUUGAUGAGAUGAUCAAAGAUUUUGGGUUUAUACAAGGUUCGUGAGAAACUUGUAUUUCCAAAGAAGUGAGUGGGAGCACUAUAGAAUUUUUGAUGAGUAUAUGUUGUUAACAUAUUGUUGAUCGGAAAUGAUGUAGAAUUUCUGGAAAGCAUCCAGGGUUAUUUGAAAAGUGUUUUUUAAUGGAAAACCUGGAUUAAGCUACUUGAACAUUGAGCAUCAAGAUCUAUAAGGAUAGAUCAAAAAACGCUUAAUAGUACUUCCAAAUGAAUACAUACCGUGACAAGAUUUUGAGGGAGUUCAAAAUAGAUCAGCAAAGAAGGAAUUCUUGGCCGUGUUACAAGGUGUGAGUAUUGAGUAAGACUCAAGACCUGACCACGGCAGAAGAGAGAGAAAGGACGAAGGUCGUCCCCUAUGCUUUAGACGUAGGCUCUACAGUAUGCUAUGCUGUGUACCGCACCUGAAGUGUGCCUUGCCAUGUGUUAGUCAAGGGGUACAAUAGUGAUCCGGGAAUGGAUCACAUGACUGCGGUCGAACUUAUCCUUAGUAUCUAGUGGACUAAGGAAUUUUCUCGAUUAUGGAGGUGGUAAAACAGUUCGUCGUAAAGGGUUACGUCGAUGCAAACUUUGACACUAAUCCGGAUGACUCUGAGUAGUAAACCGGAUUCGUAUAGUAGAGCAGUUAUUUGGAAUAGCUCCAAGUAGCGCGUGGUAGCUACAUCCACAAGAUGACAUAGAGAUUUGUAAAGCACACACGGAUCUUAAUGUUGCAGACCCGUUGACUAAAACCUCUCUCGUAAGCAUAACAUGAUCAAACCCUAGAACUCAUUGAGUGUUAAUCACAUGGUGAUGUGGACUAGAUUAUUGACUCUAGUGAACUUUGAGUGUUAAUCACAUGGUGAUGUGAACUAGAUUAUUGACUCUAGUGCAAGUGGGAGACUGUUGGAAAUAUGCCCUAGAGGCAAUAAUAAAAUGGUUAUUAUUGUAUUUCCUUGUUCAUGAUAAUUGUAUGUUGUUCAUGCUAUAAUUGUAUUAACUGGAAACCGUAAUACAUGUGUGAAUACAUAGACCACAACAUGUCCCUAGUAAGCCUCUAGUUGACUAGCUUGUUGAUCAAUAGAUGGUUAUGGUUUCCUGACCAUGGACAUUGGAUGUCAUUGAUAACGGGAUCACAUCAUUAGGAGAAUGAUGUGAUGGACAAGACCCAAUCCUAAGCAUAGCACAAGAUCGUGUAGUUUGUUUGCUACAGCUUUUCUAAUGUCAAGUAUCAUUUCCUUAGAACAUGAGAUUGUGCAACUCCCGGAUACCGUAGGAAUGCUUUGGGUGUACCAAACGUCACAACGUAACUGGGUGGCUAUAAAGGUACACUACAGGUAUCUCCGAAAGUGUCUGUUAGGUUGGCACGAAUCGAGACUGGGAUUUGUCACUCCGUAUGACGGAGAGGUAUCUCUGGGCCCACUCGAUAAUGCAUCAUCAUAAUGAGCUCAAUGUGACCAAGUGUUUGGUCACGGGAUCAUGCAUUACGGUACGAGUAAAGUGACUUGCCAGUAACGAGAUUGAACAAGGUAUUGGGAUACCGACGAUCGAAUCUCGGGCAAGUAACGUACCGAUUGACAAAGGGAAUUGUAUACGGGAUUGAUUGAAUCCUCGACAUCGUGGUUCAUCCGAUGAGAUCAUCGUGGAACAUGUGGGAGCCAACAUGGGUAUCCAGAUCCCGCUGUUGGUUAUUGACCGGAGAGUCGUCUUGGUCAUGUCUGCAUGUCUCCCGAACCCGUAGGGUCUACACACUUAAGGUUCGGUGACGCUAGGGUUGUAGAGAUAUUAGUAUGCGGAAAUCCGAAAGUUGUUCGGAGUCCCGGAUGAGAUCCCGGACGUCACGAGGAGUUCCGGAAUGGUCCGGAGGUAAAGAUUUAUAUAUGGGAAGUCCUAUUUUGGCCACCGGAAAAUGUUCAGGAUUUUUCGGUAUUGUACCGGGAAGGUUCUAGAAGGUUCGGAAGUGGGGCCCACCUGCAUGGGGGGACCCACAUGAACGUGGGUAGUGGGGGCAAGGCCCCACACCCCUGGUCAAGGCGCACCAAGAUCCCACCUUAGAAGGAAUAAGAUCAUAUCCCGAAGGGAUAAGAUCAGGAUCCCUAAAAAAGGGGGAUAACAAUCGGUGGGGAAGGGAAAUGAUGGGAUUUCUUUCCCCCACCUUUGCCAACGCCCCAAUGGACUUGGAGGGCAAGAAACCAGCCCCCUCCACCCCUAUAUAUAGUGGGGAGGCGCAUGGGAGCAGCACCCCAAGCCCUGGCGCCUCCCUCCCUCCCGUGACACCUCUUCCUCCCCGCUUGCGCUUGGCGAAGCCCUGGCGCCUCCCUCCCUCCCGUGACACCUCUUCCUCCCCGCUUGCGCUUGGCGAAGCCCUGCCGGGAUCCUGCUACUUCCACCACCACGCCGUCAUGCUGCUGGAUCUCCAUCAACUUCUCCUCCCCCCUUGCUGGAUCAAGAAGGAGGAGACAUCCCCGCUCCGUACGUGUGUUGAAUGCGGAGGUGCCGUCCGUUCGGCGCUAGGAUCAUCGGUGAUUUGGAUCACGACGAGUACGACUCCAUCAACCCCGUUCUCUUGAACGCUUCCGCUCGCGAUCUACAAGGGUAUGUAGAUGCACUCCUCCCCUCUCGUUGCUAGCAUCUCCUAGAUUGAUCUUGGUGACACGUAGGAAAAUUUUGAAUUUCUGCUACGUUCCCCAAGAGGGGGCACCCCAUAGACACAACAAUUGAUCUCUUAGCCGUGUGCGGUGCCCCCCUCCACCAUAAUCCACCUCGAUAAUAUCGUAGCGGUGCUUAGGCGAAGCCCUGCGUCGGUAGAACAUCAUCAUCGUCACCACGCCUCAUGCUGACGGAACUCUCCCUCAAAGCUUGGCUGGAUCGGAGUUCGAGGGACAUCAUCGAGCUGAACGUGUGCUGAACUCGGAGGUGCCGUGCGUUCGGUACUUGAUCGGUCGGAUUAUGAACACGUACGACUACAUCAACCGCGUUGUGCUAACGCUUCCGCUUUCGGUCUACGAGGGUACGUGGACAACACUCCCCCCUCUCGUUGCUAUGCAUCACCAUGAUCCUGUGUGUGCGUAGGAAAUUUUUUGAAAUUAGUACGUUCCCCAACAGUGGAAUCCGAGCCAGGUUUUAUGCGUAGAUGUUAUAUGCACGAGUAGAACACAAGUGAGUUGUGGGCGAUAUAAGUCAUACUGCUUACUUGCAUGUCAUACUUUGGUUCGGCGGUAUUGUUGGAUGAAGCGGCCCGGACCGACAUUACGCGUACGCUUACGCGAGACUGGUUCUACCGACGUGCUUUGCACACAGGUGGCUGGCGGGUGUCAGUUUCUCCAACUUUAGUUGAACCGAGUGUGGCUACGCCCGGUCCUUGAGAAGGUUAAAACAGCACUAACUUGACAAACUAUCGUUGUGUUUUUGAUGCGUAGGUAAGAACAGUUCUUGCUCAGCCCGUAGCAGCCACGUAAAACUUGCAACAACAAAGUAGAGGACGUCUAACUUGUUUUUGCAGGGCAUGUUGUGAUGUGAUAUGGUCAAGGCAUGAUGCUAUAUUUUAUUGUAUGAGAUGAUCAUGUUUUGUAACCGAGUUAUCGGCAACUGGCAGGAGCCAUAUGGUUGUUGCUUUAUUGUAUGCAAUGCAAUCGCCCUGUAAUGCUUUACUUUAUCACUAAGCGGUAGCGAUAGUCGUAGAAGCAUAAGUUGGCGAGACAACAACUAUGCUACGAUGGAGAUAAAGGUGUCGCGCCGGUGACGAUGGUGAUCAUGACGGUGCUUCGGAGAUGGAGAUCACAAGCACAAGAUGAUGAUGGCCAUAUCAUAUCACUUAUAUUGAUUGCAUGUGAUGUUUAUCUUUUAUGCAUCUUAUCUUGCUUUGAUUGACGGUAGCAUUAUAUGAUGAUCUCUCACUAAAUUAUCAAGGUAUAAGUGUUCUCCCUGAGUAUGCAUCAUUGCGAAAGUUCUUCGUUCUGAGACACCACAUGAUGACCGGGUGUGAUAGGCUCUACGUUCAAAUACAACGGGUGCAAAACAGUUGCACACGCGGAAUACUCAGGUUAAAAUUGACGAGCCUAGCAUAUGCAGAUAUGGCCUCGGAACACUGAGACUGAAAGGUCGAGCGUGAAUCAUAUAGUAGAUAUGAUCAACAUAGUGAUGUUCACCAUUGAACUACUCCAUCUCACAUGAUGAUCGGACAUGGUUUAGUUGAUUUGGAUCACGUGACCACUUAGAGGAUUAGAGGGAUGUCUAUCUAAGUGGGAGUUCUUAAGUAAUAUGAUUAACUGAACUUAAAUUUAUCAUGAACUUAGUACCUGAUAGUAUUUUGCUUGUCUAUGUUGAUUGUAGAUAGAUGGCCCGUGCUGUUGUUCCGUUGAAUUUUAAUGCGUUCCUUGAGAAAGCAAAGUUGAAAGAUGAUGGUAGCAAUUACACGGACUGGGUCCAUAACUUGAGGAUUAUCCUCAUUGCUGCACAGAAGAAUUACGCCCUGGAAGCACCGCUAGGUGCCAGACCUGCUGCAGGAGCAACACCAGAUGUUAUGAACGUCUGGCAGAGCAAAGCUGAUGACUACUCGAUAGUUCAGUGUGCCAUGCUUUAUGGCUUAGAACUGGGACUUCAACGACGUUUUGAACGUCAUGGAGCAUAUGAGAUGUUUCAGGAGUUGAAGUUAAUAUUUCAAGCAAAUGCCCGGAUUGAGACAUAUGAAGUCUCCAAUAAGUUCUACAGCUGUAAGAUGGAGGAGAACAGUUCUAUCAGUGAGCAUAUACUUAGAAUGUCUGGGUAUAACAAUCACUUGAUUCAACUGGGAGUUAAUCUUCCGGAUGAUAGCGUCAUUGACAGAAUUCUUCAAUCACUGCCACCAAGCUACAAGAGCUUCGUGAUGAACUAUAACAUGCAAGUGAUGGAUAAGACGAUUCCCGAGCUCUUCGCAAUGCUAAAGGUUGCGGAGGUAGAAAUUAAGAAGGAGCAUCAAGUGUUGAUGGUCAACAAGACCACCAGUUUCAAGAAAAAGGGCAAAGGGAAGAAGAAGGGGAACUUCAAGAAGAACAACAAACAAGUUGCUGCUUAGGAGAAGAAACCCAAGUCUGGACCUAAGCCUGAGACUGAGUGCUUCUACUGCAAACAGACUGGUCACUGGAAGCGGAACUGCCCCAAGUAUUUGGCGGAUAAGAAGGGUGGCAAGGUGAACAAAGGAAUAUGUGAUAUACAUGUUAUUGAUGUGUACCUUACUAAUGCUCACAGUAGCACCUGGGUAUUUGAUACUGGUUCUGUUGCUAAUAUUUGCAACUCGAAACAGGGACUACGGAUUAAGCGAAGAUUGGCUAAGGACGAGGUGACGAUGCGCGUGGGAAAUGGUUCCAAAGUCGAUGUGAUCGCGGUCGGCACGCUACCUCUACAUCUACCUUCGGGGUUAGUUUUAGACCUGAAUAAUUGUUAUUUGGUGCCAGUGUUGAGCAUGAACAUUAUAUCUGGAUCUUGUUUGAUGCGAGACGGUUAUUCAUUUAAAUCAGAGAAUAAUGGUUGUUCUAUUUAUAUGUGUAAUAUGUUUUAUGGUCAUGCACCCUUGAAGAGUGGUCUAUUUUUUGUUGAAUCUCGAUAGUAGUGAUACACAUAUUCAUAAUAUUGAAGCCAAAAGAUGCAGAGUUGUUAAUGAUAGUGCAACUUAUUUGUGGCACUGCCGUUUAGGUCAUAUUGGUGUAAAGCGCAUGAAGAAACUCCAUACUGAUGGACUUUUGGAACCACUUGAUUAUGAAUCACUUGGUACUUGCGAACCGUGCCUCAUGGGCAAGAUGACUAAAACGCCGUUCUCCGAAACUAUGGAGCGAGAAACAGAUUUGUUGGAAAUCAUACAUACAGAUGUAUGUGGACCGAUGAAUGUUGAGGCUCGCGGCGGGUAUCAUUAUUUUCUCACCUUCACAGAUGAUUUAAGUAGAUAUGGGUAUAUCUACUUAAUGAAACAUAAGUCUGAAACAUUUGAAAAGUUCAAAGAAUUUCAGAGUGAAGUUGAAAAUCAUCGUAACUAGAAAAUAAAGUUUCUACAUUCUGAUCGUGGAGGAGAAUAUUUGAGUUACGAGUUUGGUCUUCAUUUGAAACAAUGCGGAAUAGUUUCGCAACUCAUGCCACCCGGAACACCACAGCGUAAUGGUGUGUCCGAAUGUCGUAAUCGUACUUUACUAGAUAUGGUGCGAUCUAAGAUGUCUCUUACUGAUUUACCGCUAUUGUUUUGGGGUUAUGCUUUAGAGACGGCUGCCUUCACAUUAAAUAGGGCACCAUCAAAAUCCGUUGAGAUGACGCCUUAUGAACUGUGGUUUGGCAAGAAACCAAAGUUGUCGUUUCUUAAAGUUUGGGGCUACGAUGCUUAUGUGAAAAAGCUUCAACCUGAUAAGCUCGAACCCAAAUCGGAGAAAUGUGUCUUCAUAGGAUACCCAAAGGAAACUGUUGGGUACACCUUCUAUCACAGAUCUGAAGGCAAGAUUUUUGUUGCUAAAUUUGGAUCCUUUCUAGAGAAGGAGUUUCUCUCGAAAGAAGUGAGUGGGAGGAAAGUAGAACUUGAUGAGGUAACUGUACCUGCUCCCUUAUUGGAAAGUAGUUCAUCACAGAAACCGGUUCCUGUGACACCUACACUAAUUAGCGAGGAAGUUAAUGAUGAUGAUCAUGAAACUUCAGAUCAAGUUGUUACUGAACCUUGUAGGUCAACCAGAGUAAGAUCCACACCAGAGUGGUACGGUAAUCCUGUUCUGGAGGUUAUGUUACUAGACCAUGACGAACCUACGAACUAUGAAGAAGCGAUGGUGAGCCCAGAUUCCGCAAAAUGGCUUGAGGCCAUGAAUCUGAGAUGGGAUCCAUGUAUGAAAACAAAUUGUGGACUUUGGUUGACUUGCCCGAUGAUCGGCAAGCCAUUGAGAAUAAAUGGAUCUUCAAGAAGAAGAUUGACGCUGACGGUAAUGUUACUGUCUAUAAAGCUCGACUUGUUGCGAAAGGUUUUCGACAAGUUCAAGGGAUUGACUACGAUAAGACUUUCUCACCCAUAGCGAUGCUUAAGUCUGUCCGAAUCAUGUUAGCAAUUGCCGCAUUUUAUAAUUAUGAAAUUUGGCAAAUGGAUGUCAAAACUGCAUUCCUAAAUGGAUUUCUGGAAGAAGAGUUGCAUAUGAUGCAGCCGGAAGGUUUUGUUGAUCCAAAGGGAGCUAACAAAGUGUGCAAGCUCCAGCGAUCCAUUUAUGGACUGGUGCAAGCCUCUCGGAGUUGGAAUAAACGCUUUGAUAGUGUGAUCAAAGCAUUUGGUUUUAUACAGACUUUUGGAGAAGCCUGUAUUUACAAGAAAGUGAGUGGGAGCUCUGUAGCAUUUCUGAUAUUAUAUGUGGAUGACAUAUUGCUGAUUGGAAAUGAUAUAGAAUUUCUGGAUAGCAUAAAGGGAUACUUGAAUAAGAGUUUUUCAAUGAAGGACCUCGUGAAGCUGCUUAUAUAUUGGGCAUCAAGAUUUAUAGAGAUAGAUCAAGACGCUUAAUUGGACUUUCACAAAGCACAUACCUUGACAAAGUUUUGAAGAAGUUCAAAAUGGAUCAAGCAAAGAAAGGGUUCUUGCCUGUGUUACAAGGUGUGAAGUUGAGUAAGACUCAAUGCCCGACCACUGCAGAAGACAGAGAGAAGAUGAAAGAUGUUCCCUAUGCUUCAGCCAUAGGCUCUAUCAUGUAUGCAAUGCUGUGUACCAGACCUGGUGUGUGCCUUGCUAUAAGUUUAGCAGGGAGGUACCAAAGUAAUCCAGGAGUGGAUCACUGGACAGCGGUCAAAAACAUCCUGAAAUACCUGAAAAGGACUAAGGAUAUGUUUCUCGUUUAUGGAGGUGACAAAGAGCUAGUCGUAAAUGGUUACGUCGAUGCAAGCUUUGACACUGAUCCGGACGAUUCUAAAUCGCAAACCGGAUACGUGUUUACAUUGAACAGUGGAGCUGUCAGUUGGUGCAGCUCUAAACAAAGCGUUGCGGCGGGAUCUACGUGUGAAGCGGAGUACAUAGCUGCUUCGGAAGCAGCAAAUGAAGGAGUCUGGAUGAAGGAGUUCAUAUCCGAUCUAGGUGUCAUACCUAGUGCAUCGGGUCCAAUGAAAAUCUUUUGUGACAAUACUGGUGCAAUUGCCUUGGCAUAGAAUCCAGAUUUCACAAGAGAACCAAGCACAUCAAGAGACGCUUCAACUCCAUCCGGGAUCUAGUCCAGGUGGGAGACAUAGAAAUUUGCAAGAUACAUACGGAUCUGAAUGUUGCAGACCCGUUGACUAAGCCUCUUCCACGAGCAAAACAUAAUCAUCACCAAGGCUCCAUGGGUGUUAGAAUCAUUACUUUUUAAUCUAGAUUAUUGACUAUAGUGCAAGUGGGAGACUGAAGGAAAUAUGCCCUAGAGGCAAUAAUAAAGUUAUUAUUUAUUUCCUUAUAUCAUGGUAAAUGUUUAUUAUUCAUGCUAGAAUUGUAUUAACCAGAAACAUAAUACUUGUGUGAAUACAUAGACAAACAGAGUGUCACUAGUAUGCCUCUACUUGACUAGCUCGUUGAUCAAAGAUGGUUAUGUUUCCUAGCCAUUGACGUGAGUUGUCAUUUGAUUAAGGGGAUCACAUCAUUAGGAGAAUGAUGUGAUUGACUUGACCCAUUCCGUUAGCUUAGCACACGAUCGUUUAGUAUUCUGCUAUUGCUUUCUUCAUGACUUAUACAUGUUCCUAUGACUAUGAGAUUAUGCAACUCCCGUUUACCGGAGGAACACUUUGUGUGCUACCAAACGUCACAACGUAACUGGGUGAUUAUAAAGGUGCUCUACAGGUGUCUCCGAAGGUACUUGUUGGGUUGGCAUAUUUCGAGAUUAGGAUUUGUCACUCCGAUUGUCGGAGAGGUAUCUCUUGGCCCACUCGGUAAUGCACAUCACUAUAAGCCUUGCAAGCAUUGCAACUAAUGAGUUAGUUGCGGGAUGAUGUAUUACAGAACGAGUAAAGAGACUUGCUGGUAACGAGAUUGAACUAGGUAUUGAGAUACCGAUGAUCGAAUCUCGGGCAAGUAACAUACCGAUGACAAAGGGAACAACGUAUGUUGUUAUGCGGUCUGACCGAUAAAGAUCUUCGUAGAAUAUGUGGAAACCAAUAUGAGCAUCCAGGUUCCGCUAUUGGUUAUUGACCGAAGACGUGUCUCGGUCAUGUCUCCAUAGUUCUCGAACCCGUAGGGUCCGCACGCUUAAAGUUUGAUGACAGUUAUAUUAUGAGUUUAUGUGUUUUGAUGUACCGAAGAUAGUUCGGAGUCCCGGAUGUGAUCACGGACAUGACGAGGAGUCUCGAAAUGGUUGAGACAUAUAGAUUGAUAUAUUGGAAGCCUAUAUUUGGAUAUCGGAAGUGUUCCGGGUGAAAUCGGGAUUUUACCGGAGUACCGGGGGUUACGGGAACCCCCCGGGGGUUUAAUGGGCCUACAUGGGCCUUAGUUGAGAAGAGGAGGGGCGGCCAGGGCAGGCCGCGCGCCCCCUCCCCCUCUAGUCCAAAUUGGACAAGGAGGGGGGGCGGCGCCCCCUUUCCUUCCUCUCUCCCUCCUCCUUCCCCCUUCUCCUACUCCAACUAGGAAAGGAGGGAGUCCUACUCCCGGUGGGAGUAGGACUCCUCCUGGCAUGCCUCCUCCUGGCCGGCCGCCUCUCCCUCCCUUGCUCCUUUAUAUACGGGGGCAGGGGGCACCCUAUAGACACAACAAUUGAUCUCUUGAUCUCUUAGCCGUGUGCGGUGCCCCCCUCCACCAUAAUCAACCUCGAUAAUAUCGUAGCGGUGCUUAGGCGAAGCCCUGCGUCGGUAGAACAUCAUCAUCGUCACCACGCCGUCGUGCUAACGGAACUCUCCCUCAAAGCUCGGCUGGAUCGGAGUUCGAGGGACGUCAUCGAGCUGAACGUGUGCUGAACUCAAAGGUGCCGUGCGUUCGGUACUUGAUCGGUCGGAUCGUGAAGAUGUACGACUACAUCAACCGCGUUGUGCUAACGCUUCCGCUUUUGGUCUACGAGGGUACGUGGACAACACUCUCCCCUCUCGUUGCUAUGCAUCACCAUGAUCCUGUUUGCGCGUAGGAAUUUUUUUGAAAUUACUACGUUCCCCAACAGUUGAUAACGGGAUCACAUCAUUAGGAGAAGGAUGUGAUGGACAAGACCCAAUCCUAAGCAUAGCACAAGAUCGUGUAGUUCGUCUGCUAAAGCUUUUCUAAUGUCAAGUAUAAUUUCCUUAGACCAUGAGAUUGUGCAACUCCCGGAUACCGUAGGAAUGCUUUGGGUGUACCAAACGUCACAAAGUAACUGGGUGGUUAUAAAGGUACACUACAGGUAUCUCCAAAAGUGUCUAUUGGGUUGGCACGAAUCGAGACUCGGAUUUGUCACUCCGUAUGACGGAGAGGUAUCUCUGGGCCACUCGGCAAUGCAUCAUCAUAAUGAGCUCAAUGUGACUAAGCAGUUAGUCCUGAGGUCAUGCAUUACGGAACGAGUAAAAUGACUUGCCGGUAACGAGAUUGAACGAGGUAUUGGGAUACCGACGAUCGAAUCUCGGGCAAGUAACAUACCGAUUGACAAAGGGAAUUGUAUACGGGAUUGUUUGAAUCCCCGACAUCAUGGUUCAUUCGAUGAGAUCAUCGUGGAACAUGUGGGAACCAACAUGGGUAUCCAGAUCCCGCUGUUGGUUAUUGGCCGGAGAGAUGUCGCGGUCAUGUCUGCAUGAUUCCCGAACCCGUAGGGUCUACACACUUAAGAUUCGGUGACGCUAGAGUUGUUAUGGGAAUUAUUAUGCGGUUACCGAAUGUUGUUCGGAGUCCCGGAUGAGAUCCCGGAUGUCAUGAGGAGUUCCGGAAUGGUCCGGAGAUAAAGAUUUAUAUAUGGGAAGUCCUUAUUCGGUCACCGGAAGUGUUCAGGGUUUUAUCGGUAUUGUACCGGGACCACCGAAAGGGUUCCGGGGGUCCACCGGGAGGGUCCACCUGCCCCGGAGGGCCCUAUGGGCUGAAUAUGGAGGGGAACCAGCCCCUAGGUGGGCUGGGCGCCAAACCCCCCUAGGGCCCAUGCGCCUAGGGUUGGGGGGAAACCCUAAAGGGGGCGCCCCCCUUGGCUUGGGGGGCAAGCCUCCCCCCUUGGCCGCCGCCCCCCCUCUAGAUCCAUCUGGAGGGCGCCGGCCCCCCUCUCCCUUGCCCCUAUAAAUAGAGGGGAGGUGGGAGGGCUGCCGCACCCCUUCCUCUGGCGCAGCCCUCUCCCUCCUCAACACCUCCUCCUCCUCUGUAGUGCUUGGCGAAGCCCUGCCGGAGAGCUGCAAGCUCCCCCACCACGCCGUCAUGCUGCCGGAGCUCUUCCCCAACUUCUCCUUCCCCCUUGCUGGAUCAAGAAGGAGGAGACGUCCCCGGGAUGUAUGUGUGUUGAACGCGGAGGCGCCGUUGUUCGGCGCUUAGAUCGGCAUCAACCGCGAUCUGAAUCGCUGCGAGUACGACUCCUUCAUCCGCGUUCUUGUAGCACUUCCGCGUCGCGAUCUUCAAGGGUAUCAAGAUGAACUCCCCUCUCACUCGUUGCUAGUCUUUCCAUAGAUUGAUCUUGGUGAUGCGUAGAAAUUUUUUAAUUUCUGCAACGAUCCCCAACACCACCCGCCAUGGCUAGGUCCCCAAAUCGGGAUCCACUAGACGCCACAUGCACCCACCAGAGAUUGCCCGCGCAUAGCCGCCACACAACAAGCACUCGCCCAUGUCGCCGCCGCCCACCCUCGAGCAAACGUUGCUGCUACCCGCGCCCGCUGCCGCUCUUCCACCCAAGGCGCCUCCGCGCGACUAGGCCAUCCCGCGCCAACCUUCACGGACCGAGCGAAGGGGAGAAGAUUCCCGCCGCCAUUUGGGCUUUGCCCAGCGGCGGCGAGGGGAGUGAGAGGUGUUGUUGGGGGUUAUUAGUCCGUCUCCAUGGACUUUGGUCAAUAUCGCUCGUUAAUUCCUGCUCCUACGCAUGUACGUCAGGUGCAUAACUGCACGCACUAGUUAGUUCACCCAACAGUUCAAGCUGAUGGGAGAAAGGUGGGCUAAGCAUUUAUACGUCAAUACACACCCUUGUGUGUGGCUCCCUGAGGCCUAAACAUGAACUGAAAGUGGGCUGCAAUUUAAUUACGCCAGCCGGGUCUUGAACUAAAGACCUUUUGGUUCUCAUACCAUGUACAAAUGCACGCGCCAGCCAGUUCAUCCAAAAGCUCAAUCUAUGGGAGAGGGCAUGACAUUAUACUUCAACACUCCCCCUCACGUCUAUGCUCCUUUGGAGUGUAUGACGUGGGCAGCGAAAGCCGGGUAAGCCCCAAUUAUUUAUUGUGUUUACUGGGUUUUGAACCCUGAACCUCUUGGUUGCAAGUUUAUGUACCUAACCAGUUCACUCAUAAGCUCAAGCUAUGGGAGAUGGCCGAACAUUAUACUCCAACACUCCCCCUCAUGUCUAUGCUUCUUUGGAGAUUAUGAUGUUGGCAGCAAAAGCGGGGCAGGCCGCAACCAACUCAUCCAAAGGUCCGAAGUGAUGGAGAGAGCCAGGCAAUGUACUUUAACACCCCCUCACGUCUAGGCUUAUUUAGUCUUUAGACAUGAGAUUUAUGUAGGCCGCAAAAUCUGUUUUUAAUACUACUUUGGCAGAGUAUUACUCAAGACCUCCUGGUUCGGAUAGCAUGUUAAACUAAUGCUCUAGCCAACUCAUUCAAAAGUUCCAACCAUGAGAGAGGGCCGGACAUUAUACUUCAACAUCGACGGUGAAAACAUUGUAGCGGGAGCGGACAAGAAUGUAGUCCUCCAGUGGUGAGUAGCUGUGACGAGCCAAAUACUUUUUUUAUAAAGGGAAUAUAUUAAUACCACGGAUACCAAUUACACCCAGCCUCUGCAACAAUGCAAUACCCUAAUGGCAUUAUGGAUGCGCACAGCCAAAAAAAGAAGAAUCUAAAAAAAGAAAAGCCCCGCUAGAGAGUUCCAGUCCUUGCAACAGCAGUACAACCACCACCAAAACAACACCUCAAGUCCAAGUUCUCCAAAAACGACGCCUCAAAGAAGGAAACCGUGCAUAAACACCAUCGUCACCCGAUCGUAGAUCUUGGAUUUUCACCCUGAAGAUAGGCUCCGCUCUCAAAACGAUGCCUUCAACAAGGUCAUUGCCAUGCACAACCAACUAAGGCCAGACCUUGGAUUUUCACCUUGAGAGGUAAGACUUUGAACUGCACAUGUGUUGUCGCCCCCACUUACAUACCAUUGCUACAAUCCGAAACUCCAAGCAAGUUCCUCAUCGCCAUAAAGGCUCCAGUCACCAUUACUAGUCCUCCGAUCUCGGCUUCCAUGACAUUCUCGCCUCUGACUUCACCAUGGAGUUAAACAUAUCCCAUGAUGACAACAAAUAGCAGAGCUUCGCACCGCUCCCUUCUUAACGGAGAACCAGUGGGCACGACCGAAUCCCAUCCGAUCUAGCAAUCUUCAGACAUAACGCGCCCAUGGGAGUUCAUCGGCAGAGCCUUCCGGAACCCGACACUCCGACCGGAUCAAGGAGGACAGGCGUCAGGCAAAUCUUCGUCUUGUCACUUGAGGAACCCUAGGGACGCCCCCUUAAUUCAGGCCGAGCCCGCAGCCCCCACGCCGCCGCGGCACCCCGGAUCAGAUCGGAGGGAUCGGCACGCACCAGCACCUCGACCAAUGACCCAGGGAUGCGCGAAUCUCAUCGGGAGCAGUAGGGGCGCCGGGAAAGGGCACCUCGCGGGUAGCCAACGGCGCGCCGCCACGCCAUGGAGGAGCAGGCCACGCACCGCCUGAAGAAAGCACCAACAGCAUGGCCGGCUGCUGCCUCGGCCUUGAAUCUGAGGGGAAAACGGCGCGCCGCGAGAGAGAGCUUGCCCCGUCGCUGCCGUCCGCGGCACGGGCUUAGCCUGGUCACCUCCUUCGAUGACAGCGAGGGGGAUGGAGGGGGGGGGGGCUCGCGGUGGCCGGCGGCUGGGUCUCCUCCGUAUCGCCCAAGUCCAUUGCCACAAUUUCGUCGUGUGGACAUGUUCAGAAUGAAGCACAAGUGGUAUAGUAUAUUUUUUCUGCGGCAUCUUUUUGUUGAGUAAAUAGGCAAUUUCUCGAUUAAAUUAAUCCACGAGUAAAUCACUAGCAUGGCAUUGACACAAAUAAACGCAUACUGAUAUUCAGUCAAGCUAGCAAAUACUACGCUAAUUGCAGAAAGAUCUACGUAUAACGCUAGCAUGGCUAAAACAGGAAACAGUAGGAGCGGGAUAAACGAGUUAUACCCUCCAGUAGGCCAUGCAGAGGCCGCGGCUUUGGUGGCAGCAACGGCGUCCUCGGCAGCCUUCUUGUCGGCUUCAGCUUUCUCGGCGGCAGCACGUUCGGCGUUGGUGGACAUGGUGAUGAUGAAGGCGACGCAGAUGUAGAGGAAGUAGACGAUCGGAAGUGAGCAGUCGCGUAAUCGCUGCCCAAAAACCUAUUCGCCCCUCACCCCGUACAGGAACCAGAAGGGCGUGGUUUCGGAGACCUGCUCUCCUGUCGACCGUGUACGCGGUGGACGAGAUGGAGUCACCGGCGGCAGCAGCAGCAAGGGAACGAUGGUGGGCGUGUGCGUGGAGCAGAUGUGAUCUGUUCGUGGUGGCUAGGGUUAGGAGACACCGCACACUUAUAUAGGCGCAGCCGCGUGGAGAGACAUGGGCUCGACCCACGUCCGAGUCCGAGACAGCCCACGAUCCGACGUCUCAGAUCGUGACCCAGCUGUCAGAGAACUCUCCGUUAGUGACUGGCAAAAAUAAGCGCAUAGGUUUGAGCUCGGCUCGGCUCAAUCCCGCAACCCGCGGUGCGUCGUGACGAGGCGUGGCGUGGCGAGGCGGGCGGCGGAGGAGGAGUGCGCGAGGGCCUCUUCUCUUCUCAAGCUCCAAUAGCAUGUAGAAGAGAAACCCUUAUAAGGAGGUCCAACUCCUCUUCCACUUCCGGGGUGGGACUAAACUUCCCACUACACCUAGUGCCAUAUAACCCACAUGGGCCCUUAAAGAUUUUUUAGAAAUUGCUAUAAGGGCCUAGAGCCCAUCUCAAAUUUCAGCAAUCCCCCACCAGAUCUCGAGGGCCCAUUGUGUCCUCUGUUCCAAUUACUGUUUCGAUAUACCAGUGUUUUAGUGAAGACCUGUUAAGGUUGAACUUCACCUAGAGCAAGUAGCUACACUCCUUCACAACUGAACAAUGGACUAUGCCUUGAAUUGUCAGUUUGGCGUAAAGAAGUUUCACCACAUGUCUUACUAGUACUAGGCUGCCGAAGGCUAACCCCUCGGGUGGAGCAUAUAAGUCACACUCCUGGCCUAUUCAUGAGCUUACAAGAGAUCACCCCAAUCUCAUAGACUGUGACCAGCAGUCGGGCUCAUAUAGGUGUGUUCCUCCAAAGAUCGCUCUGUAGGAUAGCAUCUUGCUUUCAUAAGCUUUGGAACACAUUAAGACAGUAGUCAUCCUACCAUACAGUAUCGAGAGUAUUGCAUCUCCAACGGAGUGGGUUAGUAUAGUUACUCUCCUCGGUUCACCACUGGCUUGUUUUCCCAGGUCCUACUUCACGGGAUCUCCGAUCACAUAGGUUGGGUUACCACCAUGGCAACUCAUGUGGGUCUCAUACCCAUCUCCCUCGAUGCAUUAUCUAUCACAACACGUGAUAGCCCUUUCGUAAAGGGAUCUGCCAGACUCUUAGCCGUAUGGACAUAGUCCAACGCUAUCACUCCGGAGUUUCUUAAUUUUCUGACAACUUUUAAUCUCAUUCUUAUCUGUUUGUUGGACUUCAUGUUGUCCUUUGAACUCUUCACCUUGGUGACGACCGUCUGAUUGUCACAGUUCAUAAGGAUAGCCGGAACCGGUUUAUCAACCAAUGGCAAGUCCAUCAAAAGAUCUCGAAGCCAUCCUGCUUCAACACCAGAUGUGUCUAAUGCUGUUAAUUCUGCUUCCAUUGUCGAUCUCGUUAAGAUCGUUUGCUUGCAAGACUUCCAGCAAACAGCGCCACCUCCAAGAGUAAACAUAUACCCAGUUGUGGCCUUCAUCUCAUCAGCAUCAGAGAUCCAAUUCACAUCACUAUACCCUUCAAGUACCGACGGGUCUCCAGUAUAGUGAAGUUCAUAGUUCAUAGUACCUUUCAGAUAGCGCAUAACUCUUUCAACAUCAUGCCAAUGUACAUCACCCGGUUUGGAAACAAACCGGCUUAAUUUGCUCAUAGCAAACGCGAUGUCAGGCCUUGUUGCGCUCGCUAGGUACAUCAGUGAACCAAUGAUUUGAGAGUAUCUCAAUUGAUCUUUAGCUGUGCUUUUGGACUUUCGAAUCAACACGCUAGGAUCAUAUGGUGUUUGAGAUGGUGCACAGUCCGAAUAUCCAAAACGACUCAACACCUUCUCAACAUAGUGGGAUUGCAGAAGUGUAAUGCCAUCCUCAUUAUCUCUCAGUAGCUUGAUGUUCAAGAUAACAUCAGCCACACCAAGGUCUUUCAUCUCAAAGUUCUGAGAUAGAAACGAUUUGACCUCCUCAAUGACUUUGAGGUUUGUUCCAAAUAUCAGCAUGUCAUCAACAUACAAGCACAGUAUAACUCCUUCGCCCCCACCAUGGCGAUAGUAUACACAUUUGUCAGCCUCAUUAACAACGAAACCAACAGAUGCCAGAGUUGUAUUAAACUUAUCAUGCCAUUGCUUAGGUUCUUGCUUCAGGCCAUAUAAAGAUUUCAGCAACCUACACACCUUUCUUUCCUGACCAUCUAUCACAAAGCCAUCUGGCUGUUGCAUGUAGAUUUCCUCGUUUAGCUCUCCAUUCAAAAAAGCCGUCUUAACAUCCAUCUGAUGGACGAGAAGACCAUGUGAGGCCUCCAACGAGAGUAAUACUCGAAUGGUGGUCAGUCUAGCCACAGGUGAAUAAGUAUCGAAGAAAUCUUCCUCUUCUUUCUGGUCAUAGCCCUUGGCCACAAGCCUAGCCUUGUACUUUUCAAUUGUACCAUCGGGCCUAAGCUUCUUCUUGAACACCCACUUACAUCCUAAUGGUUUGCAACCAUAGGGACGGUCAGUGAUCUCCCAUGUCCCGUUAGCCAUGAUGGAGUCCAUCUCGCUACGGACCGCAUCCUUCCAGUAAUCAGCUUCUGGAGAGGCAUACGCUUCUGAAAUAGAAGUGGGAGUGUCAUCCAUGAGAUACAUGAAGAAAUCAUCACCACAGGUCUUUGCAGUCCUUUGUCUCUUGCCCCUACCAAGGGUUUCCUCGUCAUCCUCCUCAGGAUUUCCAUCAUGUGUUUGUUCAUAAUAUUCCAUAGGGAUGGCAGGUUCAGGAGUCUCCUCGGAUUCCAGUCUAGAAGUGAUUUGCAUAUCUCUCAUAGGAAAAAUAUCCUCGAAGAAUGUAGCAUCCUUAGACUCCAUAAUUGUACCGACCUUCUGGUCAGGUACCUCAGAUUUCACUACUAGAAAUCUAUAGCCAACGCUGUUCUUAGCGUAGCCCAAAUUAACGCAGUCCACAGUCUUGGGUCCAAGCUUACGCUUUUUGGGGAUCGGCACAUUGACUUAUGCCAAACAGCCCCAAGUGCGCAAGUACGAAAUUAUUGUCCUUCUCUUCGCCCAUUUCUCAUAGGGAGUGAUCUCAUUAUCCUUUGUCGGAACUUUAUUCAGGACAUGACAUGCCGUCAAUAUAGCCUCCCCCCACUAUGCCUUGGAUAAACCCGAUGUAUCUAACAUGGCGUUAACCAAAUCAGUUAGAGUACGGUUUUUCCGCUCGGCAACCCCGUUUGACUGGGGUGAAUAGGGAGGCGUCUUCUCAUGAAUAAUGCCGUGUUCCGCACAAAAGGAAUCAAACUCACUCAAGAAGUACUCUCCAUCACGAUCUGACCGGACUCGUUUAAUUUUCUUUUCAAGUUGAUUCUCAACUUCUGCCUUAUAGAUUUUAAAGUAGUGUAGAGCCUCAUCUUUAGUAUUUAACAGAUACACAUAGCAAUAUCUAGUGGAAUCAUCUAUCAAUGUCAUGAAGUAUUUCUUUCCACCUUUACUCAACACACCAUUCAUCUCACAAAGAUCAGAAUGUAUGAGUUCUAAUGGUGUCAAGUGUCUCUCCAACGCGGCCUUGUGAGGCUUGCGAGGUUGCUUAGCUUGCACACAUGAAAGACACUUAGAACCUUUGGCUAAAGUGAAACUCGGGAUUAAAUCCAACUUGUCUAGCCGUGUCAUAACACCGAAACUAAUGUGACAAAGACGUGAAUGCCAAACUUCCGAUUCAUUAACAUUCGAAUGAAUAUGGUUCACGACUUUAUUACAAAAAUCUGCAAGGGAAAGGCGGAACAUCCCUCCGCUCUCAUAACCUUUUCCAACAAAGAGUCCAUAUUUCGUAACAACUAAUUUAUUAGACUCAAAAACCAACUUAAACCCUUCUCUACAUAGAAGGGAGCCACUAACGAGGUUCUUCUUGAUGGCGGGGACAUGCUGCAUUCUUCAGCUGCACGAUCCUUCCCGAAGUAAACUUCAGAUCGAACGUGCCAACACCAUGAACAGAAGCACUCGCGCCAUUCCCCAUCAAUACGGACCUGUGACCUGUGACCUGGUAAGAAGUGAACAAUGAAAUGUCAGCACACACAUGAACACCUGCACCUGUGUCCACCUACCAAUCGGUAGGCUGAAACACUGAAAAAACAGUAAAUAAAUUACCGUACCCAGAUGCACCAUUCUCAUUGUUGCCCACAAUCAUGUUGACAGACUUGGAGUCCUGUCCUGACUUCUUGUACUUGUUUGGGCACUUGUUGGCCCAAUGUUCAACCGAACCACAAGUAAAGCAGCCCUCGUCCUUCUUGUUCUUCUUGAAGGUCUUCUUACCCUUCUUCUUAAAGUCAGUAUUGUGUUGGACACCGUUCUUUCCCUUGGGUCCUCUGGUUCACCAUGUUGGCAACAGAAGUUCCUUCGACCCCUUUUCCGUGGGAGUCCUUUGCCCUUGAAUUCUGCUCGACACUCAGAUGGCCAAUGACAUCCUCUACAGAGAAUUCACGCCUCUGAUGUUUUAGAGUGGUGGCAAAGUUCCUCCAGGAAUUAGGGAGCUUAGCGAUUAUGCAGCCCGCGACAAACUUGCCCGGUAACUCGCACUUAAGAAGCUCAAGCUCCUUAACAAUGCAUAUUAUCUCAUGAGCCUGCUCCAAUACAGAACGGUUUUCAACCAUCUUGUAAUCGUGGAACUGCUAAUUGCGGAAAGAUCUACGUAUAACGCAAGCGCGUAGGUGUGAGCUCGGCUUGGCUCAAUCCCGCAACCCGCGGCGCUUCGUGACGAGGCUUGGCGAGGCGGGCGGCGGAGGAGGAGUGCGCGAGGGCCUCUUCUCUUCUCAAACUCCAAUAGCAUGUAGAAGAGAAACUCUUAUAAGGAGGUCCAACUCCUCUUUCAUUUCCGGGGUGGGACUAAACUUCCCACUACACCUAGUGUCAUAUAACCCACAUGGGCCCUUAGAGAUUUUUCAGAAAUUGCUAUAAGGGCCUAGAGCCCAUCUCAAAUUUCAGCACUUUUCACUGGUCUUGCUCUCUGUUUCGAUCCAGAAAACAGCAGCAGAAAUCAGAGAUUUGGGGCCCCUAGCACGACACCUCACUGUCACUGCCGUGCCUUGUGCACAUGCGUCUGUUCACUGGAUCGUCCCGUGGUAUAAUAGCAUGACAAGAAGACAUGCAAUCACCAGACAAAUUACUGAACAAAUUAGGAGCAACUGUACUCGCCAUCAGUUACGUACGUACCCUGCAUUUGGAUGCCACGAACAUCUUACAAGUUAGGGGCCGUUCGGAGGCCCUCCGCUCCGCGCCUUCUCUCCCGGAGCGGACGGAGCUGCGGUUAGAAAUUUCAGAGCUGGCGAAACGGUGCUACCCAGCUCCGCGUAUUUUGAGGAGCUGAUGGAUCCCCGAACGGGCCCUUACAAUCACAUCAUAUGUAUACCCAUUUUGUUGGAGAUUAUAACAUGUAAAUGAUGUAUGGCGGUUCGUAGAUCUCGAUCUAGUCCAUCAUGAGAGACAAUACUGACAAGACAGCUCACCCAACUGCAUUCUGAUCUACGGCCAGCAAUGCAUGGGCACCGACGCAUCAACCGCUCUUUCGUUCAUGCAAUGUAGACAAAGGUUCUCCGUUGUUUCUUGAGAGGCAUCAACCAAUUUUUUGUUCUACAUUUAAGUGUAAAUAAUGGAAUGCGACAAUUAAAACCUGACGUGCACAGAAGCGCAAUUGGAUCGACAAAUAAUACACCUCAUGUCCAUUAUCAAGGGCCAGCCAGGGGACCAUGGACCCCCAAAUCCCCAGUACCACAGACGCAAUCCUACUGUUUUUGUAUAUAAACAACAAACCCGAACGUGCUGCAUCAGCAGUGAUACGGACUAGCAAGCGCUGUAGUCUUCCACUCAUCCCGGCCAUGGCUUGCUUCAAGCUCAACCCCACGUCCUUCGCGCUCGCCGCAGCCGUCGCCGUCAUCCUGGCGGUGGCGGCGCCGCGGCCGGCGGCCGGGGCGUCGGCGCACCUGCACGUGUACAUGCACGACGUGAUGGGCGACAGCGCGAUGAUGGUGGUGCGCGGCCCGCGGGGCAACUUCGGCAACACGGUGGUGAUGGACGACGUGCUGACGGAGGGCACGUCGGCGUCGUCGGCCGCCGUGGGGCGCGCGCAGGGGCAGUACAUCGUCGCCUCCUCCAAGGGAGGGUUCGAGCUGAUGGUGACCAUGAACGUGGUGCUCACGUCGGGGACCUACGCGGGGAGCUCGGUGACCGUGAUGGGGCGCGACGACACCGGCGUGGCGGUGCGCGAGCUGGCCGUUGUCGGCGGCACAGGGCAGUUCCGGAUGGCGAAAGGCUACGUGCUGUGGAAAACCGUCCGCCCCGACCUGCUGGAGCUCGACAUCUACGUCAACCCAUGAGCCACUGCCCACUGCCCACUCGGCCGAUUCAGCGUGCAUGCGUCAGUGACCUGUGGCAGCAUUACGUAAGUGUUGCGUGUGGUCGUUCAAAAUAAAAUGAGUGUUGCACCUUGUGUUACAAAGCGCUACGUGGAUGUUUGUGAUAUUGUUUUUCGUGUUUCUUUUAUCUUGUCAUUCUUUUUGUUGGUCUUAGUGCAACGGAUUAUGAGCACAUGUCAUAUGUGGAUGCUGCUUGUUUGAAUCAAAUAAAUAUUUUGCAACUAUACAAUAAUAAUCAAACAAAUAAAUCAUUGCUAUUUUGAAUUUUAAUUCUCAUAUUAUUACUCUAAUUCAUGUUUCAUCCAAUUAAAUCUCAUUUACUUCUAUAAAGCAUGGUGAGUACCCCGCCUCCUUGGGGCUUCGCCGCGCUAGAGUGCCAUCCGCAUUGUCCGUUUCAGCGCGCAUCACGCCAAUUUCUCCUAGGCACUCUUCGCGUCAUCCGAUCUUCAUGGCUGCCCCGCACCCUGCCGGUUUUCCUCGGGGAUCCACAACUUAGUGACAUGAUUGUGGAUCAUAUUUCUAUUCCUUCGGGUGAGUCGUGGACGUGUCUGGGGCCACCUUUUGGGUUAUCAUCGCACCCACAGGCGCCAUAUUGCGCGUUGCGUCGCACGCGGUAGGUGAGCCUAAUCCAUGUUAUCAAAGCCGUUCGCCCCUAUGGGGCUGCGUCGCUUGAGUGAGCCAUGCACGCGGGUGCGCCCUUCUCGGGGUGAGCGUCGUUCGCCCUGCCGAGCUGUUUCGUUCGCCCGACCUGGGUACGAGCGGGGUGCAUCAUCGUUUGUUUCCCACUGGGCAGUUUUGUUCGCACGAGCCGGCUCGGGGUCUGAGCAAAGGAACCAGUCGUCGAGGCUGCCGUGAGGGGAUGGACGGGGACGCUGCUCGGCUUUUGUGAGUCGGGGUGCUUCAUGGGUGUUUCGAUCUUUUAUUAAGGCCGUUGCGUUUUUCUAUAAGUUCGUUGUUUUAUGCCGCACGUCGGACGCCAUGCACACUGACAUCCCUCUCACUUCGCUUUGCAGCUCCUACUUCGGAGGGUCAUUUGCCCCGCUGACGACGCUCGACCACGUCUCCGGUCCCUCCCUUACACGGAUGUAUAGCCUGCCCUGUUCUCCGGCCUCAAGAAGCGUGUUGUUGUCGUCGGCCUGCAUACAGUUUCUGUUUCGGGCCGGUAGCCCCUUCGCUCCAUUGUUCAUGCUCGUGUUCCUCCUUUUGUUUUUUGUUGUCAUUUUUUAUUGUCAAGGAGUAUAUCCGCUCGGCCAUAUGGCACUUGUGCCGCUCGUGUUGGGGAACGUAGUAAUUUCAAAAUUUUCCUACGCACACGCAACAUCACGGUGAUGCAUAGCAACGAGAGGGGAGAGUGUUGUCUACGUACCCUCGUAGACCGUAAGCGGAAGCGUUAUGACAACGCGGUUGAUGUAGUCAUACGUCUUCAUGAUCGACCGAUCUUAGCACCGAAAGUACGGCACCUCCGCGAUCUGCACACGUUCGGCUCGGUGACGUCCCACGAACUCAUGAUCCAGCAGAGUGUCGAGGGAGAGCUUCGUCAGCACGACAGCGUGAUGACGGUGAUGAUGAAGCUACCGGCGCAGGGCUUCGCCUAAGCACUACGACGAUAUGACCGAGGUGGAUUAUGAUGGAGGGGGGCACCGCACACGGCUAAGAGAUCAAUGAUCAACUUGUGUGUCUAUGGGGUGCCCCCUGGCCACACAUAUAAAGGAUGGAGGGAGGAGGAGGCCGGCCCUCAUAGGGCGCGCCCAAAGUGUGGAGUCCUACUAGGACUCCCUAGUCCUAGUAGGAUCCCACCUCCCACAUGGAAUAGGAAAAAGGGAAGGGAUAAGGAGAAGGAAGGAAGGGGGCGCCCCCUUUCCCUAGUCCAAUUCGGACCAGUCCAUGGGGAAAGGGCGCGGCCACCCUUGAGGCCUCUCUCUCCUUUCCCGUAUGGCCCAUUAAGGCCCAAUAUGAAUUCCCGUAACUCUCCGGUACUCCGAAAAAUACCCGAAUCACUCGAAACUUUUCCGAUGUCCGAAUAUAGCCUUCCAAUAUAUCGAUCUUUACGUCUCGACCAUUUCGAGACUCCUCGUCAUGUCCCCGAUAUCAUCCGGGACUCCGAACAAACUUCGGUCACCAAAUCACAUAACUCAUAAUACAAAUCGUACAGAACGUUAAGCGUGCGGACCCUACGGGUUCGAGAACUAUGUAGACAUGACCGAGACUCAUCUCCGGUCAAUAACCAUUAGCGGAACCUGGAUGCUCAUAUUGGUUCCUACAUAUUCUACGAAGAUCUUGAUCGGUCAAACUGCAUAACAACAUACAUUGUUCCCUUUGUCAACGGUAUGUUACUUGCCCGACAUUCGAUCGUCGGUAUCUCAAUACCUAGUUCAAUCUCGUUACUGGCAAGUCUCUUUACUCGUUCCGUAAUGCAUCAUCCCACAACUAACUCAUUAGUCACAAUGCUUGCAAGGCUUAUAGUGAUGUGCAUUACCGAGAGGGCCCAGAGAUACCUCUCCGAUACACGGAGUGACAAAUCCUAAUCUCGAUCUAUGUCAACUCAACAAACACCAUCGGAGACACCUGUAGAGCAUCUUUAUAAUCACCCAGUUACAUUGUGACGUUUUAUAGCACACAAGGUGUUCCUCCGGUAUUCGGGAGUUGCAUAAUCUCAUAGUCCGAGGAACAUGUAUACGUCAUGAAGAAAGCAGUAGCAAUGAAUCUGUAACGAUCAUAAUGCUAAGCUAACGAAUGGGUCUUGUCCAUCACAUCAUUCUCCUAAUGAUGUGAUCCCAUUCAUCAAAUGACAACACAUGUGUAUGGUUAGGAAACAUAACCAUCUUUGAUAAACGAGCUAGUCUAGUAGAGGCAUACUAGGGAAACUUUGUUUUGUCUAUGUAUUCACACAUGUACUAAGUUUCCGGUUAAUACAAUUCUAGCAUGAAUAAUAAACAUUUAUCAUGAAAUAAAGAAAUAAAUAAUAAUUUUAUUAUUGCCUCUAGGGCAUAUUUCCUUCAGUCUCCCACUUGCACUAGAGUCAAUAAUCUAGUUCACAUCGCCAUGUGAUUUAACACCAAUAGUUCACAUCACCAUGUGAUUAACACUCAUAGUUCACAUCGCCAUGUGACCAACACUCAAAGGGUUUACUAGAGUCAGUAAUCUUUGUUCACAUCGCCAUGUAAUUGAUACGUCUCCAACGUAUUUAUAAUUUUUAAUUGUUCCAUGCUAUUAUAUUAUCUGUUUUGGAUGUUCAAUGGGCUUUAUUAUACACUUUUAUAUUAUUUUUGGGACUAACCUAUUAACCGGAGGCCCAGCCCAAAUUGCUUUUUUUGCCUAUUUCAGUGUUUCGAAGGAAAGGAAUAUCAAAUGGAGUCCAAACGGAAUGAAACCUUUGGGAACGUGAUUUUCGGAACAAACAUGAUCCAGAGGACUUGGAGUGGACGUCAAGCAAUCAACGAGGAGGCCACGAGGCAGGGAGGCGCGCCUGCCCCCAUGGGCGCGCCCCCCACCCUCGUGGGACCCUCGUAGCUCUCCUGACCGACUUCUUUCGCCUAUAUAUACUCAUAUACCCUGGAAACAACAGAAGAGGAGCCGAAACCCUAUUUCCACCGUCGCAACCUUCUGUACCCGUGAGAUCCCAUCUUGGGGCCUUUUCCGGCGCUCCGGCGGAGGGCGCAUUGAUCACGGAGGGCUUCUACAUCAACACCAUAGCCUCUCCGAUGAUGUGUGAGUAGUUUACCUCAGACCUUCGGGUCCAUAGUUAUUAGCUAGAUGGCUUCUUCUCUCUCUUUGGAUCUCAAUACAAAGUUCUCCUCGAUUCUCUUAGAGAUCUAUUUGAUGUAAUCUUCUUUUGCGGUGUGUUUGUCGAGAUCAGAUGAAUUGUGGGUUUAUGAUCAAGAUUAUCUAUGAACAAUAUUUGAAUCUCCUCUGAAUUCUUUUAUGUAUGAUUGGUUAUCUUUGCAAGUCUCUUUGAAUUAUUAGUUUGGUUUGGCCUACUAGAUUGAUCUUUCUUGCAAUGGGAGAAGUGCUUAGCUUUGGGUUCAAUCUUGCGGUGCUCGAUCCAAGUGACAGUAGGGGAAACGACACGUAUUGUAUUGUUGCCAUCGAGGAUAAAAAGAUGGGGUUUAUAUCAUAUUGCUUGAGUUUAUCCCUCUACAUCAUGUCAUCUUGCUUAAAGCGUUACUCUGUUCUCAUGAACUUAAUACUCUAGAUGCAUGCUGGAUAGCGGUCGAUGUGUGGAGUAAUAGUAGUAGAUGCAGGCAGGAGUCGGUCUACUUGUCGCGGACGUGAUGCCUAUAUACAUGAUCAUACCUAGAUAUUGUCAUAACUAUGCUCAAUUCUAUCAAUUGCUCGACAGUAAUUUGUUCACCCACCAUAAUACUUAUGCUAUCUUAGAGAAGCCACUAGUGAAACCUAUGGCCCUCGGGUCUAUUUUCCAUCAUAUUAAUCUCCCAACAACUAGCAAUUUCGGGCGCCGUUUAUUUUGCUUUCUUUACUUUUAGUCUUUAUCAUAAAAAUACCAAAAAUAUUAUCUUAUCAUCUCUAUCAGAUCUCACUUUUGCAAGUGGCCCUGAAGGGAUUGACAACCCCUUUAUCGCGUUGGUUGCAAGGUUCUUAUUUGUUUGUGUAGGUACGAGGGACUUGCGUGUGGCCUCCUACUGGAUUGAUACCUUGGUUCUCAAAAAACUGAGGGAAAUACUUACGCUACUUUGCUGCAUCACCCUUUCCUCUGCAAGGGAAAACCAAGCUGUGCUCAAGAGGUAGCAAGAAGGAUUUCUGGCGCCGUUGCCGGGGAGUCUACGCACAAGUCAAGACAUACCAAGUACCCAUCACAAACUCUUAUCCCUCGCAUUACAAUAUUUGCCAUUUGCCUCUCGUUUUCCUCUCCCCCACUUCACCCUUGCCGUUUUAUUCGCCCUCUUUUCCCUUCGCCUCUUUAUGCUUGCCUCUUAUUUAUUGUUGCCCUUAUAACCUUGCCUAGAUUUGGUGAUCUUCACCUUAAAAGGUUGGAAGAGAUUGAAAGCAACGUCGUAAGUUUUAUGACUUUACAAUUUGAGCACAAUAAUUUCUUUAGAAACGAGCUUAAGGAACAAAAAUGCUUUAUGAGUACAUGAAUAAGGAGCUUGAUGAUAUAUCUAAGGAAUUCUAUGGUUUGAAAUCUUAGAUUGCUCAUUUUGAAAAAUUAAUUGCUGAAAUUUUGGAUAAGCAGGACACCUUAGUUAAUAACAUGGCCGCUAAACCGGAAUUUUUUAUGAGAAUAAAGAUGAAGAUCUAAAAAUUAUUGAUGUGUCCCCUAUUAAAUCUUUGUUUUGCAAUAUGAAUCUUGAUAAUGAUGGGACUGGAGAUGAGUCAACUUUAGUUAAAAGGCGUCCCAAUAAUUCGGAGUUUUUAGAUCUUGAUGCGAAAAUUGGUAAAAGUGGGAUUGAAGAGGUCAAAACUUUAGAUAGCAUUGAACCCACUAUUUUGGAUUUCAAGGAAUUUAACUAUGAUAAUUGCUCUUUAAUAGAUUGUAUUUCCUUGUUGCAAUCCGUGCUAAAUUCUCCUCAUGCUUAUAGUCAAAAUAAAGCCUUUACUAAACAUAUCGUUGAUGCUUUGAUGCAAUCUUAUGAAGAAAAAUUUGAGUUGGAAGUUUCUAUUCCUAGAAAACUUUAUGAUGAGUGGGAACCUACAAUUAAAAUUAAAAUUAAAGAUCAUGAAUGCUAUGCUUUGUGUGAUUUGGGUGCUAGUGUUUCCACGAUUCCAAAAACUUUGUGUGAUUUGCUAGGUUUCCAUGAAUUUGAUGAUUGCUCUUUAAACUUGCACCUUGCGGAUUCCACUAUCAAGAAACCUAUGGGAAGAAUUAAUGAUGUUCUUAUUAUUGCAAAUAGGAAUUAUGUGCCCGUAGAUUUUAUUGUUCUUGAUAUAGAUUUCAAUCCUUCAUGUCCUAUUAUUCUUGGUAGACCUUUCCUUAGAACGAUUGGUGCAAUUAUUGAUAUGAAGGAAGGGAAUAUUAGAUUCCAAUUUCCGUUAAGGAAAGGCAAGGAACACUUCCCUAGAAAGAAGAUUAAAUUACCUUAUGAAUCUAUUAUGAGAGCCACUUAUGGGUUGCCUACCAAAGAUGGCAAUACCUAGAUCUAUUAUUGCUUUUAUGCCUAGCUAGGGGCGUUAAACGAUAGCGCUUGUUGGGAGGCAACCCAAUUUUAUUUUUGUUUCUUUCUUUUUGGUUCUGUUUAGUAAUAAAUAAUUCAUCUAGCCUCUGGUUAGAUGUGGUUUUGUGUUUUAAGAUCUUCUUGGAUGAUAGUUAUUUGAUCUUGCUGAAAAUUCCAGAAACUUUCUGUUCACGAAAACAAUUGUGUAAAAUCACCAGAACGUGAUAAAAUACUGAUUCCAAUUGCAGUAGACCAAUAAACAAAUUAUCUCCUAUUUUGGUAGAUUUUUCUGAGUUCCAGAAGUUUGCGUUAGAUACAGAUUAAUACAGACUAUUCUAUUUUUGACAAAUUCUGUUUUUUUGUGUGUUGUUUGCUUAUUUUGAUGAAUCUAUGGCUAGUAAAAGAGCUUAUGAACCAUAGAGAAGUUGGAAUACAGUAGGUUUAACACCAAUAUAAAUAAAGAAGAGUUCAAUAUAGUACCUUAUAGUAGUGGUUUGUUUUAUUUCGCUAACGGAGCUUAUGAGAUUUUCUGUUGAGUUUUGUGUUGUGAAGUUUUCAAGUUUUGGGUAAAGAUUUGAUGGAUUAUGGAACAAAGAGUGGCAAGAGCCUAAGAUUGGGGAUGCCCAAGGCACCCCAAGGUAAAAUUCAAGGACAACCAAAAGCCUAAGCUUGGGGAUGCCCCGGAAGGCAUCCCCUCUUUCGUCUUCGUCUAUUGGUAACUUUAUUUGGGGCUAUAUUUUUAUUCACCACAUGACAUGUGUUUUGCUUGGAGCGUCUUGUAUGAUUUGAGUCUUUGCAUUUUAGUUUACCACAAUCAUCCUUGUUGUACACACCCUUUUGGAGAGACACAGAUGAUUCGGAAUUUAUUAAAACACUCUAUGUGCUUCACUUAUAUCUUUUGAGCUAUAUAGUUUUUGCUCUAGUGCUUCACUUAUAUCUUUUAGAGCACGGCGGUGUCUUAAUUUUGUAGAAAUUAUUGAUCUCUCAUGCUUCACUUAUAUUAUUUUGAGAGUCUUCUAGAACAACAUGGUAUUUUCUAUGGUUAUAAAAAUUGGUCCUAGUAUGAUGGGUAUAAUAAAAACAAUCAUAGAAAGUGCAUUAAACACUAUGAUCAAUUUGAUGCUUGAUAAUUGUUUUGAGAUAUAAAGGUGGUAAUGUUAGAGUCAUGCUAGUUGGGUAAUUAUGAAAUUGAGAAAUACUUGUGUUAAGGUUGGCAAGUCCCGUAGCAUGCACGUAUGGUAAAAGUUGUGUGACAAAUUUGACGCAUAAGGUGUUCUUUUAUUGCUUUCCUUAUGAGUGGCGGUCGGGGAUGAGCGAUGGUCUUUUCCUACCAAUCUAUCCCUCUAGGGGCAUGCGUAGUAGUACUUUGCUUCGAGUGCUAAUAAACUUUUGCAAUAAGUAUAUGAGUUCUUUAUGACCAAUGUGUGUCCAUGGAUUAUACGCACUCUCACCCUUCCACAAUUUUCUAGCCUCUACGGUACCGUGCAUUGCCCUUUCUCACCUUGAGAGUUGGUGCUAACUUCGCCGGUGCAUCCAAACCCCAUGAUAUGAUACGCUCUAUCACACAUAAACCUCCUUAUAUCUUCCUCAAAACAGGCACCAUACCUACCUAUCAUGGCAUUUCCAUAGCCAUUCCGAGAUAUAUUGCCAUGCAACUUUCCACCGUUUCGUUUAUCAUGACACACUUCAUCAUUGUCAUUUUGCUUUGCAUGAUCAUGUAGUUGACAUUGUAUUUGUGGCAAAGCCACCAUUCAUAAUUUUUCAUACAUGUCACUCUUGAUUCAUUGCAUAUCCCGGUACACCGCCGGAGGCAUUCACAUAGAGUCAUAUUUUGUUCUAAGUAUUGAGUUGUAAUUCUUGAGUUGUAAGUAAUAAAAGUGUGAUGAUCAUCAUUAUUAGAGCAUUGUCCCAUGUGAGGAAAGGAUGAUGGAGACUAUGAUUCCCCCACAAGUCGGGAUGAAAUUCCUGACUAAAUAAAUAAAUAAAAAAGAGGCCAAAGAAAAAAAGAAAAAGGCCCAAGAAAAAGAAAAAAAGAGAAAAAAUGAGAGAAAAAGAGAGAAGGGACAAUGUUACUAUCCUUUUUCCACACUUGUGCUUCAAAGUAGCACCGUGAUCUUCAUGAUAGAGAGUCUCCUAUGUUGUCACUUUCAUAUACUAGUGGGAAUUUUUCAUUAUAGAACUUGGCUUGUAUAUUCCAAUGAUGGGCUUCCUCAAAAUGUCCUAAGUCUUCGUGAGCAAGCAAGUUGGAUGCACACCCACUUAGUUUCUUUUGUUGAGCUUUCAUAUAUUUAUAGCUCUAGUGCAUCCGUUGCAUGGCAAUGCCUACUCCUCACAUUGACAUCAAUUGAUGGGCAUCUCCAUAGCCUAUUGAUUAACCGCGUCAAUGUGAGACUUUCUACCUUUUUGUCUUCUCACAUAACCCCCAUCAUUAUACUUUAUUCCACCCAUAGUGCUAUAUCCAUGGCUUGCGCUCAUGUAUUGCGUAAGGGUUGAAAAGGAUGAAGCGCGUUAAAAACUAUGAACCAAUUGCUCGGCUUGUCAUCGGGGUUAUGCAUGAUGAGAACGUUUUAUGUGACGAAAUUGAAGCAUGGCCUAACUAUAUGAUUUUGUAGGGAUAAGCUUUCUUUGGCUAUGUUAUUUUGAUAAGACAUGAUUACUUGUUAGUAUGCUUGAAGUAUUACUAUUUUUAUGUCAAUAUGAACUUUUAUUUUGAAUCAUUUGGAUCUGAAUAUUCAUGCCACAAUUAAGAGAAUUACAUUGAAAAUUAUACUAAGUAGCAUUCCACAUCAAAAAUUCUGUUUUUAUCAUUUACCUACUCGAGGACGAGUAGGAAUUAAGCUUGGGGAUGCUUGAUACGUCUCCAACGUAUCUAUAAUUUUUGAUUGUUCCAUGCUAUUAUAUUAUCUGUUUUGGAUGUUCAAUGGGCUUUAUUAUACACUUUUAUAUUAUUUUUGGGACUAACCUAUUAACCGGAGGCCUAGCCCAAUUGAUGUUUUUUUUGCCUAUUUCAGUGUUUCGAAGGAAAGGAAUAUCAAACGGAGUCCAAACGGAAUAAAACCUUCGGGAACGUGAUUUUCGGAACAAACGUGAUCCAGAGGACUUGGAGUGGACGUCAAGCAAUCAACGAGGAGGACACGAGGCAGGGAGGCGCGCCUGCCCCCCUGGGCGCGCCCCCACCCUAGUGGGCCCCUCGUAGCUCUCCUGACCAACUUCUUUUGCCUAUAUAUACUCAUAUACCCUGGAAACAAUAGAAGAGGAUCCGAAACCCUAUUUCCACCGCCGCAACCUUCUGUACCCGUGAGAUCCCAUCUUGGGGCCUUUUCCGGUGCUCCGCCGGAGGGGGCAUUGAUCACGGGGGGCUUCUACAUCAACACCAUAGCCUCUCCGAUGAUGUGUGAGUAGUUUACCUCAGACCUUCGGGUCCAUAGUGAUUAGCUAGAUGGCUUCUUCUCUCUCUUUGGAUCUCAAUACAAAGUUCUCCUCGAUUCUCUUGGAGAUCUAUUUGAUGUAAUCUUUUUUUGCGGUGUGUUUGUCGAGAUCCGAUGAAUUGUGGGUUUAUGAUCAAGAUUAUCUAUGAACAAUAUUUGAAUCUCCUCUGAAUUCUUUUAUGUAUGAUUGGUUAUCUUUGCAAGUCUCUUCGAAUUAUCAGUUUGGUUUGGCCUACUAGAUUGAUCUUUCUUGCAAUGGGAGAAGUGCUUAGCUUUGGGUUCAAUCUUGCGGUGCUCGAUCCCAGUGACAGUAGGGGAAACGACACGUAUUGUAUUGUUGCCCUCGAGGAUAAAAAGAUGGGGUUUAUAUCAUAUUGCUUGAGUUUAUCCCUCUACAUCAUGUCAUCUUGCUUAAAGCGUUACUCUGUUCUCAUGAACUUAAUACUCUAGAUGCAUGCUGGAUAGCGGUCGAUGUGUGGAGUAAUAGUAGUAGAUGCAGGCAGGAGUCGGUCUACUUGUCGCGGACGUGAUGCCUAUAUACAUGAUCAUACCUAGAUAUUGUCAUAACUAUGCUCAAUUCUAUCAAUUGCUUGACAGUAAUUUGUUCAACCACCAUAAUACUUAUGCUAUCUUAGAGAAGCCACUAGUGAAACCUAUGGCCCCGGGUCUAUUUUCCAUCAUAUUAAUCUCCCAACAACUAGCAAUUUCUGGCGCCGUUUAUUUUGCUUUCUUUACUUUUAGUCUUUAUCAUAAAAAUACCAAAAAUAUUAUCUUAUCAUCUCUAUCAUAUCUCACUUUUGCAAGUGGCCGUGAAGGGAUUGACAACCCCUUUAUCGCGUUGGUUGCAAGGUUCUUAUUUGUUUGUGUAGGUACGAGGGACUUGCGUGUUGCCUCCUACUAGAUUGAUACCUUGGUUCUCAAAAAACUGAGGGAAAUACUUACGCUACUUUGCUGCAUCACUCUUUCCUCUUCAAGGGAAAACCAACGUUGUGCUCAAGAGGUAGCAGUGAUAAACACCCAAAGAGUACUAAGGUGUGAUUAUGUUUUGCUUGUGAGAGAAGUUUAGUCAACGGGUCUGCCAUAUUCAGAUCCGAAUGUAUUUUGCAAAUUUCUAUGUCAACAAUGCUCUGCACGGAGCUACUCUAGCUAAUUGCUCCCACUUUCAAUGUGUAUCCAGAUUGAGACUUAGAGUCAUCUGGAUCAGUGUCAAAACUUGCAUCGACGUAACCCUUACGAUGAACCUUUUGUCACCUCCGUAAUCGAGAAACAUAUCCUUAUUCCACUAAGGAUAAUUUUGACCGCUGUCCAGUGAUCUACUUCUAGAUCACUAUUGUACUCCCUUGCCAAACUCAGUCUAGGGUAUAUAAUAGAUCUGGUACAUAGCAUGGCAUACUUUGUAGAACCUACGGCGAGGCAUAGGGAUCGACUUUCAUUCUCUUUCUAUCGUCUGCCAUGGUAGGGCUUUGAGUCUUACUCAAUUUCACACCUUGCAACACAGGCAAGAAAUCUUUCUUUGACUAUUCCAUUUUGAACUACUUCAAAAUCUUGUCAAGGUAUGUACUCAUUGAAAAACUUAUCAAGCAUUUUGAUCUAUCUCUAUAGAUCUUGAUGCUCAAUAUGUAAGCAGCUUUACCGAGGUCUUUCUUUGAAAAACUCCAUUCAAACACUCCUUUAUGCUUUCUAGAAAAUCCUACAUCAUUUCCGAUCAACAAUAUGUCUUUCACAUAUACUUAUCAGAAAACUGUAGUGCUCCCACUCACUUUCUUAUAAAUACAGGCUUCACCGCAAGUCUGUAUAAAUCUAUAUGCUUUGAUCAACUCAUCAAAGCAUAUAUUCCAACUCCGAGAUGCUUUGCACAAGUCCAUGGAUGGAUCGCUGGAGCUUGCACAUUUUGUUAGCACCUUUAGGAUCGACAAAACCUUCUGGUUGCAUCAUAUACAACUCUUCUUUAAGAAAUCCAUUAAGGAAUGUAGUUUUGCCACCCAUUUGCCAGAUUUCAUAAAAUGUGGCAAUUUGCUAACAUGAUUCGGACAGACUUGAGCAUCGCUACGAGUGAGAAAAUCUCAUCGUAGUCAACACCUUGAACUUUGUCAAAAACAUUUUUCGACAAGUCUAGCUUUGUAGAUAGUAACACUACUAUCAGCGUCCAUCUUCCUCUUGAAGAUCCAUUUAUUUUCUAUGGCUUGUCGAUCAUCGGGAAAGUCAACCAAAGUCCACACUUUGUUCUCAUACAUGGAUCCCAUCUCAGAUUUCAUGGCCUCAAGCCAUUUCAGGGAAUCUGGGCUCUAAUCGUCGCUUCCUCAUAGUUCGUAGGUUCGUCAUGGUCAAGUAACAUGAACUCCAGAAUAGGAUUACCGUACCACUCUGGUGCAGAACGUACUCUGGUUGACCUACGAGGUUCGGUAGUAACUUGAUCUGAAGUUUCAUGAUCAGUAUCAUUAACUUCCUCACUAAUUGGUGUAGAAAUCACUCGAACUGAUUUCUGUGAUGAACUACUUUCCAAUUCGGGACCAGGUACAAUUACCUCAUCAAGUUCUACUUUCCUCCCAUUCACUUCUUUCGAGAGAAACUUCUUCUCUAGAAAGGAUCCAUUCUUAGGAAUGAAUAUCUUGCCUUUGGAUCUGUGAUAGAAGGUGUACCCAACAGUUUCCUUUGGGUAUCCUAUGAAGACGCAUUUCUCCGAUUUGGGUUCGAGCUUAUCAGGUUGAAACUAUUUCACAUAAGCAUCGCAACCCCAAACUUUAAGAAACGACAACUUAGGUUUCUUGCCAAACCACAAUUCAUAUGGUGUCGUCUCAACGGAUUUAGAUGAUGCCCUAUUUAACGUGAAUGCAGCUGUCUGUAAUGCAUAAUCCCAAAACGAUAGUGGUAAAUCGGUAACAGACAUCAUAGAUCGCACCUUAUCUAAUAAAGUACAGUUAUGAUGUUCGGACACACCAUUAUGCUGUGGUGUUCCAGGUGGCGUGAGUUUGCGAAACUAUUCCACAUUGUUUCAAAUGAAGACCAAACUUGUAACUCAAAUAUUCGUCUCCGCGAUCAGAUCGUAGAAACUUUAUUUUCUUGUUAUGAUGAUUUUCCACUUCACUCUGAAAAUCUUUGAACUUUUCAAAUGUUUCAGACUUAUGUUUCAUCAAGUAAAUAUACCCAUAUCUGCUCAAAUCAUCUGUGAAGGUCAGAAAAUAACAAUACCCGCCACGAGCCUCAACACUCAUCGGACCGCAUACAUCAGUAUGUAUUAUUUCCAACAAGUCUGUUGCUUGCUCCAUUGUUCCAGAGAACGGAGUCUUAGUCAUCUUGCCCAUCACGCAUGGUUCGCAAGCAUCAAGUGAUUCAUAAUCAAGUGAUUCCAAAAGCCCAUCAGCAUGGAGUUUCUUCAUGCGCUUUACACCAAUAUGACCUAAACGGCAGUGCCACAAAUAUGUUGCACUAUCAUUAUUAACCUUGUAUCUUUUGGCAUCACUAUUAUGAAUAUGUGUAUUAUUACGAUCGAGAUUCAGUAAACCAUUUACAUUGGAUGUAUGACCAUAGAAGGUUUUAUUCAUGUAAACAGAACAACAAUUAUUCUCUGACUUAAAUGAAUAACCGUAUCACAAUAAACAUGAUCAAAUCAUAUUCAUGCUCAACGCAAACACCAAAUAACAUUUAUUUAGGUCCAACACCAAUCCCGAAGGUAUAGGGAGUGUGCGAUGAUGAUCUUAUCAACCUUGGAAUCACUUCCAACACACAUCGUCACUUCGCCCUCAACUAGUUUCUGUUCAUUUUGCAACUCCCGUUUCGAGUUACUACUCUUUAGUAGCUGAACCAGUAUCAAAUACCGAGGGGUUGCUAUAAACACUAGUAAAGUACACAUCAAUAACAUGUAUAUCAAAUAUACCUUUAUUCACUUUGCCAUCCUUCUUAUCCGCCAAGUAUCUAGGGCAGUUCCACUUCCAGUGACCAUUUCCUUUGUAGUAGAAGCACUUAGCUUUAGGCUUGGGUCUAGCUUUGGGCUUCAUCACGGGAGUGGCAACUUGCUUGCCAUUCUUCUUGAAGUUCCCUUUCUUUCCCUUGCACUUUUACUUGAAACUAGUGGUCUUUUCAACCAUCAACACUAUGUUUUUCUUGAUGUCUACCUUCGCCGAUUUCAGCAUCGCGAAGAGCUCGGGGAAUCGUUUUCGUCAUCCCUUGCAUAUUAUAGUUCAUCACGAAGUUCCAGUAACUUGGUGAUAGUGACUAGAGAACUUUGUCAAUCACUAUCUUAUCUGGAAGAUUAACUCCCACUUGAUUUAAGCGAUUGUAGUACUUAGACUUUCUGAUCACAUGCUUACUGGUUGAGCUAUUCUCCUCCAUCUUGUAGGCAAAGUACUUGUCAGAGGUCUCAUACCUCUCGACUCGGGCAUGAGUCUGAAAUACCAAUUUCAGCUCUUGGAACAUCUCAUAUGCUCCAUGACAUUUCAAAACAUUUUUGAAGUCCCGGUUCUAAGCCGUAAAGCAUGGUGCACUAAACUAUUAAGUAGUCAUCAUACCGAGCUUUGUCAAACGUUCAUAACGUGUGCAUCUGCUCCUGCAAUAGGUCUGUCACCUAGCGGUGCAUCAAGGACAUAAUUCUUCUGUGCAGCAAUGAGGAUAAUCCUCAGAUCACGGACCUAGUCGCAUCAUUGCUACUAACAUUUUUCAACAUAGUUUUUCUCUAGGAACAUAUCAAAAAUAAAGGGGGAGCUACAUCGCGAGCUAUUAAUCUACAACACAGACAUGCAAAAACUAUCAGGUACUAAGUUCAUGAUAAAUUAAAGUUCAAUUAAUCAUAUUACUUAAGAACUCCCACUUAGAUAGACAUCCCUCUAGUCAUCUAAGUGAUCACGUGAUCCAUAUCAACUAAACCAUGUCCGAUCAUCACGUGAGAUGGAGUAGUCUUCAAUGGUGAACAUCACUAUGUUGAUCAUAUCUACUAUAUGAUUCACGCUCGACAUUUCGGUCUCAGUGUUCCGAGGCCAUAUCUGCAUAUGCUAGGCUCGUCAAGUUUAUCCCGAGUAUUCUGCGUGUGCAAAACAGGCUUGCACCCGUUGUAUGUGAACGUAGAGCUUAUCACACUCGAUCAUCACGUGGUGUCUUAGCACGAAGAACUGUCGCAACGGUGCAUACUCAGGGAGAACACUUAUAACUUGAAAUAUUAGUAAGGGAUCAUCUUAUAAAGCUACCGCCGAACUAAGCAUGCAAUCAAAAUAUGUGACAUGAUAUGGCCAUCAUCAUCUUGUGCCUUUGAUCUCCAUCUCCAAAGUACUGUCAUGACCUCCAUCGUUACCGGCAUGACACCAUGAUCUCCAUCAUCUUGAUCUCUAUCAGCGUGUCGUCACAUGGUCGUCUCGCCAACUAUUGCUUUUUGCAACUAUUGCUAUCGCAUAGCGAUAAAGUAAAGCAAUUACAUGGCGCUUGCAUCUUAUGCAAUAAAGAGACAAUCAUAAGGCUCCAGCCAGUUGCUGAUAAUUAUGUUACAAAACAUGAUCAUAUCAUACAAUAAAAUUUAGCAUCAUGUCUUGACCAUAUCACAUCACAACAUGCCCUGCAAAAACAAGUUAGACGUCCUCUACUUUGUUGUUGCAAGUUUUACGUGGCUGCUACGGGCUGAGCAAGAACCGUUCUUACCUACGCAUCAAAACCACAACGAUUUUUCGUCAAGUAUGUGUUGUUUUAACCUUCAACAAGGACCGGUCGUAGCCACACUUGAUUCAACUAAAGUUGGAGAAACAGACACCCAAUAGCCACCUGUAUGCGAAGCACGUCGGUAGAACCAGUCUCGCGUAAGCGUACGCGUAAUGUCGGUCUGAGCCGCUUCAUCCAACAAUACCGCCGAAUCAAAGUAUGACAUGCUGGUAAGCAGUAUGACUAUUAUUGCCCACAACUCUUUGUGUUCUACUCGUGCAUAUAACAUCUACGCAUAAACCUGGCACGGAUGCCACUGUUGGGGAACGUAGUAAUUUCAAAAUUUUCCUACGCACACGCAAGAUCAUGGUGAUGCAUAGCAACGAGAGGGGAGAGUGUUGUCCACGUACCCUCGUAGACCGUAAGCGGAAGUGUUAUGACAACGCGGUUGAUGUAGUCGUACGUCUUAACGAUCGACCGAUCUUAGCACCGAAAGUACAGCACCUCCGCGAUCUGCACACAUUCGGCUCGGUGACGUCCCACGAAUUCAUGAUCCAGCAGAGUGUCGAGGGAGAGCUCCGUCAGCACGACAGCGUGAUGACAGUGAUGAUGAAGCUACCGGCGCAGGGCUUCACCUAUGCACUACAACGAUAUGACCGAGCUGGAUUAUGGUGAAGGGGGGCACCGCACACGGCUAAGAGAUCAAUGAUCAACUUGUGUGUCUAUGGGGUGCCCCCUGGCCACGUAUAUAAAGGAUGGAGGGAGGAGGAGGCCGGCCCUCAUAGGGUGCGCCCAAAGUGUGGAGUCCUACUAGGACUCCGUAGUCCUAGUAGGAUUCCACCUCCCACAUAGAAUAGGAAAAAGGGAAGGGACAAGGAGAAGGAAGGAAGGGGGCGCCCCCUUUCCCUAGUCUAAUUCGGACCAGUCCAUGGAGAAGGGGCGCAACCACCCUUGAGGCCUUUCUCUCCUUUCCCGUAUGGCCCAUUAAGGCCCAAUACGAAUUCCCGUAACUCUCCGGUACUCCAAAAAUACCUGAAUAAUUUGAAACCUUUCCGAUGUCCGAAUAUAGCCUUCCAAUAUAUCGAUCUUUACGUCUCGACCAUUUCAAGACUCCUCGUCAUGUCCCCGAUCUCAUCCGGGACUCCGAACAAACUUCGGUCAUCAAAUCACAUAACUCAUAAUACAAAUCGUCACAGAACGUUAAGCGUGCGGACCCUACAGGUUCGAGAACUAUGUAGACAUGACCGAGACUCAUCUCCGGUCAAUAACCAAUAGCGGAACCUGGAUUCUCAUAUUGGUUCCUACAUAUUCUACGAAGAUCUUUAUCGGUCAACCUGCAUAACAACAUACGUUGUUCCCUUUGUCAUCGGUAUGUUACUUGCCCGAGAUUCGAUCGUCGGUAUCUCAAUACCUAGUUCAAUCUCGUUACUGGCAAGUCUCUUUACUCGUUCCGUAAUGCAUCAUCCCGCAACUAACUCAUUAGUCACAAUGCUUGCAAGGCUUAUAGUGAUGUGCAUUACCGAGAGGGCCCAGAGAUACCUCUCCGAUACACGGAGUGACAAAUCCUAAUCUUGAUCUAUGCCAACUCAACAAACACCAUUGGAGACACCUGUAGAGCAUCUUUAUAAUCACCCAGUUACGUUGUGAUGUUUGAUAGCACACAAGGUGUUCCUACGGUAUUCGGGAGUUGCAUAAUCUCAUAGUCUGACGAACAUGUAUAAGUCAUGAAGAAAGCAGUAGCAAUGAAACUGUAAUGAUCAUAAUGGUAAGCUAACGAAUUGGUCUUGUCCAUCACAUCAUUCUCCUAAUGAUGUGAUCCCGUUCAUCAAAUUACAACACAUGUCUAUGGUUAGGAAACAUAACUAUCUUUGAUAAACGAGCUAGUCAAGUAGAGGCAUACUAGGGACACUUUGUUUUGUCUAUGUAUUCACACAUGUACUAAGUUUCCAGUUAAUACAAUUCUAGCAUGAAUAAUAAACAUUUAUCAUGAAAUAAAGAAAUAAAUAAUAAUUUUAUUAUUGCCUCUAGGGCAUAUUUCCUUCAGCUCGACCCACUCGGAAUACUCCCACACACUCUCCAAGAACUCUCUCUCGUCGCGUUCCUCUUCGUUUUUGCUGGGGAAGGGCCGGGAGGAGGCCACACUGGGCGCGGCAUGGUCUCUGGAGGUGACUAUGGCAGCAAUGCUUUAGGCCAUGUCUCGUUUGCUGACGCCGUCAGAAUCUGAUGGGGGUUUAUAUAGGUGCGAAGCAUAAUGGUGACGGGUUUUGGACGUUCAAGCAGCUCAUCGAUUGAAAACAGGUGAGCCGUGUCGGCUUGUCCUCGACGAUGGCUAUUAUUCAUUCGCAUCCUACACUUAGUGUGGGUUGCGGUAAAGGAUGGUCAAAGUUGGUGCAUGUCGGUUCAUAAAGGUGUGAUGUACUUUGUUCUAUGUACACACUCCGACACAAUAAUAUUUUAUCUCCUUGGAGAGCCUAAACCUAGGUAAAUUAUGUGUCCUUGUUAUCAUCGGCCCAAGACACCUAGCUUAGAACACCAUAUCGAGGGAUCUGCCAUAUUUAGGUCUGAAUGUCGUGGCCGAUGCAGGUCCUGCUAGGUUAUCGUCGCGGUUCAAUGAGAAUUUGAAUCGACGCUCAGAUGGGCUCCAACGCAAUCUAUCCACCAGGGGCGGAUGUCCGUCUUCGGUGGCAUCACCCUUGUCACCAAUCCGACUGGCCACCUCGGCCAAGUCGAAUCAUUCGCUCUAGGCCAGAUCGUAAGAUGCAGCAACAUGUCAUGUUGUGUUUCAAUAUGUAUGCAAUUAUGGAGUAAAAAGGAGGAAAACCAAAAAAAUUGGGCACCAAUUCUACACCAUGUGUUAAAGCAACAACAACCGUGGUGCCCAAAAACCUUCUCUCUCUGAUUAUAGGGCAUCAAAAUGUACAUCUAUUGGAGUUGCUCUUAUGAACUGUUGCUUAAGAGUCUGCCUCUCCCCCUCCCUACACCCUAAUACUCGUUGUCGGUGUCAAAACCGGCGGAUCUCGGGUAGGGGGUCCCGAACUGUGCGUCUAAGGUCGAUGGUAAUAGGGGACGAGGGACACAAUGUUUACCCAGGUUCGGGCCCUCUCUAUGGAGGUAAUACCCUACUUCCUGCUUGAUUGAUCUUGAUGAAUAUGAGUUGAUCUACCACGAGAUCGCAAUGGCUAAAACCCUAGAAGUCUAGCCUGUAUGACUAUAAUUGUAUAUGCCGAUCCGGACUAAGCCCUCCGGUUUAUAUAGACACCGGAGGGGACUAGGGUUGUACAAAUUCGGUUACAAAGAAAGGAAUAUUCAUAUUUGGUCGCCAAGCUUGCCUUCCACGCCAAGGAGAGUCCCAUCCGGACACGGGUAGAGUCUCCGGUAUUUGUAUCUUCACAACCCAACAGUCCGGCCCAUGUCCAACAGGCCGGACGCCCGAGGACCCCUUAGUCCAGGACUCCCUCAGUAUCCCCUGAACCAGGCUUCAAUGACGAGGUGUCCGAUGCGUAGAUUGUCUUCGGCAUUGCAAGGCAGGUUCCCUUUUCCGAACACUCCAAGAUAGUCUUCGGACGCAACGAACGUGUCCGGACCUGCAACACAAGUACCACACGCACAGCCGUAGAGAGUAUAAUAUUUCACGAGUCCCAUCUGCUGACAACUUUUUGCAAGAUGACAUCACGUCUGCCCGGUCAUUAUUUUGAACCGUUUUUGUCUGCCAUUCCGCGUUUCGAGAUGCGGUUUCCAUUGGCACGUCUUGUCAAAGCAGAGAUCAUGUCCCCUUAUCGUGGGAUUCUCAUCGCUGAGCUUCGGGAGGCUGGGUAUCUGGCAAAAGAGAUCGCCCACCGGCUUCCGGCCAAGGGGCAAGUCAUCCCUACACCGAAGCCCAACGAGAGGGUGGUGUUCCUCCCUCAUUUCGUCUGCGGGUUAGGGUUUCCACUCCAUCCUUUCGUCCGCGGACUGAUGUUCUAUUACGGGCUAGAUUUCCAUGAUCUAGCCCCGAACUCCUUCCUCAACAUCUCGGCAUUCAUUGUCGUGUGUGAGGCUUUCCUCCGCAUCCAGCCCCACUUCGGCCUGUGGCUCAAGAUCUUCAACAUGAAGCUGAAGGUGGUGGACGGCCAACACGCAGAGUGCGGAGGAGCCAUGGUGAGCAAGAUGCCCAACGUCAUAUGGCCCAAAGGCACAUUUGUGGAGACUGUCAAGGAGUGGCAGAAGCUGUGGUUCUAUAUCACAGAACCCCGCGACGCCACCUGGGCCGCAGCUUCCAAAUUCAAGUCCGGAGCUCCAAUGCGGCUGACCUCCUGGAUGGAGAAGGGCCCAAAUUAGUUUUUUAUCGGAUGAGCUGAUGGCGCUGCAAACGCGCAUCCAAAGCAUGGUGGACAAAAACAUCAAGCUCGUCGACGUGAUCCAGGUGAUGCUAGUUCGCCAGAUCCUCCCCUGCCAAAGCCGAACCUCCCCUUUAUGGGAAUUCGAUCCGGAGAAGCACCAAACCUUGGUGAGGCUCUUCGGGACCACUCACGAAGAUGCCUGGAAGUUGCUCUUUAAGGGCGUUGAGAAGCCGCCGGCCAUAGACUCGGACCGUGGGCACGAUCUUGCCCAUCCCGCCAAUGCGGUAAGUCCUUCACGUCUCAGGGCGUACCCUCUACUUGCUUGCUCAAGGAGGGUAACUAAACUUUACUAAUUUAUCCUUUCAGGUAUGGACAGAGAAAGCGGAGCGUAUUCGGUGUCCGACUCCGUUGCCCGAGGAACCAGUCAUCCCGCUCUUGGCGAAGAUGCUGGUCCCGGUGCCCUACCAGCCGCCGGAGAAGAAGUCCAAGGGGGGUCGGGGUGGCCUCCGCCGCAAGGGUGCUUCGGACGUGAUGUCCGAAGACAAGACUCACUCCUCUGCCGCCGAAGACGACGACGACAAGGAGGAGGAAAGCAACUCCCCCCCAGAGGGGGGAAGGAAGAAGAGGGCGGCCUCCACAAAUUUGGAGGCGGAGGCGCCCAAGAGGGGGAAGGCCCCUCUCGCGGAUAACUCCACAUGGGAUGUCGACAGCAGCCCAGAGCGCCCCCCCCGAAGCAAGCCCCUGCCCCAUCGUAAGUACUAAAAAUCCGUAUACGUCCAUGUGUCCGGCCUUCCUGCUUCAUGGUAUUAAUAUAUUAUGCUAUUACAGUCUGGCCCACGACAGCUCCCAGCGAUCCUCAUUAGGAGGUUCGCUAGAUUCAAAGGCGAAGGCCAGCGAGUCACCGUCGGCCGCUCACUCUCCCACGGCCAAGGGUGGUGACGAGGUGGUGUCCCGAAGGACCUUCCCAGGCCAGGGAGAGGUUCAGGAGGCCGUUAGGGUGGCGCCAGAGGAUGACUCCUCGGCCGCCGGGCACAUGGGGGAGGAAGCCCCCAAGGAGACUGGCGAUGGGGGCCAUAUCCAAUUCGGCCCCCAGCCGAAUACCAUUCCAGAGACCUACACGGCUCCGGAGUCAAGCGAGCAGCCUUCCCCGAAAGGAGGAGGUGUGCCUGUUCCGCCGGUGACCUCUGUCCAACCAGAGGCACCGGAUAAUCUGCUGGAAGCGCUACGAGGCGCUUCCAUUGUGGAUGAACACCGUAUCCUUAUGGGUACGGUGAUUGAGAAAGUUCAAUCCAUCAAGAGCGGACUGACCGAAGCCUGCAGCAGCCUGCUGACAGGUUUUGAGGUAAGCGACGCAGGAGAGAAAAUCCCAAUAUAGACAGUAGGGGCAUUGUCCGGUGUUCGGAAAGAAAAGCCGGACAGAGGAUCAAUUAAUUUUCACAGGAAACUAACUAAAUGUGUCUUAUAUGCAUAAGCAGGCGUCGUUGCUGGCCGCGACAUCACACACUGCCGAAGUCUCCGGACUGAAGCAGAGAAUGAAGCGGGCCGAGGAGGAGCUCGGCCAGGCGAGGAAGCAACUAGAAGACCAGCAAGGUAUGUAAUAACUCGCCAUAUAUUCAGAAAGAAUAAAUGCUGUGUAUUGACCGUAGUGUCAUGAUAUGUGUAGGAGCGACGACCGAGGUCAAGGCCCUUAAAAAGGCCCUGGCCGAAGCCGAGGAGAAGGCUGCCAAGAGCAAGCCGCCCGCAAAAAGUUCAAGGCCAGGCUCAACGAGGUCUAGCAAGAGCUCCAGGACGCUGUGAAAAAAUGCGAGGCCUUGGAGUGCGAUGUUUCGGCUCGAGAGACCGAACUCGCCAAGGCUCGCUAAAGCGCGGAAGAGGCUCGGGUUGAAGCCCAGGGCACCCUCCAGGAGAUCCAGGAGGCCAAGAAGAUCACGGCGGGUAAGGCAUUUAGUAUGCAAAGCAAGUAUGUGAAGAAGAAGUAUUUCUUACUAACCCGGAUUCGGAAUUCUCCGGGGGCGUUUGUGGAUCUGCCACGCAGUGUGUCCGAUGCUGCGGAGUUCUUCCGAGCUGAAGAAGGGAGCUCAACGGAGAAGCUGUUCUGGUCGCAAUAUCUUGCGCCAGAACAUCCGACGCCCUUCAGCAAUCAGCUAAAACAGCUGGUCGAGCUGCACAGGGUGGCCGAACUGGCCAUGAAGGAUUUGAUAAUUCGGUUGUGGCCUGCCGAAGCUAUACCCAGCAGCUACUUCGGCCUCGUGAAGCAGUUGGUGAAUGCCUGUCCUCAGCUGGACGUCGUCAAGCGGUCGGUCUGCAUCGAGGGCGCGCGCCUGGCCUUCGCCCAUGUCAAGGUGUGGUGGGCGAAGAUGGACGCCGUCAAGCUAGAGACCGAGGGGCCGCAUGAGGGCAAGGAGCACCGCACGCCCGAGCAAUAUUUUGGACACGUCCUGGAGGGGUCUCGCAUCGUGGCGACGCAAUGUGCGAAAGACAUUAUCUUUGAAUGAGUACAUUCAUGUUGUCUCUGCCUUGUAUGAUAAAACAAAGUUGUUAUGUAAUAUAUUAUUUGUUUUAAAAAAAUUUACCUCAUGUGCGGCUGUAUUUUGUGAAAUCUGAGAGUUGGCCAGUCGUCGGCUGCUGCCCCCACGUAGAUAGUACGGCGGUGUUCGGGAUGUAAUCUAAACACUCUUGAUCCAAUUGUUGGUCCUUGAAGGAGGUGUUUAGCGCAACGAACCAGGCAAUCAGACUAUGCGGCUUGAACACCCUCACUUAGCCAUAGGAGUUUGACAAUAAAAAUAUAGGUGCAGCCCCUCGUAUCCGAACUAGGAUGCUGUAAACACCUAAUCGGGCAAGUACCGAUCCCUCGCGUAAUGCGGAAAAAAUCUCCAACGAUUUGAGACCUCCGAAGAGCUGACCGGCUCUCGCCGCAUCAUGGCAGUCAGUUUUCGGCUUUCUCUACUGAGGUGCUCCAUCGGGUAAAACAGGGCACAAUCGCAGUAGUUCUCCCUUUACUACCUUAGCUGAUAUAGCAGAACGUAAGGUAGCAAGCACAGGAGCCGGGCAACCCAACUAUUGACCAAAGACAUGAUUUGGAGCCAAUGCAUAUAAUGCUAAAUUCGGGGUGCCGAACUGUACUGUAAAAAAGUGUUCGGACUUUGUUGCCAUAGUGCGGGGCGCUAUGAAGCCCCUCGCAAAUUGAAACGUACCAAAGUGUAUGGGUGCUAAGGUUAUCAACAGAAAAAAGGGAAACAAAAAAGGAGCAAAGGUAAUGAGCCCGGGCCGCAGAAUUUGGGCCGCAAACUGUUUUCAUUAUAAUUUUAUUAAUACGUUAAAGCGCAUUGAUACAAAUAGUGCGAUAAGCAACAAGCUAUUUGACAUGCCACAACCAAGGGAGAGCUGCGUGUGGGUCCUGAAAACAGGUAGAGUGAUCGUUAAAGAAAACACCUAGAAAUUCCCCUGUACGUUUGUGCUUCUUGCCAUCUUAGUGUAUUUAUCCUUUGACAGGACCGGUGAUCAAGCCAUCAGGAAAAGCCUGUGGAAAAAGAAACCUGAAAAAGGGGAAAGAGAAACAGUGAAAGUAUGUGUGUCCGGGAGCGGUCGAGCCGUAUUGCGGAUCACAAGCUAGCUAUGCCUCCGUCUAUGCCCAUGGUAUUUUGAGUGCGUAGUUAUGUACGCGCAGCGCAAAUGCCGCCACUUGAUCGGGACUAGGACGGAGGCCAAAUUGCUAGUCGAGCUCUUGACGAGCCGAGCUAUCCUGCUGCAGAAUAGUCCGGACCCUCUUGAUAGUGUCCGGGAGUUCGGCCGCUGAAUUGAGGUUCUGCUUGAGAAGGCCGCUCUGUACUUCUGCUGCUAAGGCAGCGGUGUGCUCCUCGGUACGGAGGGAGCAUUCCGGGUUUCCAUUAACUAUUAUGACGCCGCGUGGUUCGGGCAUCUUGAGCUUGAGUUAAGCAUAAUGAGGCACCACAUUAAAUCGAGCAAAUGCGGUUCGUCCGAGCAGUGCGUGAUAGCCGCUGCGAAAAGGGACGAUAUCGAAGAUUAACUCUUCGCUUCGGAAGUUGUCCGGAGAUCCGAAGACAACCUCGAGCAUAAUUGAGCCCGUACAGUGAGCCUCUACACCUGGUAUCACUCCUUUGAAGGUAGUCUUUGUGGGCUUGAUCCGUGAUGGGUUAAUGCCCAUUUUGCGCACUGUAUCCUGAUAGAGCAGAUUGAGUCUGCUGCCACCGUCCAUGAGGACACGCGUCAGGUUGAAUCCAUCAAUGAUUGGGUCGAGGACCAGUGCGGCUGAACCGCCAUGAAGGAUACUAGUCGGGUGAUCCCGGCGAUCAAAGGUGAUCGGGCAUGACGACCAUGGAUUAAAUUUUGGGGCGACUGGCUCUAUCACAUAGAUGUCCCUGAGCGCGCGCUUGCGCUCCCUCUUAGGGAUGUGUGUGGCAUAUAUCAUGUUCACCGUUUUGACUUGGGGGGGGGGGAACUUCUUUUGUCCCCCUAUGUUCGGUUGCCGGGGCUCCUCGUCAUCGUCCUCGCUUUGCAAUCCCUUUUCCUUGUUCUCGGCAUUUAACUUGCCGGCCUGUUUAAAAACCCAACAAUCUCUGUUGGUAUGAUUGGCUGGUUUGUCUGGGGUGCCAUGGAUCUGGCACGGACGAUCAAGUAUGCGGUCCAAGCUGGAUGGUCCUUGAUUGUUUCUUUUAUAUGGCUUCUUCCGCUGACCGGACUUGGAGCCACUGAAUCCGUCGUUGACUGUCGUGUCAUCGGUGUUGUCACCAAUGCUUCGGCGUUUGUGUCUGCUGCGUCGGAGCUUGCCAUUGCUAUUUUUACCCUCGGAGGUGCCCAUUUCGCUUGUUAUGUUUUUGCUACGGGCCAGCCAACUAUCCUCACCCGCACAAAAGCAGGUCAUGAGUGCCGUGAGGGCUACCAUGGACUUCGGCUUUUCUUGGCUGAGGUGGCGGGCUAGCCAUUCGUCACGGAUGCUAUGUUUAAAGGCCGCUAGGGCUUCGGCAUCCGGAUAGUCGACGAUCUGGUUCUUUUUAGUUAGGAACCUAGUCCAGAAUUUCCUGGCUGACUCUCCAGGUUGUCGAACUAUGUGACUUAAGUCAUCGGCAUCUGGUGGCCUGACAUAUGUACCUUGGAAGUUGUCAAGGAAGGCUUCUUCCAAGUCCUCCCAGCUGCCAAUAGAAUUUUCAGGCAGACUAUUUAGCCAGUGCCGAGCUGGCCCUUUGAGUUUUAGUGGGAGGUAUUUGAUGGCGUGAAGGUCAUCCCCGCGGGCCAUGUGGAUGUGGAGAAUAAAAUCCUUGAUCCAUACCGCGAGAUCGGUUGUUCCAUCGUAUGAUUCGAUGUUUAUGGGUUUAAACCCUUCUGGGAAUUAAUGAUCCAUUACUUCAUCAGUGAAGCAAAGAGGGUGUGCGACGCCUCUAUAUCGAGCCGCAUCGCGACGUAGCUCCGACGGAGUCCGUGUGUGGUUUUUGGCCUGGGCGUGACUAGGUCUGUCACGUCCGAAUAGAUAGCCGUCGUCGCGUGUCGAAGCGCGUCCUCGCGAUCCGUAGAUCGAUCUUGUAUGUCCUGCUCUGCUGUCCAGGUCCUGCCGAAGGUCAUAUGUGUAACCCCGAGCUAUUUUAUCUCUGCCUUUACGGCGGGGUGGGGCAUUCUGGUGUUCGGCUUGAGUUGCCACUUUAUCCCGACUGCGUGGUGGUCGAUCAGCCGCAUUGCGUGAUGCUGGUACGGGCUCUAGUGCCUCGUCAUCGAACCGAGGUAGCAAUUUGCGCUUUGGGUAACUUUUGGCCGGGCGCUUGAGGCCGUAUUCUUCGGCUGCUAGGACAUCAGUCCAUCUGUCGUUGAGCAGAUCUUGGUCAGCUUGAAGCUGCUGCUGCUUCUUUUUCAGGCUCCUUGCACUGGCUAUUAGCUGGCGCUUGAAGCGCUCCUGCUCGAGCGGUUCCUCAGGAAUGAUAAAAUCCUCAUUGCCGAGGCUCACCUCCUCCUCGGAGAGCGGAUGAUAACUACCGUCCUCCGAGUCUUCGUCUAUGGCCUGUUCAUCAAGGCUAACUUGCCCAUCUUCCCGAUUGUUCUGUUCGGCAGUUUGUUCGUCGAGGUCUUCUAUGUCUUCAGCACCAUCCGGAGUGUUAUCGUCUCCUGUGCCGGUGUUGUUGUCUUUGCUGCGGCGGGAUUUAGAGCGGCGCCGCUGACGCUGGCGCUUUGGUUGUGUCUUAGGAGGGUCAUCCUCGACUGGAUUUUCCUUGUCCUCACCGUUAUUCUCUUUGGGUGUAUCCACCAUAUAUACGUUGUACGAAGAAGUGGCCGUCCAGCGUCUGGUAAAUGGCAGGUUUUGGGCCUCCUCUUCUCCGGCAUCGUCGACCAUACCGUCGAUGUCUUCGGAGUCGUAAUCGAGCGUGUCAGUUAGGUCUUCGACAGUGGCUAUGAAGUGGGCGGUGGGCGGGAAAUGAAAUUCUCCAUCGUCAGCCUCCAGUUCAAACCGGAUAUAAUUCGGCUGAGAGUCCCCCACUACGGAUAGAUUCUUUAAUGAGUUCAGCAUGUCGCCUAAAGGCGAGUGUCGGAAGAUGUCCGCGGCGCUAAAUUCGGCGAUCGAUGAACGAUCCUGCUCGACGUACGCGGACGCACAUGGCUCGGAACUUAUAGCCGGAAACGAGUCCAAGGUUCCGGAGACACAGAUAUCACUCGAGGUUAGGUCUGUGUGCGGCUCCAACGCCGCGGAGUCUACGGCUUCCGUGGCGGGGUUGAGCUUCCCGUCCUCGAAUGGCACGAUUUGCUCUGGCUCUAAGGCCAGGGCGGUUACAGGUGCAAUUUCCUGGGCAUGGCCCAAUGACAGAUUUGAGUCAUGUUCAUCAUGGCGACGGGGAGCGACUGCCGUGGUCUCGAAUCCGUCGAAGAUUAAGUCUCCGCGGAUAUCCGCGACAUAGUUCAAGCUUCCAAAUCUGACCUGAUGGCUAGGGGCGUAGCUUUAGAUCUGCUCCAGAUGGCCAAGCGAGUUGGCCCGUAGUGCGAAGCCGCCGAACACAAAGAUCUGUCCGGGAAGGAAGACUUCUCCUUGGACAGCAUCGUUGUAGAUGAUCGAAGGAGCCAUCGAACCUUUUGAGGACGGCACAGCGGAACUCUCAAUGAAAGCACCAAUGUCGGUGUCAAACCGGCGGAUCUCGGGUAGGGGGUCCCGAACUGUGCGUCUAAGGUCGAUGGUAACAGGAAACGGGGGACACAAUGUUUACCCAGGUUCGGGCCCUCUCUAUGGAGGUAAUACCCUACUUCCUGCUUGAUUGAUCUUGAUGAAUAUGAGUAUUAUAAGAGUUGAUCUACCAUGAGAUCGCAAUGGCUAAAACCCUAGAAGUCUAGCCUGUAUGACUAUAAUUGUAUACGCCGAUCCGGACUAAGCCCUCCGGUUUAUAUAGACACCGGAGGGGACUAGGGUUGUACAAAUUCGGUUACAAAGAAAGGAAUCUUCAUAUUUGGUCGCCAAGCUUGCCUUCCACGCCAAGGAGAGUCCCAUCCGGACACGGGUAGAGUCUCCGGUCUUUGUAUCUUCACAGCCCAACAGUCCGGCCCAUGUCCAACAGGCCGGAUGCCCGAGGACCCCUUUGUCCAGGACUCCCUCACUUGUCGUUGAUCCUGCCUUGAUGUUGUAUGAAUUGAUCCCAGAUGGCACAUUCUGGUUUGCUAAGCUUUGGCUUAUAAUAUGGCCCAGAAUUCCCUAGGAUGAAUAAUGCCAGGCUGUCAAUACUAUUAGGGCUCAUUUGGUUACAAGAGAUCCUCCCGGGAACCAUGCCUCUUCCUUGGGUGGAGAGAACUUGGGUUGAAUCGGUCCAGGGAAGCCAACCGCUGCAUUUGGACUCCCAUGAGAUUGGGGCACCCCCGCCCCUUCCAUGACCUUUCCCCGGGAGCGGCUUCCACGGCUCGAGAGGUCAGGGAUCAAACCCCCGCUCGCUACCGCGAAAAAGUGGUGACGGGGCUGGAAGCGUCGCCUCCCCACCCCCCUUCACCAUCCUUCCUCCAGCGCUCCACGUCUAAGCUUCGUCGUUCCCGUGGCUGUAACAGAAAUUCCCCGCGGUGGUGGGAAAUCCCAUGUGCAUGUGAAAACUACCCCUACAGCGUGUUUGGCUAGAAUGAGGAAAUGGAAUGGGAGUUUACACGUGUGAGUUUAGCAGGGGAUUAGGCGUGGGAAGUUGAAUUUUAGUUCCAAUCCCAUGUUUGAUGUAUGGUGGUAAUUAGUAAAGGGAAUUUAAGAGAAAAUAACUUUCCAACUGAAUUAACAGGGGAGGCUCGGAAGAGAUAGGUGGGGAUUGACCUCCUUAGUUCACUUUCCCCAUCUCACCCCAAUUCCCUUGCCCUCAAACCAAACAAUGGACUAUAUAUCACGUACCCCUUAAAUUCUCAUUCCCUACCUCUAAUACCCCCAGCCAAACGGGCUGCUAGGGGCUUGUGGCCUUGGGCUUUCUCCCCCUUCUAACAAACAAGGUCUUAUAAUUCUGCGAAACAUUGCAAGUUUAUUCAGGAUGUUGUGCAUUGUUUUUAUUCAGCAGAACAUUGCAGGUUUAAUAGUUUCAUUUUUAUUUUGGAGAUAAAUUAAUAGAGCUCUCUUUGGCAAUAAAUACCACUCCCUCCAUCUCACAAUAUAAAAUGUUUUCCCAAGCUAUAUGAGUGAGUAGCACGCUGCGCCUGUUUCAUAAGAAAAAGAGGAAAAAAAAGGAACAGUCUAGCCUUGGGCAGUUGGGCACACUGGGACAGAGUUCAGGUGACGUGCCUCUGUGCAGUCAUGCUGUAACAUGCGGCCACCCAUCUGUCGUUGAAGCAAGAUCCAACGCAACUGAUUGGCCCAAGUGAAACCAAGCCACAACUAUACAGACUUGAGGGACGGACGGGGACUAUGGCGGGGGAAAACUAGAGAUUUGGCGGGACACGUCGUCCUCUCCUGCGCCGCGAACGAGAGGCUGGAGGGCGACUGUCGCCGUGGUGGAGGAGAGGAAGGCGAGCUGCCACGCAGGGGAGCCCCCAAGAUGGAAGCGAGGCAGCCCAAGGCCGUCACCGAGGAGCACGAGGAGGGGCGCCGCCGCCAUGGAGGAGAGCGGCGAGGGGCUGCGCCGUGGCUGUAGAGGAGGGAGGAGAGCCACUGCACCGUGAGAUUCCACGUGAACCUCUCCAGAUGAAUCUGUAGUGAGUCCCCUGUUGUUCAUCUUUAGGCUAAACAUCUUCUGACAUUUUACUUUGGCUGAAAAUGUUCUUACUCCCUCAUCGUAUCAGCUAUACAAAUGCUCUAAAGCACUGCUUGACUGCUUAUUUUUUAUCUAAAUAAAAGUGCAAAUCUGCAGCAUCUUUUCAUGGAUUUGGAUCCUUGACUUGCAUCUCUGAAAUCUGCAACUCAUGUUUAUGCAACUGAAGUACACAAGAUAGUUUCUCUGCAAUGUUGUUUGAUUUAGUAACAAGUAACAAAUCAGUACUUUAGAGGGCAAGAAACCUGCACAUUUGAUGCUUCUCUGCAUGUUUAUGGUGGUCAUGCCAUGAUGACUAGGUUCAGCUUAUGAAGUAAUGUGUGUUGAUUAAACCCAGUCUAAAGGGCAGUGCACAGCUGCCAUUGCUUGAAAAGUAGCAAGUACUAUGCUAGGCUUUCUCCGAUCAAAAGACUGAGAUGGAGAAGUAGCUAGAUAGUAGUAGGCUUUAUCUAGUCAAAAGGCUGAGGUGGAGAUGCAGGUAAGUAUAGCAUUAGGCUUUAGCUGUGGAAGCAAUUACGUAGUAGUUUCUAGGAAAUGGCUUUUGCAUGGCCAUGGUAGUAGCCCCGUAAUUUCUAGCGUGUGUGUGAGCCAGCCCAAUAACAAUUUCAGAAAUUCCUAAUAAAUUCUAGAGGUCCACUAAGCCCAUUCGUGCAAGGCAAGGGACACUACUAAAGUUUAGUCCCACAUUGCUAGUUUAGAGGGAGUUGGACCUCUUUAUAAGGGAGGUUCUUUCCCCACAUGUAUGAGCAUGAGAACAAGAGGGACAUCCACGCGCGCUCCUCCUCCGCCGCCCGCCUCGCCUCGCCAUCUCUCGUCACGACGCGACGGGGGUUGCGGGAAUGAGCCGAGCCGAUGUCUAAAUUUUUGCCACGCACUACGGGUAUACGAAAGGUCACUCGGAGCUAGAAAGUUUUUGCUGUAGUGGAUAUUGAAUACGAACGUUGCACCCUUCGGCUGCUGCCUGUUCGUUUCAUCUCCCUCGUUCCCUUCAGCUCCCGGCGCAGCCUCUCGCCUCCUUCUCUUGCGCCUAUAAAAGGGAGGUCGCUCCUCUCAGAGAGAUGCACCAGAACUUCUUCUUCCUCUCGCCACCGGUUUCAUUCUCUGAGCUGUUGCAGUCUUCCUCAUCCCGGCUUGCGGCGUGCACCGCGAGUCGGGACAGUAGGCCUCCGAAACCGCACCACUUUGAGUCCUGUACGGGAGAAGGGUGAUAAGGUUUUUAGGGAGCGCUCCGCACGACUACUGACUCCUUCAUCACGGACUCCGACGACUACUUCCCCGACGACGACUUCUUCCCCGACGUCGACAACCUCAUCGACGACAUGGCUGGAGAGGAUGUCGACCCCAUGUCCAGUGCUUCUGCUGCUGCUGUCCUGUACGUGUUCUUGUUCUUUCUGUUAGGAGUCCUGCUACAGUUCUUGGCUCUUGUUUCUGCCCUACAUAUGUUAGGUUCUAUGUCAUAUAAGCAACUUAAUCUAGUGUCUGUUCUAGAUGUGUUUAGCUCAAGUUCAUAUAUGCAGACGUUGUUUACCUUCUCUCUGUCAGAUUGCAUGACUUUCUUUAUAUUUGCUAUAUUAGUCAUGCUUUAUCUAGUAUUUCCGUUAGCAAAAUUAUUUGGUAAAUUGCUCAUAUUUCCAACAAUCCAAAAACCUUAUUAUAGGCAAUUUACACCAAGUGGUUUUGCUGCUUCCAUGAGACCUCCUAUGUUUGAGGGUAUCCACUAUAAGAGGUGGCGCGUGAGAGCAGUCUUAUGGUUUCAAACCAUGAGUUGUUAUGACGCCACUCUUGGCAAACCUGAAGGAGAGCUUGAUGCUCAACAGGCACAAGCUUUUCAGAAAAUGGAUACUCUGUUUAAGGCUGCUCUCUUGAGUGUUCUUGGUGAGAACAUAGUUGAUGCUUAUGCGUCAAUUGAUAAUGGAAAAGAUAUGUGUGAUCCACUCGAGGCCAAGUUUGGGGUCUCGGAUGUUGGCACUGAGCUGUACAUCAUGGAGCAAUUCUAUGAUUACAGGAUGACUGAAGAGCGCUCUGUGGUUGAGCAAGCUCAUGAGAUGCAGUCAUUUGCUAGAGAACUUGAGCACUUCAGUUCUAUGCUACCGGACAAGUUUGUUGUCGGAGGUAUCAUCAGUAAGCUUCCUCCUUCAUGGAGGAACUUUGCUACCUUACUGAAGCAUAAGAGGCAGGAGUUUUCCGUUCCGGAUCUCAUUGGCACUCUUGAUGUGGAAGAAAAGGCGAGAGCAAAGGACACACGUGCUCGAGGUAUUGAGGAAGGAUCUAGUGCCAAUCUGGUACAGAAGAAGAACUUCCAGCCCCACAAGUUCAAGAACAAGGGAAAGUUUAAUGGUAAACCAAAGUUUGAUGGGAAGAACAAGGCUGUGCAACACACGAACUUCAAGAAGAAGAAUGACAAGAAGAAAGGUGCUUGUCAUGUGUGUGGGGAUCCUGAUCAUUGGGCUCCUAGUUGCCCUAAUCGCUGUGACAAGCGUCAUCCUGGGAAAGGCGGCAAAACCGCUAAUGUUGUCAUUGGAGACACUGACAUGAAGGAUGCUGGUGUUGGAAAUAUGCCCUAGAGGCAAUAAUAAAUAGGUUAUUAUUAUAUUUCCUUGUUCAUGAUAAUCGUUUAUUAUCCAUGCUAGAAUUGUAUUGAUAGGAAACUCAGAUACAUGUGUGGAUACAUAGACAACACCAUGUCCCUAGUAAGCCUCUAGUUGACUAGCUCGUUGAUCAAUAGAUGGUUACGGUUUCCUGACCAUGGACAUUGGAUGUCGUUGAUAACGGGAUCACAUCAUUAGGAGAAUGAUGUGAUGGACAAGACCCAAUCCUAAGCCUAGCACAAGAUCGUGUAGUUCGUUUGCUCAGAGCUUUUCUAAUGUCAAGUAUCACUUCCUUAGACCAUGAGAUUGUGCAACUCCCGGAUACCGUAGGAAUGCUUUGGGUGUGCCAAACGUCACAACGUAACUGGGUGGCUAUAAAGGUGCACUACGGGUAUCUCCGAAAGUGUCUGUUGGGUUGGCACGAAUCGAGACUGGGAUUUGUCACUCCGUGUAAACGGAGAGGUAUCUCUGGGCCCACUCGGUAGGACAUCAUCAUAAUGUGCACAGUGUGAUCAAGGAGUUGAUCACGGGAUGAUGUGAGUUACGGAACGAGUAAAGAGACUUGCCGGUAACGAGAUUGAACAAGGUAUAGGGAUACCGACGAUCGAAUCUCGGGCAAGUAACAUACCGAUGGACAAAGGGAAUUGCAUACGGGAUUGAUUGAAUCCCCGACAUCGUGGUUCAUCCGAUGAGAUCAUCGUGGAACAUGUGGGAGCCAACAUGGGUAUCCAGAUCCCGCUGUUGGUUAUUGACCGGAGAACGUCUCGGUCAUGUCUGCAUGGUUCCCGAACCCGUAGGGUCUACACACUUAAGGUUCGAUGACGCUAGGGUUAUAGGGAAAGUAUGUACGUGGUUACCGAAUGUUGUUCGGAGUCCCGGAUGAGAUCCCGGACGUCACGAGGAGUUCCGGAAUGGUCCGGAGGUAAAGAUUUAUAUAUGGAAAGUUGUUGUUCGGGUUCCGGGAAAAGUUCGGGUUUUUUCGGUAUUGUACCGGGAAGCUUCCAGAAGAUUCCGGAGGAUUCCGGAGGGGUCCGGAGGUCCGGAAAAUGUUCCACCACGUCUAAUACAGUAGCAUGGGCUGUAAGGGGGCGCCCUAGCCUUAAUGGGCCAGGGGCACCAGCCCCCCAAGGCCCAUGCGCAUGGGAGAGGGGAAACCCUAAGGGGGAGGGCCUCCACUUGACUUGGGAGGCACUCCUCCCCCCUUUGGCCGCCCCCCAAGCCCCAUCUAGGGCUAGCCGCACCCCUUGAGGGGGGAAACCCUAGAUGGGGGCGCAGCCCUCCCCCUCCCCUAUAUAUAUUGAGGUUUUGGGCUGCCAUAGACAUGAGAACGUCUCCUUUUGGUGCAGCCCUACCCCUCUUCCUCCUCCUCCUCUCCCGCGGUGCUUGGCGAAGCCCUGCGGGAUUGCCACGCUCCUCCACCACCACCAUGCCGUCGUGUUGCUGCUGGAUGGAGUCUUCCCCAACCUCUCCCUCUCUCCUUGCUGGAUCAAGGCGUGGGAGACGUCACCGGGCUGCACGUGUGUUGAACGCGGAGGCACCGUUCUUUCGGUGCUUAGAUCGGAAUCAACCGCGAUCUGAAUCGCUACGAGUACGACUCCCUCAUCCGCGUUCUUGCAACGCUUCCGCAUCGCGAUCUACAAGGGUAUGUAGAUUCACUCCCCUUCCCCUCGUUGCUAGAUUACUCCAUAGAUUGAUCUUGGUGAUGCGUAGAAAAUUUUGAAUUUCUGCUGCGUUACCCAACAGUGGCAUCAUGAGCUAGGUCUAUGCGUAGUUUCUAUGCACGAGUAGAACACAAAGUAGUUGUGGGCGUCGAUGUUGUCAAUUCUUCUUGCCGCUACUAGUCUUAUCUUGUUUCGGCGGCAUUGUGGGAUGAAGCGGCCCGGACCGACCUUACACGUACGCUUACGUGAGACAGGUUCCACCGACUGACAUGCACUAGUUGCAUAAGGUGGCUAGCGGGUGUCUGUCUCUCCCACUUUAGUCGGAACGGAUUCGAUGAAAAGGGUCCUUAUGAAGGGUAAAUGGAAAUUGGCAAAUCACGUUGUGGUCAUACGUAGGUAAGAAACGUUCUUGCUAGAAACCUACAAACCACGUAAAAACUUGCAACAACAAUUAGAGGACGUCUAACUUGUUUUUGCAGCAUGUGCCUUGUGAUGUGAUAUGGCCAGAAGAUGUGAUGAAUGAUAUAUGUGAUGUAUGAGAUUGAUCAUAUUCUUGUAAUAAGAAUCACGACUUGCAUGUCGAUGAGAAUGACAACCGGCAGGAGCCAUAGGAGUUGUCUUUAUUAUUUUUGUAUGACCUGCGUGUCAUUGAAUAACGCCAUGUAAGUUACUUUACUUUAUUGCUAAGCGCGUUAGCCAUAGAAGUAGAAGUAACCAUUGGCAUGACAACUUCAAGAAGACACAAUGAUGGAGAUCAUGAUGAUGGAGAUCAUGGUGUCAUGCCGGUGACAAAGAUGAUCAUGGUGCCCCGAAGAUGGAGAUCAAAGGAGCAUAAUGAUAUUGGCCAUAUCAUGUCACUAUUUGAUUGCAUGUGAUGUUUAUCAUGUUUUUGCAUCUUAUUUGCUUAGAACGACGGUAGCAAGUAGGAUGAUCCCUUAUAAUAAUUUCAAGAAAGUGUUCACCCUAACUGUGCACCGUUGCGAAGGUUCGUCGUUUCGAAGCACCACGUGAUGAUCGGGUGUGAUAGAUUCUUACGUUCGAAUACAACGGGUGUUGACGAGCCUAGCAUGUACAGACAUGGCCUCGGCCCACACGCAAUACACUUAGGUUGACUUGACGAGCCUAGCAUGUACAGACAUGGCCUCGGAACACGGAGGACCGAAAGGUCGAGCAUGAGUCGUAUAGAAGAUACGAUCAACAUGGAGAUGUUCACCGAUCUUGACUAGUCCGUCUCACGUGAUGAUCGGACACGGCCUAGUUGAACUCGGAUCAUGUUUCACUUAGAUGACUAGAGGGAUGUCUAUCUGAGUGGGAGUUCAUAAUCAGAUGAACUUCAUUAUCAUGAACAUAGUCAAAAAGGUAUUUGCAAAUUAUGUCAUAGCUUGCGCUUUAAGUUCUACUGGUUUAGAUAUGUUCCUAGAGAAAAAUUUAGUUGAAAGUUGGUAGUAGCAAUUAUGCGGACUGGGUCCGUAAACUGAGGAUUGUCCUCAUUGCUGCACAGAAGGCUUAUGUCCUUAAUGCACCGCUCGGUGUGCUGAACCUCAGCGUCGUCUGUAGAUGUUGCGGAACAUCUGACAUACACGUUUUGAUAACUACAUGAUAGUUCAGUGCGUAAUGCUAACGGUUUAGAAUUGUGGCACCAAAGACGUUUUGAAACGUCGCAGAACAUAUGAGAUGUUCCGAAGACUGAAAUUGGGAUUUCAGACUAGUGCCCACGUCAAGAGGUAUGAGACCUCUGACAAGUUUCUUAAGCCUGAAGACUAAGGGAGAAAAGCUCAAUCGUUGAGCAUGUGCUCAGAUUGUCUGAGUGCCACAAUUGCUUGAAUCGAGUGGGAGUUUAUCUUCCAGAUGAGAUAGUGAUGGUUCUCCAUAGUCACUGCCACCAAGCUAUUAGAGCUUCGUGAUGAACUAUAACAUAUCAAGGAUAGAUGAUGAUCCUUGAGCAACUCGCGAUGUUUGACACCGCGAAAGUAGAAAUCAAGAAGGAGCAUCAAUUGUUGAUGGUUAAUAAAACCACUAGUUUAAGAAGGGCAAGGGAAAAAGGGAUACUUCAUGAAACAACAAGUCGUUUGCUGCUCUAGUGAAGAAUCCCAAGGUUGAACCCAAACCCGAGACUAAGUGCUUCUGUAAUAAGAGGAACGGUCACUGAAGCAGUACUACCCUAGAUACUUGGUAGAUGAGAAGGCAGGCAAGGUCGACAGAAGUAUAUUGGAUAUACGUUAGAUGAAUGUGUACUUUACUAGUACUCCUAGUAGCACCAGGGUAUUAGAUACUGGUUCGGUUGCUAAGUGUUAGUAACUCGAAAUAAAAGCUGUGGAAUAAAUGGAGACUAGCUAAAGGUGAGAUGACGAUAUGUGUUGGAAAUGUUUCCAAGGUUGAUGUGAUCAAGCAUCGCAUGCUCCCUCUACCAUCGAGAUUUGGUGUUUGCGUUGAGCAUGAUUGGAUUAUGUUUAUCGCAAUACGGUUAUUCAUUUAAGGAGAAUAAUGGUUACUCUGCUUAUUUGAAUAAUACUUUCAAUGGUCUUGCACCUAAAAUGAAUCUCGAUUGUAGUGAUACACAUGUUCGUGCCAAAAGAUGUAAAAUAGUAAUGAUAGUUCUAGAUACUUAUGGCACUGCAAUUUGAGUCAUAUUGGUAUAGAACGCAUGAAGAAGCUCCAUGUAGAUGGAUCUUUGGACUCAAUCGUUUUUGAAAAGAUUGAGACAUGCGAACCAUGUCUAUUGGUAUAUAUGCAUGAAGAAACUCCAUGCAGAUGGAUCGCUUGGACUCACUUGAUUUCGAAUCACUUGAGACAUGCAAAUCAUACCACAUGGGCGAGAUGACUGAAAGUCCUCGUUUUCAGUAAGAUGGAACAAGAGAGCAACUUAUUGGAAGUAAUACAUUUUGAUGUAUGCAGUCCAAUGAGUUCUAAGGCAUGCAGUGGAUAUCAUUAUGUUCUUACUUCACAGAUGAUUUGAGUAGAUGCUGAGAAUAUUUACUUGAUGAAACACAAGUCUGAAUUAUUGAAAGGUUCAAGUAAUUUCAGAGUGAAGUCGAAGAUUGUCGUGACAAGAGGAUAAAAUGUCUAUGAUAUGAUCAUAGAGAUAUCUGAGUUACGAGUUUGGCACACAAUUAAGACAUUGUGGAAAGUGUUUCACAAUUAAUACCGCCUGGAACACCAUAGUGUGAUGGUGUGUCCGAACAUCAUAACUGCACCCUAUUGGAUAUGGUGCAUACCAUGAUGUUUCUUAUCAAAUUACCACUAUCGUUUAUGGGUUAGGCAUUAGAGACAACCGCAUUCACUUUAAAAGGGGCACCACGCAAUUCCGUUGAGACGACACCGUUUAGAGAAACCUAAGUUGUCGUUUCUUAAAAGUUUGGGGCUGCGCAGCUUAUGUGAAAAAGUUUCAAGCUGAUAAGCUCGAACCCAAAGCGGAUAAAUACAUCUUCAUAGAAAACCCAAAACAGUUGGGUGUACCUCCUAUUUCAGAUCUGGAAGCAAAAGUAAUUGUUUCUAGAAAUGAGUCCUUUCUCGAGGAAAAGUUUCUCUCAAACGAAUUGAGUGGGAGGAUGGUGGAGACUUGAUAAGUUUAUUGAACCGUCACUUCAACUAGUGUGUAGCAGGGCACAGGAAGUUGUUCCUGUGGCACCUACACCAAUUGAAGUGGAAGCUUAUGAUGGUGAUCAUGAAACUUCGGAUCAAGUCACUACCAAACCUCGUAGGACGACGAGGAUGCGUAAUACUUCAGAGUAGUACGUGAUCCUGUCUUGGAAGUCAUGUUGUUGGACAACGAUGAACCUAUGAGCUAUGGAGAAGCGAUGGUGGGCCCAUAUUCCGACAAAUGGUUAGAAGCCAUGAAAUCCGAGAUAAAUGGAACUUUGAGAAGAACACGGACGUGGACGGUAAUGUUACCGUCUAUGAAGCUCGACUUGUGGCAAAGAGUAUUUCCACAAGUUCAAGGAGUUGACUACGAUGAGAUUUGCUCAUCCGCAGCGAUGCUUAGGUCCGUCGGAAUCAUGUAGGCAUUAGCUGCAUUUAUGAAAUCUGGCAGAUGGAUGUCAAAACAAGUUUCCUUACCAGUUUUCGUAAGGAAAGGUUGUAUGUGAUACAAUCAGAAAGGUUUUGUCGAUCCUAAGGAUGCUAAAAGGUAUGCUAGCUCCAGCGAUCCUUCUAAGGACUGGAGUAAGCAUCUCGGAGUUGGAAUGUACGCUUUGAUGAGAUGAUCAAAGAUUUUGGAUUUAUACAAAGUUUAUGAGAAAUUUGUAUUUCCAAUAAAGUGAGUGGGAGCGCUACAACAUUUCUGAUAAGUAUAUGUGAAUGACAUAUUGUUGAUCCGAAAUGAUGUAAAAUUUCUGGAAAGCAUAAAGGGUUGUUUGAAAGGAGUUUUUCAAAGGAAGACCUGGAUAAAGCUACUUACAUAUUGGGCAUCAAGAUCCAUAGAGAUAGAUCAAGACGCCUGAUGAUACUUUCAAAAGACAGCACACCUUGACAUGAUUUUGAAAGAGUUCAAAAUAGAUCAGCAAAGAAGGAGUUCUUGGCUGUGUUACAAGGUGUGAGUAUUGAGUGAGACUCAAGACCUGACCACAGCAGAAGAUAGAGAAAGGACGAAGGUCGUCCCCUAUGCUUUAGACGUAGGCUCUAUAGUAUGCUAUGCUGUGUACCGCACAUGUAGUGUGCCUUGCCAUGAGUUGGUCAAGAGGGUACAAUGGUGAUCCGGGAAAGGAUCUCAUGACAGCGGUCGAACUUAUCCUUAGUACCUAGUGGAUUAAGGAAUUUUCUCGAUUAUGGAGGUGGAAAGGAGUUCGUCGUAAAGGGUUACGUCGAUGCGAACUUUGACACUAAUCCGGAUGACUCUGAGUAGUAAACCGGAUUCGUAUAGUAGAGCAAUUAUUUGAAAUGGCUCCAAAUAGCGCGUGGUAGCAUCCACAAAGAUGACAUGGAUAUUCGUAAAGCACACACGAAUCUGAAAGGUUCAGACCCGUUGACUAAUAACCUCUCUCACAAGCAUAACAUGAUCAAACCAGAACUCAUUGAGUGUUAAUCACAUAGAGAUGUGAACUAGAUUGUUGACUCUAGUAAACUCUUGGGUGUUGGUCACAUGGUGAUGUGACCUGUCAGUGUUAAUCGCAUGGUGAUGUGAACUAGAUUAUUGACUCUAGUGCAAGUGGGAGACUGUUGGAAAUAUGCCCUAGAGGCAAUAAUAAAUAGGUUAUUAUUAUAUUUCCUUGUUCAUGAUAAUCGUUUAUUAUCCAUGCUAGAAUUGUAUUGAUAGGAAACUCAGAUACAUGUGUGGAUACAUAGACAACACCAUGUCCCUAGUAAGCCUCUAGUUGACUAGCUCGUUGAUCAAUAGAUGGUUACGGUUUCCUGACCAUGGACAUUGGAUGUCGUUGAUAACGGGAUCACAUCAUUAGGAGAAUGAUGUGAUGGACAAGACCCAAUCCUAAGCCUAGCACAAGAUCGUGUAGUUCGUUUGCUCAGAGCUUUUCUAAUGUCAAGUAUCACUUCCUUAGACCAUGAGAUUGUGCAACUCCCGGAUACCGUAGGAAUGCUUUGGGUGUGCCAAACGUCACAACGUAACUGGGUGGCUAUAAAGGUGCACUACGGGUAUCUCCGAAAGUGUCUGUUGGGUUGGCACGAAUCGAGACUGGGAUUUGUCACUCCGUGUAAACGGAGAGGUAUCUCUGGGCCCACUCGGUAGGACAUCAUCAUAAUGUGCACAGUGUGAUCAAGGAGUUGAUCACGGGAUGAUGUGAGUUACGGAACGAGUAAAGAGACUUGCCGGUAACGAGAUUGAACAAGGUAUAGGGAUACCGACGAUCGAAUCUCGGGCAAGUAACAUACCGAUGGACAAAGGGAAUUGCAUACGGGAUUGAUUGAAUCCCCGACAUCGUGGUUCAUCCGAUGAGAUCAUCGUGGAACAUGUGGGAGCCAACAUGGGUAUCCAGAUCCCGCUGUUGGUUAUUGACCGGAGAACGUCUCGGUCAUGUCUGCAUGGUUCCCGAACCCGUAGGGUCUACACACUUAAGGUUCGAUGACGCUAGGGUUAUAGGGAAAGUAUGUACGUGGUUACCGAAUGUUGUUCGGAGUCCCGGAUGAGAUCCCGGACGUCACGAGGAGUUCCGGAAUGGUCCGGAGGUAAAGAUUUAUAUAUGGAAAGUUGUUGUUCGGGUUCCGGGAAAAGUUCGGGUUUUUUCGGUAUUGUACCGGGAAGCUUCCAGAAGAUUCCGGAGGAUUCCGGAGGGGUCCGGAGGUCCGGAAAAUGUUCCACCACGUCUAAUACAGUAGCAUGGGCUGUAAGGGGGCGCCCUAGCCUUAAUGGGCCAGGGGCACCAGCCCCCCAAGGCCCAUGCGCAUGGGAGAGGGGAAACCCUAAGGGGGAGGGCCUCCACUUGACUUGGGAGGCACUCCUCCCCCCUUUGGCCGCCCCCCAAGCCCCAUCUAGGGCUAGCCGCACUCCUUGAGGGGGGAAACCCUAGAUGGGGGCGCAGCCCUCCCCCUCCCCUAUAUAUAUUGAGGUUUUGGGCUGCCAUAGACAUGAGAACGUCUCCUUUUGGUGCAGCCCUACCCCUCUUCCUCCUCCUCCUCUCCCGCGGUGCUUGGCGAAGCCCUGCGGGAUUGCCACGCUCCUCCACCACCACCAUGCCGUCGUGUUGCUGCUGGAUGGAGUCUUCCCCAACCUCUCCCUCUCUCCUUGCUGGAUCAAGGCGUGGGAGACGUCACCGGGCUGCACGUGUGUUGAACGCGGAGGCACCGUUCUUUCGGUGCUUAGAUCGGAAUCAACCGCGAUCUGAAUCGCUACGAGUACGACUCCCUCAUCCGCGUUCUUGCAACGCUUCCGCAUCGCGAUCUACAAGGGUAUGUAGAUUCACUCCCCUUCCCCUCGUUGCUAGAUUACUCCAUAGAUUGAUCUUGGUGAUGCGUAGAAAAUUUUGAAUUUCUGCUGCGUUACCCAACAGCUGGGUAUGGUAUAUUUCCCACUAUUCUUUCAGUAUGUCAUUCUCCUGAUUGGUUGAUUGACACGGGUGCUAAUGUGCAUGUAUGCGGUGAUAUUUCCAUGUUUUCGUCUUAUCAGACCGCAGGGACUUCAACCGUGCUGAUGGGCACCGGUUCAAGUGCUUCUGUUCGUGGUGUUGGCACGGUCGAUCUGAAGUUUACUUCGGGGAAGAUCGUGCGGCUGAAGAACGUGCGUUAUGUCCCCUCCGUCAAUAAAAAUCUUGUUAGUGGAUCUCUUCUAUGUAGAGAUGGCUACAAGCUUGUCUUUGAGUUGAAUAAAUUUGUAAUAUCCAAGUAUGGAACCUUUGUUGGUAAAGGCUAUGAGUCAGGAGGCAUGUUUCGUUUAUCCUUAUCAGACGUUUGCAAUAAAGUUGUUAAUCAUAUUUGCAACAAUAGUGAAUCAAAUGUGUGGCAUUCACGUCUUUGUCAUGUUAACUUUGGUUGCAUGUCGCGACUAGCGAAGUUAAACUUAAUCCCUAGUUUCACCACUGUCAAGGGAUCCAAGUGUCAAGUGUGUGUUGCAACAAUAGUGAAUCAAAUGUGUGGCAUUCACGUCUUUGUCAUGUUAACUUUGGUUGCAUGUCGCGACUAGCGAAGUUAAACUUAAUCCCUAGUUUCACCACUGUCAAGGGAUCCAAGUGUCAAGUGUGUGUGCAAGCUAAGCAACCUCGUAAGUCUCAUGUGACUACGGAAACGAGAAAUCUUUCACCACUAGAACUCAUACAUUCAGAUCUAUGUGAAAUGAAUGGUGUGUUGACAAAAGGUGGAAAGAAAUAUUUCAUGACGUUAAUUGAUGACUCCACUAGAUUGUUGGGGAACGUAGUAAUUUCAAAAAAAUUCCUACGCACACACAUAAUCAUGGUGAUGCAUAGCAACGAGAGGGGAGAGUGUUGUCCACGUACCCUCGUAGACCGAAAGUGGAAGCGUUAGCACAACACGGUUGAUGUAGUCGUACGUCUUCACGAUCCGACCGAUCAAGUACCGAACGCACGGCACCUCCGAGUUCAGCACACGUUCAGCUCGAUGACGUCCCUCGAACUCCGAUCCAGCCGAGCUUUGAGGGAGAGUUCCGUCAGCAUGACGGCGUGGUGACGAUGAUGAUGUUCUACCGACGCAGGGCUUCGCCUAAGCACCACUAUGAUAUGACCGAGGUGGAUUAUGGUGGAGGGGGGCACCGCACACGGCUAAGAGAUCAAUGAUCAAUUGUUGUGUCUUUGGGGUGCCCCCCUCCCCGUAUAUAAAGGAGUGGAGGAGGGGGAGGGCCGGCCCUCUCUAUGGCGCGCCCUAGGAGGAGUCCUACUCCCACCGGGAGUAGGAUUCCCCCUUCCAAGUAGUAGUAGGAGUCAAGGAAAGGGGAGAGAGAAGAGAAGGAAGGAGGGGGCGUAGCCCCUCCCCCUAGUCCAAUUCGGACUAGGCCUUGGGGGGGCACCCAGCCUCUCCUCUCUCUUUCCCCUAAAGCCCAAUAAGGCCCAUAUACUCCCCGGCGAAUUCCCGUAACUCUCUGGUACUCCAAAAAAUACCCGAAUCACUCGGAACCUUUCCGAUGUCCGAAUAUAGUCGUCCAAUAUAUCGAUCUUUACGUCUUUGCCAUUUCGAGAAUCCUCGUCAUGUCCCCGAUCUCAUCCGGGACUCCGAACUACCUUCGGUACAUCAAAAAACAUAAACUCAUAAUAUAACCGUCAUCGAACUUUAAGCGUGCGGACCCUACGGGUUCGAGAACUAUGUAGACAUGACCGAGACACGUCUCCGGUCAAUAACCAAUAGCGGAACCUGGAUGCUUAUAUUGGCUCCCACAUAUUCUACGAAGAUCUUUAUCGGCCAAACCGCAUAACAACAUACGUUGUUCCCUUUGUCAUCGGUAUGUUACUUACCCAAGAUUCGGUCGUCGGUAUCUCAAUACCUAGUUCAAUCUCGUUACCGGCAAGUCUCUUUACUCGUUCCGUAAUACAUCAUCCCGCAACUAACUCAUUAGUUACAAUGCUUGCAAGGCUUAUAGUGAUGUGCAUUACUGAGUGGGCCCAGAGAUACCUCUCCGAUAAUCGGAGUGACAAAUCCUAAUCUCGAAAUACGCCAACCCAACAAGUACCUUCGGAGACACCUGUAGAGCACCUUUAUAAUCACCCAGUUACGUUGUGACGUUUGGUAGCACACAAAGUGUUCCUACGGUAAACGGGAGUUGCAUAAUCUCAUAGUCAUAGGAACAUGCAUAAGUCAUGAAGAAAGCAAUAGCAACAUACUAAAUGAUCAAGUGCUAAGCUAACGGAAUGGGUCAAGUCAAUCACAUCAUUCUCCUAAUGAUGUGAUCCCGUUAAUCAAAUGACAACUCAUGUCUAUGGCUAGGAAACUGAACCAUCUUUGAUUAACGAGCUAGUCAAGUAGAGGCAUACUAGUGACACUAUGUUUGUCUAUGUAUUCACACAUGUAUCAAGUUUCCGGUUAAUACAAUUCUAGCAUGAAUAAUAAACAUUUAUCAUGAAAUAAGGAAAUAAAUAAUAACUUUAUUAUUGCCUCUAGGGCAUAUUUCCUUCAUACAUACUGCCGUGUGUAUCUUCUGAAAUCUAAGGAUGAGGCUUUGAAUUUUUUCAAGAUCUAUAAAGCUGAAGUGGAAAACCAACUUGAUCGGGAAAUCAAGAGGCUUAGGUCCGACCGUGGUGGAGAGUAUUUUUCCAAUGAAUUUGAUGCUUUUUGUGCGGAACAUGGUAUAAUCCAUGAGAGGACGCCUCCCUAUUCACCUCAGUCAAAUGGGGUAGCCGAAAGAAAGAACCGUACUCUAACUGAUUUGGUUAACGCCAUGUUAGACACAUCGGGUCUCUCCAAGGCAUGGUGGGGGGAGGCGAUAUUGACUGCAUGUCAUGUCCUAAACCGAGUUCCCACAAAGAAUAAAGAGAUAACUCCAUUCGAGGAAUGGGAGAAGAAAAGAUUAAAACUCUCUUAUCUACGAACAUGGGGUUGUUUGGCGAAAGUCAAUGUGCCAAUUCCAAAGAAGCGGAAGCUUGGACCAAAAACUGUGGAUUGUGUUUUCCUGGGAUAUGCUUUUCAUAGCAUUGGUUAUAGAUUCUUGGUUGUAAAAUCUGAGGUACCUGACAUGCAUGUUGGUACAAUCAUGGAGUCAAAUGAUGCGACUUUCUUUGAAGAUAUAUUUCUCAUGAAGGAUAUGGCUACCUCAUCUAAUCAGGAGAUACCUAGUUCAUCGAAUCAGGAACCAGUUACAAUUACUGAACCUGCCAUUUUGAUGGAACACUUUGAAAAGCCUGUGGAGGAGAACAAUGAAGUUCCUACUAGGAGCAAGAGACAGAGGACUGCAAAGUCCUUUGGUGAUGAUUUUCUUGUGUAUCUCAUAGAUGACACUCCCAGUUCUAUUUCAGAGGCCUAUGCAUCUGAAGAUGCUGACUACUGGAAGGAAGCAGUCCGUAGUGAGAUGGAUUCCAUCUUGGCAAAUGAAACUUGGGAGAUAACUGAGCGUCCUUAUGGGUGCAAACCUAUAGGGUGCAAAUGGGUAUUCAAGAAGAAGCUUAGCCUUAUGGUACUAUCGAAAAGUACAAGGCAGGGCUCUUUGGAAUCUUAGGGCUGAUGGGUGCAAACCUAUAGGGUGCAAAUGGAUGCACACGCGGCGGCGCCCUCGUCAUCAACGAGGGUGGCCGUGGCCCCUCUACUCCCUCUUCCCGCCUCGUCCAGCCAAAGACCAAGCCGGGGUUGCUCCCCGUGAAGAAGGAGCAUGACGCCAUGGCCGCCGACGACGAGACCGCGCUCAAGUGGGCGCAGGAGGACUACGUCCGCGAGGAGAUGGCGCGCCAGCGCCGCGCCCUCGAGGAGAUAGCUGCUCGGCGCCGCGGGCGUGAGGAGGGCGGUGUUAUCAUCCUCGACGACAGUGAUGACGAGGCGCCCGGGCCGUGUGAUACGUCUCCAACGUAUCUACUUUUUCUCAUGCUUUUCCUCUUGUUUUGCACUCUAAUUUGCAUGAUUUGAAUGAAACUAACCCCGGACUGAUGCUGUUUUCAGCAGAACUACCAUGGUGUUGUUUUUGUGCAGAAAUAAAGGUUCUUGGAAUGGAACAAAACUUUGCGAGGAUUUUUUAUAUCAAUAAUAAGAAUUUCUGGAGCCAAGACCUGCCGGAGAGGGGCACCUGGGUGGGCACAACCCACCAGGGCGCGCCCCCCUCUCCUGGCGCGCCCAGGUGGGUUGUAUCCACCUGAUGGCCCCACUGACGACCCCCCUGAUACUAUAAAUUCACAUAUUUCCAGAAAAAUCAGGGAAAAAGAAUUAUCGCGUUCCACGAGACGGAGCCGCCGCCAAGCCCUGUUCUUCCUCGGGAGGGCAAAUCUGGAGUCCGUUUGGGGCUCCGGAGAGGGGGAUCUUCGUUCUUUGUCAUCACCAACCAAUCUCCAUCGCCAAUUCCAUGAUGCUCCCCACCGGGAGUGAGUAAUUCCUUCGUAGGCUCGCUGGUCGGUGAGGAGUUGGAUGAGAUUCAUCAUGUAAUCGAGUUAGUUUUGUUAGGGCCUGAUCCCUAGUAUCCACUAUGUUCCUAGAUUGAUGUUGCUAUGACUUUGCUAUGCUUAAUGCUUGUCACUUUGGGCCCGGGUGCCAUGAACUCAGAUCUGAACCGUUUAUGAAUUCAUCAUUAUAUCCAUGUUUUAGAUCCGAUCUUGCAAGUUAUAGUCACCUACUACGGUUAUGGUCCGACAACCCCGGAGUGACAACAACCGGGCCCACUCUCGGUUAUGACCGUAGUUUGAGGAGUUCAUGUAUUCACUAUGUGUCAAUGCCUUGUUCCGGUUCUCUAUUAAAAGGAGGCCUUAAUAUCCCUUAGUUUCCAAUAUGGACCCCGCUGCCACGGGAGGGUAGGACAAAAGAUGUCAUGCAAGUUCUUUUAAUAAAGCAUGUAUGACUAUUUACGGAAUAUAUGCCUACAUUAUAUCGAUGAACUGGAGCUAGUGCCGUAUCGCCCUAGGUUAUAACUGUCACAUGAUGAAUAUCAUCCAACAAGUCACCGAUCCAAUGCCUACGAAUUUAUUUAUAUUGAUCUUGCUGCAUUACUAUUGCUAUCAUCACUGUUACACUUGCUACAAAUUAUUGCUAUCACUGUUACUAUUACCAUUGCUGCUGCCACUACUAUCAAAACUAUCAAACUACUUUGCUACUGAUCACUUUGCUGCAGAUAAUUAAUCUCCAGGUGUGGUUGAAUUGACAACUCAGCUGCUAAUACCUUCAAAUAUUCUUUGGCUCCCCUUGUGUCAAAUCUACAAAUUUGGGUUGAAUACUAUACCCUCGAAAAAUGUUGCGAUCCCCUAUACUUGUGGGUUAUCAAGACCUUUUUCUGGCGCCGUUGCCGGGGAGCAUAGCUAUAUUUGUUGAGUCACUUGGGAUUAUUAUCAUAUUAUCACUAUGAAGAAUCUGAAGGAUCCAAAGACUAAGAUAUUUCCCUCAAGGACGAGGGGAGGUAAGGAACUGCCAUCCAGUUCUGCUUUAGAUUCACCUUCUGUUAUGAGUAAACUUGCAACACCACCACAUGCUAUGAAUUCUAAUAUGUCGCAAGUUAUUGAUGAUGCUACUUCUACUAUGAAUGAUGCUUAUGAUGAUGCUAGUACCUUGCUUGAUAAUGAUGAUGUGCCACUUGGUGUAUUUCUUGAUGAACAAAUUGCUAGAGUAAUACAACAUGAUGUUGUUGAAUCUGAUGAUGAGUUUGAAACUGAAACUCCUAAAACACCUGCUAGAACUAGCCUUCCUAGAUAUGAAUUGCCUAAGGUACCGGAAGGUUAUGUUAUGAAUGAGGAAACAACUAGAGAUAUUCUUGCUUGUAAGGAUAGAGAUGAUCUAGAGAAAUUACUAUGCAAGUAUAAAGAAAAAUCUCUGAAUGUUAGAAUGAAGUAUGAUCCUAAGUUUGCUACUUCACCUAUCUUUAAUGAUGACAAGGAUUAUGAAUUCUCUGUCGACCCAGAGUUAAUUACUUUGGUUGAAUCUGAUCCUUUUUCCAUGGUUAUGAAACUGAAACUGUUGUGGCACAUCUUACUAAGUUGAAUGAUAUAGCCGCCCUUUUUACUCAUGAUGAGAAAAUGGGCUAUUACUUUAUUCUCAAAUUAUUUCCUUUCUCAUUAAAGGGUGAUGCUAAAGCUUGGUACAAUACACUUACUCCUGGUUGUGUGCAUAGUCCCUAGGAUAUGAUUUAUUACUUCUCUGAAAAAUAUUUUCCUGCUCAUAAGAAACAAGUUGCCUUACAUGAAAUAUUUAACUUUGUGCAAACUAAAGAAGAGAGUCUCCCACAAGCUUGGGGGAGACUUUGCCAGUUACUUAAUGCUUUGCCUGAUCAUCCUCUUAAGAAAAAUGAAAUACUUGAUAUCUUCUAUAAUGGACUAACCGAUGCUUCUAGGGACUUCCUAGAUAGUUGUGCUGGUUGUGUUUUCAGGGAACGAACUGUUGGACAAGCUGAAGAAUUAUUGAAUAACAUAUUGAAAAAUUAUGAUGAUUGGACUAUUCCUGAACCACCGCCUAAACCCACUCCGAAGAAGAGGGGUAUAUUAUAUCUCAGUCCUGAAGAUAUGCAAGAGGCGAAGAAAUCUAUGAAGGAAAAAGGUAUUAAUGCCGAGGAUGUUAAAAAUUUACCUCCUAUUGAAGAAAUACAUGGGCUUAAUACACCACCACUGCCUAAGGUGGUAGAGGUAAAUUCUUUAAUGAAGUUCAAUGAUAAUGAUAAUCCUCAAAAUAUGCAUCCUAGUCAAUGCCUUUGUGAGUUUGAAAACUACAUUAGAAAACAAGAUCACUUCAAUGCAAAUGUUAUGAAACAAUUGAAAUAUAAUUUUGAUAUGAUUGCUCGCUUGACUGACUUGUUAUUUAGAAUCUCAAAUGAUGUUAGAGGUGUUGGAAAACAUGCUUCCAUGGUUCAAACUCAACUAGAACAAGUUGCUAAAUAACAAAGAGAAUUACUUGAUGAAAUGAAUCAUAAUAUGCAUGACUUUGCUGUUAGAGUUGCAACUAGAGGAGGUAAAAUGACUCAGGAACCACUUUAUCCUGAGGGACACCCAAAAAGAAUUGAACAAGACUCACAAAGAGCUGACACUAGUGCACCUAGUCCUUCUAAAAACAAAAAGAAGAAGAAAAAUGAUAGGACUUUGCAUGCUUCUAGUGAACUUGAAAUAGAAAAACCUCCUGAUAAAGAAAAUUAAACUUCUAUCUCUGAUGCUGAAACUCAAUCUGGUAAUGAACAUCCACCUAGUGAUAAUGAAAAAGAUAAUGCUGAUGUUCAUGAAGAUGCUCAACCAAAUGAAAAGGAACCAGAUAAUGAUGUUGAGAUAGAACCACCUACUGAUCUUGAUAACCCACAACCUAAGAAUAAAAGGUAUGACAAAAGUGACUUUGUGGCUAGAAAACACGGUAAAGAAAGAGAACCGUGGGUUCAAAAACCCAUGCCUUUUCACCCAAGUCAACUAAAAAGAAUGAUGAUGAAGAAUUUGAACGCUUUGCUGAAAUGUUGAGGCCAGUCUUUUUGCGUACUCGCUUGACUGAUAUCUUGAAAAUGCCUCCUUAUGCAAAGUAUAUGAAAGACAUCAUCACUAAUAAGAGAAAAAUACCGGAAGCUGAAAUCUUCACUAUGCUUGCUAAUUAUACUUUCAAAGAUGGAGUGCCUAAAAAACUUGGAGAUCCGGGUAUACCAACUAUACCUUGCUCUAUCAAAAAGAAUUAUGUGAAAACUGCUUUGUGUGAUUUAGGAGCUGGUGUUAGUGUUAUGCCUUUCUCUUUAUAUAAAAGACUUGACUUGAAUAAACUCACACCUACUGAAAUAUCUUUGCAAAUGGCUGACAAGUCAACUUCCAUACCUAUCGGUAUCUGUGAGGAUGUGCCCGUUGUUGUUGAUAAUGUUACUAUUUUGAUUGACUUUGUUAUACUUGAGAUGCCCGAGGACGACAACAUGUCUAUUAUCCUCGGUAGACCCUUCUUGAAUACUGCAGGGGCUGUUAUUGAUUGCAAUAAAAGCAAGGUCACUUUUCAUAUUAAUGGUAAUGAGCAUACGGUGCACUUUCCCAAAAAACAAUUCCAAAUGGUAUUAAUGUUAUUGAAAAAUCUCCGGCAAUCACUAUUGGAAGUUUUCAAAUACCUCUACCUAUUGUCAAAAAGAAAUAUGAAAUGCUUAUUGUUGGGGAGAUGCAAAUCCCCAUUGGGGUAACUUAGUGAUUUACAAAAAUUCUUCGGUUUCAUGCUAAUCGAAAGUGGUUGUUAAUAAGACCUGAUCAACCUUAUUAAUGAAUCAUUUUUGAGCGGUAUGAAGUUGAUGAAUUUAGUAAGCACUACCUUUUUUCCUACUUUUUUCUGUUCUUAUUAGUUGAAUAAAAUAAAAUUCCAUGUUUUGUCUGUUUUCUGAAUUUCCCGUGCAAUAAAAAUGACCCAAAAAUAAAAUUUCUCAGAAUGCCCUAAAAAAUUUAUACGAUUUUUUUUUUGAAUAUUUAAGAUUUUUUGGUGCAAAUAACACCAGAGGGAGGUGCACCAAGUGGGCACAACCCACCUGGGCGUGCUAGGACCCCCAGGCGCGUCCUGGUGGGUUGUGGUCCCCACGUGGGCCCCCUCACUUAUCUCUUCAUCCCACAUCAUCACUUACCUCCAGAAAAAAUCCCCAUUGCUCUUUCUCCCGUGUUCUUGAGCUCAAACCCGCGGAUUUCGAUCUCUUUGCUCGAAGCUCCGUUUCCGAAACUGUUUCGGCGGAUUGUUGCUUGGUAUGUGACUCCACCAUUUGUCCAAUUAGUUUUUGUUUUAGUGGUUUAUACUUUAAAUAAUUAGCUACUCUUGGUGCUGCUGUAGAUAUGUUUGCAUGUUGAAUUCUUAAUGUUCUAAGUAGUUUGAAUGCUUGCUAUGGCCUCUAUGUAUCCCUAUGAGUAGUUGCUAUCAAUUUUGUGAAGUUUUGUUGAGAAAAUUUUGUGAACUAAAAAUUCAGAUUUUUGUUCAUAGGAAAAAUUGUACGCGGACAUGAGUAUCUUCAGGAAGUUUGGCUCUAAGAAGAACUCCAAGGGUGUUAUUGGGGAGUCUUCUGACAGUGAUCUCCACCCUCGGAGGUUGGCGGAGGUACGGCCGUGCGAAUGGCCGCACACCCCGUUCCUGCAAGAGGCUGGAAUUCAUGAGGAGUUCAUCCAAUUUAUUGCUAAUGUCGGCCUCACCGACUUCAUCGCAGAUGAGUGUGACCAACACCAAAUCCUCACAAACAUCUUUCUUCAAAGUUUUACUUUCCUGCCUAGAAAUAAUCCUCCCGAAGUUAGCUUUGACUUAUUGUAACACCCCGGAUGUAACUUUCCAUAUUUGUAACUCCAACUCUUGCCAUUUUCGGCUAUGUGUUAUGAUAUUCCCUCCGUGGUCGGGUUUUGCCUUUCGUUUUGUAUUUUGUUCAUGUCAUGCAUUUCAUAUCAUGCCAUCUCCCCAGUGAUGUAGUCCAUGUAUUUUUGUGAUCUCUGUGGUGACUAGCACAAGUAUGCAAAGUAGGCUUCGUAAUGUUUCUGAUUUCAGAGACAGUGAUUUCUCUAAGUCCUUGUCUGCUGUUAUUUUGUUUCCAUGUAAACUUGAUGCUACAGAGAGAUCCAUGCAUAUUUUGGAGAUCUUCAGUAAGGAUGUUUUGUAGAUAUUGUUGUAAUUGAUCCAUUCAUGCAAUUGUUUGCAAUUAUGGAGUGCCAUAGCAUGACUCAAUCUUGCUCUACUUUUGCUAUAAAAUAUUUCUGGCAGAUUCUUUACAUGAUAUUCAUUUUUGCCAAGCUUGCUGUAGUUGAUACAUACAUGCUAUGCUUUUGUUCUUGCCAUGGAUAGCUUCAUAAACAUGCCAUUUUGCUGUGGGUAUGCUAGUUUUGUCAUGCAUUGCUUUGUGGUGAGUGCAUCAAGCUCACAAACAUGCCUUCAUAUUAUUAUUUCUGUCAUGCUCUGUUUUCUGCUAAGUCUGGAACCUGAUAACGAAACUUGCUAUGUUUACAUGCUUGCCAUCAUAUCUUCUGAUCCUUUUUGGCUUAUGGUCAUUAAGGGACUUUUGUCAUAUGCAUUUAGUAGAAUACUGUGAUGCCUUGUUUUGUCAUGUUAAGUUCCUGUAGCAUGUUGAUUUCGUGCUCUGAACAUUGCUACCUGAUGCUGUUUCAGACAUGUCCAGUAAUUUCACUAAGUCUGUGAACCUGUUAUCUUUUGCACUUUUGCCAUGCUUGUUUGAGCUUGAUAUGUUGUGAUCUAGCAGUAGGUCAGUGUUCAUAUUUUGUCAAGCAUCUCCUGUAGAUUACUGUCAUAUGCUUUGUUGCUAUGUUGGAGUCCUGUAGCAUUGUUGCUUGUUGCAUUUUAAGUGCUAUCAUGUUGUUAAUCACAGAUUCGUGUCAUUCUUGUUUUGCUUGCUAUUUGCAAACCGUGCAUCCGUUUCCAGUGCUCUUUAUAUCGAUUUCGACCGAAAUCAUCUUAUCUUUCCAGUGGCAUGCUUGGUUUGUCAAGUUACUGCCUUGUUCAUCAUUUUCCUUCCAGAGCACGCAUAUGCAUCGCAUAUCAUAUCUUGCAUAUCAUUCAUGUUUUGUAUCAUGUUGCUUGUGCAUUUCCCGUGAUUGAUUGUGGUUCCGUUGCUUGUGUUCUUGUCUUGGGUAGAGCCGGGAGACGAGUUGGUGAACGAGGAACCUGUUGAGUACGCUUACGAGGAUCAAGCUUUCGACAACUCUGAGAACCUUGCAGGCAAGAUGACCACCCCUCGAAAUCACUUCUAUCUUUGCUUUGCUAGUUGUUCGCUCUAUUGCCAUGCUGCGCUACCUAUCACUUGCUAUAUCAUGCCUCCCAUAUUGCCAUGUCAGCCUCUAACCAUCUUUUCCUAGCAAACCGUUGUUUGGCUAAGUUACCGCUUUUGCUCAGCCCUUCUUAUAGCGUUGCUAGUUGCAGGUGAAGUUGAAGUUGGUUCCAUGUUGGAACAUGGAUAUGUUGGGAUAUCACAAUAUCUCUUAUUUAAUUAAUGCAUCUAUAUAUAUUUGGUAAAGGGUGGAAGGCUCGGCCUUAUGCCUGGUGUUUUGUUCCACUCUUGCCGCCCUAGUUUCUGAGAUACCGGGAUUAUGUUCCUUGAGUUUGCGUUCCUUUCGCGGUUGGGUGAUUUAUGGGACCCCCUUGACAGUUCGCCUUGAAUAAAACUCCUCCAGCAAGGCCCAACUUUGGUUUUACCAUUUCCCACCUAAGCCUUUUCCCCGGGUUUUCGCGAGCCCGAGGGUCAUCUUAUUUUAAAACCCCGGGCCAGUGUUCCUCUGAGUGCUGGUCCAAACUAGAGCACCGUGCGGGACCGUCCCUUGGCAACUUGGGUUAUGUUGGUACCUGUACGCUUGGCUCAUCCGUUGUGCCCUGAGAACGAGAUAUGUGCAGCUCCUAUCGGGAUUUGUCGGCACAUUCGGGGGCUUUGCUGGUUUUGUUUUACCAUUGUCGAAAUGUCUUGUAAACCGGGAUUCCGAGACUGAUCGGGUCUUUCCGGGAGAAGGUUUAUCCUUCGUUGACCGUGAGAGCUUAUGAUGGGCUAAGUUGGGACACCCCCUGCAGGGUAUUAUCUUUCGAAAGCCGUGCCCGCGGUUAUGAGGUAGAUGGGAAUUUGUUAAUGUCCGGUUGUAGAGAACUUGUCACUUGACCCAGUUAAAAUACAUCAACUGUGUGUGUAGCCGUGAUGGUCUCUUCUCGGCGGAGUCCGGGAAGUGAACACGGUUUGAGUUAUGUAUGACGUAAGCAGGAGUUCAGGAUCACUUCUUGGUCAUUACUAGAUGACGACCGUUCCGUUGCUUCUCUUCUCGCUCUCAUUUGCGCAAGUUAGCCACCACAUAUGCUUAUUGCCGCUGCAGCUCCACCUCAUUACACCAUCCUUUCCUAUAAGCUUAAAUAGUCUUGAUCUCGCGGGUGUGAGAUUGCUGAGUCCUCGUGACUCACAGAUUCUACCAAAACAGUUGCAGGUGCCGACGAUGCCAGUGCAGAUGAUGGGGUCGAUCUCAAGUGGGAGUUCGACGAGGAACGUGGUCGUUACUAUGUGUCUUUUCUUGAUGAUCAGUAGUGGAGCUCAGUUGGGAUGAUCGGGGACCUAGCAUUUGGGGUUGUCUUAUUUUCAUUUGGAUCUUGACCGUAGUCGGUCUAUAUGUGUGUAUUUUGGAUGAUGUAUGAAUUAUAUUUAUGUAUUGUGUGAAGUGGCGAUUGUAAGCCAACUCUUUAUCCCAUUCUUGUUCAUUACAUGGGAUUGUGUGAAGAUGACCCUUCUUGCGACAAAACCACUAUGCGGUUAUGCCUCUAAGUCAUGCCUCGACACGUGGGAGAUAUAGCCGCAUCGUGGCGUGACACUUAUAUGCUGAAAACCAUCAGAUACCACUUACUGAGUUUUGUAACAUAUGCAUGAUCCCGUCUGAUGGGAGCUUGGCUGAGCCUAGGCCGGCUGAGUUUGAGGCCUUCUGUCGCACUUUGACAGUAGGUGAUGAGAGAAGAGUGUCAGCCAUCACUGCCGGUGGCUUACAUUUUCCUGUUGUUCGUUACUUUGCACUCUUCAUUACCAAAUGCUUGCUUGCUAGAGAGAAGGUGGGUACUCUUAGUUCACCAGACCUUGCUGUUUUACGUCGUGCAUUAGAGGGCGACGACACUUAUAGCUUGGGAGCUAUUGUAGCUUGUCGCCUCCAUCUUAAUAAAUCUCAGGUAAAGUACAUGGUGGGAUUUUUGCUACUCGUUUGGCGGCUCACUUCGAUGUUGAGAUACGCUCUCAUGAUUACCCCCUGACCAAGGUUUACCUAGACCAAGAAGCCAUGGAUCACCAUCACUUUCUUGCACAUGAUCGUCCUGAUAUGGCCAUUCCUUAACCUGGUUUAUAGCAUUGAAACUCGUGAUGUUAUCCCCUUGCCUGCACCUGCUUUGUUUGAUUCUGUUGCUAGGGGCGGAUACCGGAUUAUGCCUGCAGACAUCCACGCCUACUGGAACGCUCACGCUGCUGCAGAGGCUGCUCAGGGACCUCAGCAGUGGGAUGAGUGGAUGCCUGCUCCUCGGGAUCCCUACUACCCUCCAGGCUACUGAUCGAUUACCAACUUAGGCCAAAAGCCUAAGCUUGGGGGAGUACGUGUUUCUCACCGACAUUAUAUUCAUGUUCACUCAUAUCAUUCUAUGUCGGUGUUCACACUUUCUCAUUCAUCCAUGCUUAGAUUUAUUUUUCUUGCUUUCUUCUUGUGUGUUUGAAAAACUUUAGAAAAACUAAAAAAUUAGUUGUAGUAAUUUACUUUCCAUGCAUACUUAGUAGUAGUACUAAAAAAUCCAAAAAGAAUUCCUUGUUCUUCUUUUGCUUAUUGGGAGCUUUCUCGUGUAAAUAGUUUUUCUCGUUUUUUCUUUUUAUUUGCUCGUUCAAGAAAACCAAAAACUCCAAAAAUAUUUCAGUGUGUUUCUCUGAAUUUCUUUUCCUUUUAUUCGAGUCUUACCGAGGAGAAGACCACGAUGAAAAUGUUGAGUGGCUCUCAUAUGAAUAACUAUUGAACUAAUAAAGAGCCUAUUUUACCUUGUCUUCUCCUGUUGAAUAAAAUGUUUUGCAGAUUCCAGCUUAGUGCAUGGCACUCUUGCACUAUUAUUAUUUUCAUAUCAUUUGGUCAUGCAAGUGAAAGGCAAUAAUGACGAUAUUCGAUGAGCUGGCCGUGGCAAGGAGAAACUGGUAUGAACUUGACUUGUUCUGUUUGUGUAAAUAUGUUUAACCCAGUAUCCAGGCUUCAGCCCGUUAUGAUUAAACAAGUUUGCAAUGACAAUUAGAGAUUAUAGUUUCUCAUGCCAUGCAUAUGUAGUGCUACCUCUUGAGCAUGCGUUGGUUUUCCCUUGAAGAGGAAAUGGUGAUGCAGCAAAGUAGCGUAAGUAUUUCCCUCGAUUUUUGAGAACCAAGGUAUCAAUCCAAUAGGAGGUUACACGCAAGUCGCCUAGUACCUGCACAAACAAUCAAGAACCUUGCAACCAAUGCGAUAAAGGGGUUGUCAAUCCCUUCACGGCCACUUGCAAAAGUGAGAUCUGAUAAAGAUAAUAAGAUAAUAGUUUUGGUAUUUUUGUUGUAUAGAUUGGAAAGUAAAGAUUGCAAAAUAAACUAAAUAGUAAACUAGAAUUAUAUAUCAGAAACUUAUAUGAUGUAAAAUAGACCCGGGGGCCAUAGGUUUCACUAGUGGCUUCUCUCAAGAUAGCAUAUUUUACGGUGGGUGAACAAAUUACUGUCGAGCAAUUGAUAGAAAAGCGCAUAGUUAUGAAAAUAUCUAGGCAUGAUCAUGAACAUAGGCAUCACGUCCGUGUUAAGUAGACCGAACGAUUCUGCAUCUACUACUAUUACUCCACACAUCGACCGCUAUCCAGCAUGCAUCUAGAGUAUUAAGUUCAUAAGAACAGAGUAACGCAUUAGGCAAGAUGACAUGGUGUAGAGGGAUAAACUCAAGCAAUAUGAUAUAAACACCAUCUUUUUAUCCUCGAUGGCAACAAUACAAUACGCGCCUUGCUGAACCUACCGUCACUGGGAAAGGACACCGCAAGAUUGAACCCAAAGCUAAGCACUUCUCCCAUUGCAAGAAAGAUCAAUCUAGUAGGCCAAACCAAACUGAUAAUUCGAAGAGACUUGCAAAGAUAUCAAAUCAUGCAUAUAAGAAUUCAGAGAAGAAUCAAAUAUUGUUCACAGAUAAUCUUGAUCAUAAACCCACAAUUCAUCGGAUCUCGACAAACACACCACAAAACGAAUUACAUCGAAUAGAUCUCCAAGAGAAUCGAGGAGAACUUUGUAUUGAGAUCCAAAGAGAGAGAAGAAGCCAUCUAGCUAAUAACUAUGGACCCGAAGGUCUGUGGUAAACUACUCACACAUCAUCGGAGAGGAUAUGGUGUUGAUGUAGAAGCCCUCCGUGAUCGAUUCCCCCUCCAGCUGAGCAAUUGAUAGUGGAUCUCAUGGGUACAGAAGGUUGCAGUAGUGGAAAAAGUGUUUCAUGGCUCUCCUAGAUGUUUUCAAGGUAUGAGAGUAUAUAUAGGCGAAAGAAGUAGGUCGGUUGAGCCACGAGGGGCCCACGAGGGUGGGGGCGCGCCCUCCUGCCUCGUUGCUUCCUUGACGUCCACUCCAAGUCUCCUGGAUUGCGUUUGUUCCAAAAAAGAUCCUCGCGAAGGUUUCAUUCCGUUUGGAUUCCGUUAGAUAUUUCUUUUCUGCGAAACAAUGAAAUAGGCAAAAAAACAGCAACUAGCAUUGGGCCUCCGGUUAAUAGGUUAGUCCCAAAAAUAAUAUAAAAUAGCAUAUUAAAGCCCAUUAAACAACCAAAACAGAUAAUAUACUAGCAUGGAACAAUCAAAAAUUAUAGAUACAUUGGAGACGUAUCAGCAUCCCCAAGCUUAAUUCCUACUCGUCCUCGAGUAGGUAAAUGAUAAAAACAGAAUUUUUGAUGUGGAAUGCUUCCUAACAUAAUUUUCAAUGUAAUUUUAUUUAUUGUGGCAUGAAUGUUCAGAUCCGAAAGAUUCAAGACAAAAGUUUAAUAUUGACAUAAAAAUAAUUAUACUUCAAGCAAACUAAUAAAGUAAUCAUGUCUUCUCAAAAUAGCAUGGCCAAAGAAAGCUAUCCCUACAAAAUCAUAUAGUCUGGCUAUGCUCUAUCUUCACCACACAAAAUAUUUAAAUCAUGCACAACCCCGAUGACAAGCCAAGCAAUUGUUUCAUACUUUUGAUGUUCUCAAACUUUUUCAAUCUUCACGCAAUACAUGAACGUGAGCCAUGGAAAUAGCACUAUAGGUGGAAUAGAAUGGUGGUUGUGGAGAAGAAAAAAAGGAGAAGAUAGUCUCACAUCAACUAGGCAUAUCAACGGGCUAUGGAGAUGCCCAUCAAUAGAUAUCAAUGUGAGUGAGUAGGGAUCGCCAUGCAACGAAUGCACUAGAGCAAUAAGUGUAUGAAAGCUCAACAAGAAACUAAGUGGGCAUGCAUCCAACUUGCUUGCUCACGAAGACCUAGGGUAGCCCAUCAUUGGAAUAUACAAGCCAAGUUCUAUAAUGAAAAAUUCCCACUAGUAUAUGAAAGUGACAACAUAGCAGACUCUCUAUCAUGAAGAUCAUGGUGCUACUUUGAAGCACAAGUUUGGUAAAAGGAUAGUAGCAUUGUCCCUUCUCUCUUUUUCUCUCAUUUUUUUAUUUGGGCCUUUCUCUCUUUUUUUAUGGCCUCUUUUUUUCCGUCCGGAGUCUCAUCCCGACUUGUGGGGGAAUCAUAGUCUCCAUCAUCCUUUCCUCACCGGGACAAUGCUCUAAAAAGGUAGAUCAUCACACUUUUAUUUACUUACAACUCAAAAAUUACAACUCGAUGCUUUGAACAAAAUAUGACUCUAUGUGAAUGCCUCCGGCGGUGUACCGGGAUGUGCAAUGAAUCAAGAGUGACAUGUAUGAAAGAAUUAUGAAGGUGGCUUUUCCACAAAUACAAUGUCAACUACAUGAUCAUGCAAAGCAAUAUGACAAUGAUGGAGCAUGUCAUAAUAAACGGAACGGUGGAAAGUUGCAUGGCAAUAUAUCUCGGAAUGGCUAUGGAAAUGCCAUAGUAGGUAGGUAUGGUGGCUGUUUUGAGGAAGGUAAAUGAUGGGUUUUUGAUACCGGCGAAAGUUGCGCGGUACUAGAGAGGCUAGAAAUGGUGGAAGGGUGAGAGUGCGUAUAAUCCAUGGACUCGACAUUAGUCAUAAAGAACUCACAUACUUAUUGCAAAAAUCUAUUAGUUAUCGAAACAAAGUACUACGCGCAUGCUCCUAGGGGGAUAUAUUGGUAGGAAAAUACCAUCGCUCGUCCCCAACCGCCACUCAUAAGGAAGACAAUCAAUAAAUCAAUCAUGCUCCGACUUCAUCACAUAACGGUUCACCAUACAUGCAUGUUACGGGAAUCACAAACUUUAACACAAGUAUUUCUAAAUUUCAGAACUACUUAACUAGCACAACUCUAAUAUUACCAUCUUCAUAUCUCAAAACAAUUAUCAAGUAUCAAACUUCUCAUAGUAUUCAAUGCACUUUAUAUGAAAGUUUUUAUUAUAUCCAUCUUGGAUGCCCAUCAUAUUAGGACUAAUUUUAUAGCCAAAGCAAAUUACCAUGCUGUUCUAAGGGACUCUCAAAAUAAUAUAAGUGAAGCAUGAGAGAUCAAUAAUUUCUACAAAAUAAAACCACCACCGUGCUCUAAAAAGAUAUAAGUGCAGCACUAGAGCAAAAUUAUCUAGCUCAAAAGAUAUAAGUGAAGCACAUAGAGUAUUCUAAUAAAUUCCGAUUCAUGUGUGUCUCUCUCAAAAGAUGUGUACAGCAAGGAUGAUUGUGGUAGACUAAAAAUCAAAGACUCAAAUCAUACAAGACGCUCCAAGCAAAACACAUAUCAUGUGGUGAAUAAAAAUAUAGCCUCAAGUAAAGUUACCGAUAGACGAAGACAAAAGAGGGGAUGCCUUCCGGGGCAUCCCCAAGCUUAGGCUUUUGGUGUCCUUGAAUUUACCUUGGGGUGCCUUGGGCGUCCCCAAUCUUAGGCUCUUGCCACUCCUUGUUCCAAAAUCCAUCAAAUCUUUACCGAAAAACUUGAAAACUUCACAACACAAAACUCAACAGAAAUUCUCAUGAGCUUCGUUAGUAUAAGAAAACAAAUCACCGUCUUAAGGUAAUGUAAUGAAAUCAUUCUUUAUUUAUAUCGGUGUUAAACCUACUGUAUUCCAACUUCUCUAUGGUUCAUACCCCCCGAUACUAGCCAUAGAUUCAUCAAAAUAAGCAAACAACACACGAAAAACAGAAUCUGUCUAAAACAGAACAGUCUGUAGUAAUAUGUAUCAAACGUAUACUUCGGUAACUCAAAAAAUUCUGAAAUAAAUUGGUGGACGUGAGGAAUUUAUCUAUUAAUCAUUUUCAAAAAGAAUCAACCUAAUAUCACUCUCCAUUAAAAAAUGGCAGCUAAUCUCGUGAGCGCUAAAGUUUCUGUUUUUUACAGCAAGAUCGCAAAGACUUCCCCUAAGUCUUCCCAAAGGUUCUUCUUGGAACAAACACUAAUUAAAACAUAAAACCACAUCUAAACAGAGGCUAGAUGAAUUAUUUAUUACUAAACAGGAACAAAAAGCAAAGAACAAAAAUAAAAUUGGGUUGCCUCCCAACAAGCGCUAUCGUUUAACGCCGCUAGCUAGGCAUAAGAUUUCAACGAUGCUCACACGAAAGAUAAUAAUUGAAACACAAAGAGAGCAUCAUGAAACAUGUGACAAACACAUUUAAGUCUAACUUACUUCCUAUGCAUAGGCAUUUUAUAAGCAAACAAAUUAUCAAGGCAAGCAAAAACUACCAUAUGCAAGGAAGAAGAGAGAAACAAUAGCAAUCUCAACAUAACGAGAGGUAAUUUAGUAACAUGAAAAUUUCUAAAACCAUAUUUUCCUCUAUCAUAAUAAUUAAAUGUAGGAUCAUAAGCAAAUUCAACAAUAUAGCUAUCACAAAACAUAUUCUUAAUAUGAUCCACAUGUAUGCAAAGUUGACACUCUUCCAAAAUAGUGGGAUUAACAUUAACUAAAGUCAUGACCUCUCCAAACCCACUUUUAUCAAAAACUUCAUAAGAUUGAACAUUCUCCAAAUAUGUGGGAUCUAAAGUUGACACUCUUCCAAACCCACUUUCAAUAUUAUUGCAAACAUUAUUUUCAAUCUCAUAUUCAUCACGGGGCUUAACUAAAUUUUCAAGAUCAUAAGAAGAAUCACCCCAAUCAUGAUCAUUGCAACAAGUAGUAGACAUAGCAAAACUAGCAUCCCCAACCUUAGGGUUUUGCAUAUUAUUAGCACAAUUGACAUCAAGAGAAUUUAUAGUAAAAUCAUUGCAAUAGUGCUUUUUAUUCAAGGAGCUAUCGUCAAUCUCUUCAUAAAUUUCUUCAUCACAAUUUCCAGAUUCACGAAUUUCAAGCAAAACCUCAUAAAGAUAAUCUAGUGCACUAAAAUCACUAGAAAUUGGUUCAUCAUAAUUGGAUCUCUUAAAAAGAUUAGCAAGGGGAUGAGGAUCCAUAAACUUUUAGCAAGCAAAGAUGCAAGCAAAAAGAAGGCACAUGGUAACACAAGAUCGAACGGAAGGAGGGCGAAGAAAAGGCAAAGGUGAAGUGGGGGAGAGGAAAACAAGAGGCAAAUGGCAAAUAAUGUAAUGCGGGGGAGAAGAGUUUGUGAUGGGUACUUGGUAUGUCUUGACUUGAGCAUAUAUCUCCCCGGCAACGGCGCCAGAAAUCCACACGUUGGCGGGAGAUCAAAUCUGGACUUCACUUGGCGUAAACCUCCCCGGCAACGGUGCCAGAAAUCCUUCUUGCUACCUCUUCAGCAUGCGUUGGUUUUCCCUUGAAGAGGAAAUGGUGAUGCAGCAAAGUAGCGUAAGUAUUUCCCUUAGUUUUUGAGAACCAAGGUAUCAAUCCAGUAGGAGGUUACACGCAAGUCGCCUAGUACCUGCACAAACAAUCAAGAACCUUGCAACCAACGCGAUAAAGGGGUUGUCAAUCCCUUCACGGCCACUUGCAAAAGUGAGAUCUGAUAAAGAUAAUAAGAUAAUAGUUUUGGUAUUUUUGUUGUAUAGAUUGGAAAGUAAAGAUUGCAAAAUAAACUAAAUAUUAAACUAGAAUUAUAGAUCAGAAACUUAUAUGAUGUAAAAUAGACCCGGGGGCCAUAGGUUUCACUAGUGGCUUCUCUCAAGAUAACAUAUUUUACGGUGGGUGAACAAAUUACUGUCAAGCAAUUGAUAGAAAAGCGCAUAGUUAUGAGAAUAUCUAGGCAUGAUCAUGAACAUAGGCAUCACGUCCGUGUUAAGUAGACCGAAACAAUUCUGCAUCUACUACUAUUACUCCACACAUCGACCGCUAUCCAACAUGCAUCUAGAGUAUUAAGUUCAUAAGAACAGAGUAACGCAUUAGGCAAGAUGACAUGAUGUAGAGGGAUAAACUCAAGCAAUAUGAUAUAAAACCCAUCUUUUUAUCCUCGAUGGCAACAAUACAAUACGUGCCUUGCUGCCCCUACUGUCACUGGGAAAGGACACCGCAAGAUUGAACCCAAAGCUAAGCACUUCUCCCAUCACAGGAAAGAUCAAUCUAGUAGGCCAAACCAAACUGAUAAUUCGAAGAGACUUGCAAAGAUAUCAAAUCAUGCAUAUAAGAAUUCAGAGAAGAAUCGAAUAUUGUUCAUAGAUAAUCUUGAUCAUAAACCCACAAUUCAUCGGAUCUCGACAAACACACCGCAAAAAGAAUUAUAUCGAAUAGAUCUCCAAGAAAAUCGAGGAGAACUUUGUAUUGAGAUCCAAAGAGAGAGAAGAAGCCAUCUAGCUAAUAACUAUGGACCUGAAGGUCUAUGAUAAACUACUCACACAUCAUCGGAGAGGCUAUGGUGUUGAUGUACAAGCCCUCCAUGAUCGAUUCCCCCUCCGGUGGAGCGCCGAAAAAGGCCCUAAGAUGGGAUCUCACGGGUACAGAAGGUUGCGGCAGUGGAAAAAGUGUUCCGUGGCUCUCUUGGAUGUUUUCAGGGUAUGAGAGUAUAUAUAGGCGAAAGAAGUAGGUCGGUUGAGCCACGAGGGGCCCACGAGGGUGGGGGCGCGCCCUCCUGCCUCGUGGCUUUCUUGUUGCUUCCUUGACGUCCACUCCAAGUCUCCUGGAUUGCAUUUGUUCCAGAAAAGAUCCUCGCGAAGGUUUCAUUCCGUUUGGAUUCAGUUUGAUAUUCCUUUUCUGCGAAACACUGAAAUAGGCAAAAAAAUAGCAACUGGCAUUGGGCCUCCGGUUAAUAGGUUAGUCCCAAAAAUAAUAUAAAAUAGCAUAUUAAAGCCCAUUAAACAUCCAAAACAGAUAAUAUAAUAGCAUGGAACAAUCAAAAAUUAAAGAUACGUUGGAGAAGUAUCAAGUAGCUAGGAGUGGAUAAUGAUUUAUCUUGGAUAUCAUCAUAGCGUUAAAAUGAUUGUGAUGUAGUAUGACGAUAUGAUAUCCUCCUCUGAAUGUUCGAGUGGCUUAACUUGGCACAUGUUCAUGCAUGUAGUUGAAUCAAAACCGACAUAGCCGAUAUAAUAUUUAUGUUCAUGGUGUUCAUAUCCUACUCAUGCUAGUGUCCAAUGUUACUUAUGCAUAAUGCCUGGUUAUGAUCGUUGUUGCUCUCUAGCUGGCCGCUUCUCAAUCUUAAUUGCUAGCCUUCGCCUGUACUAAGUGGGAAUUCUGCUUGUACAUCAAAAACCUUGAACCCAAAGUUAUUCCAGAUGAGUCCACCAUACCUACCUAUAUGUGGUAUUACCCUGCCGUCCUAAGUAAAUUUGCAUGUGCCACCUCUAAAAAAACUUCUAAAAAAUUAUCCUUUUUGUGUGCCUCGAUCGUUCAUGGAACGACAGGAAGAGGUCGAUAUCUUCCGUGCUGAGCGGGUUAUUCUCAGGUCGAGUGUUUAUUCACUCGCCAUCGCACGAGAAAAUGGGCGGUAAUAGGGAUGCCCAGUCCCAAACUGCAAACAUGAAAAAGAGUUCAUCUCUUGAAUAAUCAAACAAAAACUCCCAAUGGAGUCAAAACCUUUACUUUUAUCGCUUGGGAACCGCCACUAGCAUGCUUAGCAUGGAAGAUGUUGAUAACUGAUGAUCGUGAAGUGAAUAAGAAGGGUGCAUGUCUCAAAAUAUCAUUUAUCUCUAUUUUAAAAAUUGAGCUCUGGCACCUCUGCAAAUCACUGAUUCCCUCUGCGAAGGGACUUUCUAUUUACUUUUAUGUUGUGUCAUCACCUUCUAAAACAAGCGCCAGAAACUGAGCAGAGCACAGCUGUCAUGAUUUAUGCAUUGUGUAUAGCUAAUGCUGGAUGCAUCAUGACUGGAUCUUUUCUACCAUGAAUUACAAUGUUUAGUCACUGCUUGAACUUUGGAGGUGCUCUGCAUUUAUGUUUUGCGGUCUCAGAAAGGGCUAGCGAGAUACCACUAUUGUCAUAUUAUAUCUGUUGGGGAACGUAGUAAUUUCAAAAAAAUUCCUACGCACACACAGGAUCAUGGUGAUGCAUAGCAACGAGAGGGGAGAGUGUUGUCCACAUACCCUCGUAGACCGAAAGCGGAAGCGUUAGCACAACGCGGUUAAUGUAGUCGUACGUCUUCACGAUCCGACCAAUCAAGUACCGAACGUAUGGCACCUCCGAGUUCAGCACACGUUCAGCUCGAUGACGUCCCUCGAACUCCGAUCCAGCCGAGCUUUGAGGGAGAGUUCCGUCAACACGACGGCGUGGUGACGAUGAUGAUGUUCUACCGACACAGGGCUUCGCCUAAGCACCGCUACGAUAUUAUCGAGGUGGACUAUGGUGGAGGGGGGCACCGCACACGGCUAAGAGAUCCCAGGGAUCAAUUGUUGUGUCUAUGGGGUGCCCCCUGGCCACGUAUAUAAAGGAGUGGAGGAGGGGGGAGAGGGCCGGCCCCUAUGGCGCGCCCUAGAGGAGUCCUACUCCCACCGGGAGUAGGAUUCCCCCUCUUCCAAGUAGUAGGAGUAGGAGUCAAGGAAAGGGAAGAGAGAAGAGAAGGAUGGAGGGGGCGCAGCCCCUCCCCCUAGUCCAAUUUGGACUAGGCCUUGGGGGGCGCGCAGCCUCUCCUCUCUCUAUCCCCUAAAGCCCAAUAAGGCCCAUAUACUCCCCGGUGAAUCACCCAGUUACGUUGUGAUGUUUGGUAGCACACAAAGUGUUCCUCUGGUAAACGGGAGUUGCAUAAUCUCAUAGUCAUAGGAACAUGUAUAAGUCAUGAAGAAAGCAAUAGCAACAUACUAAAUGAUCAAGUGCUAAGCUAACGGAAUGGGUCAAGUCAAUCACAUCAUUCUCCUAAUGAUGUGAUCCCAUUAAUCAAAUGACAACUCAUGUCUAUGGCUAGGAAACUCAACCAUCUUUGAUCAACGAGCUAGCCAAGUAGAGGCAUAAUAGUGACACUAUGUUUGUCUAUGUAUUCACACAUGUAUUAUGUUUCCGGUUAAUACAGUUCUAGCAUGAAUAAUAAACGUUUAUCAUGAAAUAAGGAAAUAAAAAUAACUUUAUUAUUGCCUCUAGGGCAUAUUUCCUUCAGUCUCCCACUUGCACUAGAGUCGAUAAUCUAGUUCACAUCGCCAUGUGAUUUAACAUCAAUAGUUCACAUCUUCAUGUGGUUAACACCCAUAGUUCACAUCGAUAUGUGACCAACACCCAAAGAGUUUACUAGAGUCAGUUAAUCUAGUUCACAUCGCUAUGUGACUAACACCCAAAGAGUACUAAGGUGUGAUCAUGUUUUGCUUGUGAGAGAAGUUUAGUCAACGGGUCUGCCACAUCCAGAUCCGUAUGUAUUUUGCAAAUUUCUAUGUCAACAAUGCUCUGCACGGAGCUACUUUAGCUUAAUUGCUCCCACUUUCAAUAUGUAUCUAGAUCGAGACUUAGAGUCAUCCAGAUCGGUGUCAAAGCUUGCAUCGACGUAACUCUUUACGACGAACCUUUUGUCACCUCCAUAAUCGAGAAACAUAUCCUUAUUCCACUAAGGAUAAUUUUGACCACUGUCGAGUGAUCUACUCCUAGAUCACUAUUGUAUUCCCUUGCCAAACUCAGUGUAGGGUAUACAAUAGAUCUGGUACACAGCAUGGCAUACUUUAUAGAACCUAUGGCUGAGGCAUAGGGAAUGACUUUCAUUCUCUUUCUAUUUUCUGCCGUGGUCGGGCUUUGAGUCUUACUCAAUUUCACACCUUGCAACACAGACAAGAACUCUUUCUUUGACUGUUCCAUUUUGAACUACUUCAAAAUCUUGUCAAGGUAUGUACUCAUUGAAAAAACUUAUCAAGCAUCUUCAUCUAUCUCUAUAGAUCUUGAUGCUCAAUAUGUAAGCAGCUUCACCGAGAUCUUUCUUUGAAAAACUCCUUUCAAAUACUCCUUUAGUUCCAGAAAAUUCUACAUUAUUUCCAAUCAAUAAUAUGUCAUUCACAUAUACUAGAAAUGAUGUAGUGCUCCCACUCACUUUCUUGUAAAUACAGGCUUCACCACAAGUCUGUAUAAAACUAUAUGCUUUGAUCAACUCAUCAAAGUGUAUUUUCUAACUCCGAGAUGCUUGCACCAGUCCAUAUAUGGAUCGCUGGAGUUUGCACAUUUUGUUAGCACCUUUAGGAUCGACAAAACCUUCUGGUUGCAUCAUAUACAACUCUUCUUUAAGAAAUCCAUUAAGGAAUGUAGUUUUGACAUCCAUUUGCCAGAUUUCAUAAAAUGUGGCAAUUUGCUAACAUGAUUCGGACAGACUUAAGCAUAGAUACGAAUGAGAAACUCUCAUCGUAGUCAACACCUUGAACUUGUCGAAAACCUUUUUGCGACAAUUCUAGCUUUGUAGAUAGUAACACUACUAUCAGCAUUCGUCUUCCUCUUGAGGAUCCAUUUAAUCUCAAUGGCUCACCAAUCAUCGGGCAAGUCAAUCAAAGUCCAUACUUUGUUCGCAUACAUGGAUCCCAUCUCAGAUUUCAUGGCCUCAAGCCAUUUUGCAGAAUCUGGGCUCAUCACCGCUUCCUCAUAGUUCGUAGGUUCGUCAUGGUCAAGUAACAUGACCUCCAGAACAGGAUUAUCGUACCACUCUGGUGCGGAUCUUACUCUGGUUGACCUACGAGGUUCGGUAUUAACUUGAUCUGAAGUUUCAUGAUCAUUAUCAUUAGCUUCCUCACUAAUUGGUGUAGGUGUCACACGAACCGGUUUCUGUGAUGAACUACUUUCCAAUAAGGGAGCAGGUACAGUUACCUCAUUAAGUUCUACUUUCCUCCCACUCACUUCUUUCGACAGAAACUCCUUCUCUAGAAAGGAUCCAUUCUUCGCAACGAAUUUGCCUUUGGAUCUGUGAUAGAAGAUAUACCCAAUAGUCUCCUUUUGGGUAUCCUAUGAAGACGCAUUUGUCCGAUUUGGGUUCAAGCUCAUCAUGUUGAAACUUUUUCACAUAAGCAUCGCAUCCCCAAACUUUAAGAAACGACAACUUUGGUUUCUUGCCAAACCACAGUUCAUAAGGUGUCAUCUCAACGGAUUUAGAUGGUGCCCUUUUAACAUGAAUGCAGCCGUCUCUAAAGCAUAACCCCAAAAUGAUAGCGGUAAAUCAGUAAGAGACAUCAUAGAUCGCACCAUAUCUAGUAAAGUACGAUUACGACGUUCGGACACACCAUUUCGCUGUGGUGUUCUGGGUGGCGUGAGUUGCGAAACUAUUCAGCAUUUUUUUUCAAAUGAAGACCAAACUCGUAACUCAAAUAUUAUCCUCCAUGAUCAGAUCGUAGAAACUUUAUUUUCUUGUUACGAUGAUUUUCAACUUCACUCUGAAAUUCUUUGAACUUUUCAAAUGUUUCAGACUUAUGUUUCAUUAAGUAGAUAUACCCAUGUCUGCUUAAAUCAUCUGUGAAGGUGAGAAAAUAAUGAUACCCGCCGCGAGCCUCAACAUUCAUCGGACCACAUACAUCUGUAUGUAUGAUUUCCAACAAACCUGUUGCUCGCUCCAUAGUUCUGGAGAACGGCAUUUUAGUCAUCUUGCCCAUGAGGCACGUUUCGCAAGUACCAAGUGAUUCAUAAUCAAGUGGUUCCAAAAGUCCAUCGGUAUGGAGUUUCUUCAUGCGCUUUACACCAAUAUGACCUAAACGGCAGUGCCACAAAUAAGUUGCACUAUCAUUAUCAACUCUGCAUCUUUUGGCUUCAAUAUUAUGAAUAUAUGUAUCACUACUAUCGAGAUUCAAUAAAAAUAGACCACUCUUCAAGGGUGCAUGACCAUAAAAGAUAUUACUCAUAUAAAUAGAACAACCAUUAUUCUCUGAUUUAAAUGAAUAACCGUCUCGCAUCAAACAAGAUCCAGAUAUAAUGUUCAUGCUCAACGCUGGCACCAAAUAACAAUUAUUCAGGUCUAAAACUAAUCCUGAAGGUAGAUGUAGAGGUAGCGUGCCGACCGCGAUCACAUCGACUUUGGGACCAUUUCCCACGCGCAUCGUCACCUCGUCCUUAGCCAAUCUUUUCUUAAUCCGUAGUCCCUGUUUUGUGUUGCAAAUAUUAGCAACAAAACCAGUAUCAAAUACCCAGGUGCUACUUCGAGCAUUAGUAAGGUACACAUCAAUAACAUAUAUCACAUAUACCUUUGUUCACCUUGCCAUCCUUCUUAUCCACCAAAUACUUGGGGCAGUUCCGCUUCCAGUGACCAGUCUGUUUGCAGUAGAAGCACUCAGUCUCAGGCUUAGGUCCAGACUUGGGUUUCUUCUCCUGAGCAGCAACUUGUUUGUUGUUCUUCUUGAAGUUCCCCUUCUUCUCCCCUUUGCCCUUUUUCUUGAAACUGGCGGUCUUGUUGACCAUCAACACUUGAUGCUCCUUCUUGAUUUCUACCUCCACAGCCUUUAGCAUUGCGAAGAGCUCGGGAAUCGUCUUAUCCAUCCCUUGCAUGUUAUAGUUCAUCACGAAGCUCUUGUAGAUUGGUGGCAGUGAUUGAAGAAUUCUGUCAAUGACGCUAUCAUCCGGAAGAUUAACUCCCAGUUGAAUCAAGUGAUUGUUAUACCCAGACAUUCUGAGUAUAUGCUCACUGACAGAACUAUUCUCCUCCAUCUUACAGCUGUAGAACUUAUUGGAGACUUCAUAUCUCUCAAUCCGGGCAUUUGCUUGAAAUAUUAACUUCAACUCCUGAAACAUCUCAUAUGCUCCAUGACAUUCAAAACAUCGUUGAAGUCCCGGUUCUAAGCCUUAAAGCAUGGCACACUGAACUAUCGAGUAGUCAUCAGCUUUGCUCUGCCUACUCCUAAUGGAGCAGUUGGUAGUCUCCGCCGGUCAAUUUUCGUCCCAUCUACCAUGGUUUUUUUUUCGUCCUACCUCCGCUGGUUUUUUUCAUAGAUUUUUUCGUCCCCUCCCCCACUUCGUCCCACCACUUUCGCUGUUUUUUUUCGUCUCCCUUCCCACGUCGCGCGAAAAAAACCCCAGGGAAUAGCCCCCAUCGCACCGCACGCCAACGGGAUCCAGGUCCCCUCGAUCUAUUCGCUAUGUCCAUCGUCAAGCACGCCCCAGCCGCCACCGAGGUCCGCAUCCCGCCGUCGAGGUCCGAAAGGGGCCGCGGCCGCCUUCAUUCUGGACAGGAGGUCUGCGCCAUACCUCAGGGCAGGGCGGUUCAAACCCCUGGAUCGUGAUCGUCAAUAACGCCGCCGCCGGCAUCAUGGAUCUCUCCUCCGCCCAUCAUCUUGCUCCUCCGCCAGCCUUCGAGAUCGCCGCCGCCGCUACCACCAGUUCGCUCGCACGCCGUGGCCAUCACCCGGCCCGUAUGCCGCCGCCAUUACCCUUCGCCGCUGCUCGGAUGUGGCGCUCAUGCGCCAUGGCCGCCAUGGCAUCCAUGGCCGACAGGGGAGGACCCUCGGCCUCGGUUGUGGCUCCUGCACAGGACAUGGGGAAGGUGAGCCAAAUCCACACGUGGUCCUCCAGUAAAUCCGGGCCAUGACCUACCUGAACCUGUUGCAUCUCUUUCCUCUCUGUCUGCAGUCUCUUGGAAUGGUGUGCGGCGGCUUCGACGCAAGACCAUGGCUGGAGGUGCGGCCAUCGGUGGGAUGAGGUCGGCCAAGGUGGACAACACCUACGCACCGGAUCUACCACAGAAACCUUCUCAAGUAUGAUUUCUUCCCCCAUUUUGCUUGUAUAGUUAAUUGUUCGUCCUUGUAUCCUGACUUUCCAGCUGAGUGAGUCAUGGAGUUUGUGGGUUGCACGCGCUAUAGGUAGUUACUGGAUGGAAUAGUAAGAAUUGAUGUAACCGUAGAGCCUAGAAUCUCACUCCCUUCAAGGCCGCUUUCUUCUUCUCCUUACCCUGUUUGGUUUACUGAGAAAUUCCCCAAACACUCUUUAUAUAGUGAAUCUAUUUAUUAUAUACUCAUGCCAUCUAAGUAGUGAAAUAUUCUAUCUUAUAAAUAUAUGGAAUAUUUCUUCUAGAGAAAUCAAGCUUUUUUCGUUCUAGGUAUUUCUCUUGUUCAUGCAUAAAACCUUACCAACAGAAUCUACAAUAUAGAAGUACAGAAGUUGAUGCAAAUGUAUGGAGCAUGGUCACCACUCUCACAUUUGGUCAGUGAUUAAUGCAACCUCUACGUACAUCUCUUUCAUUCAUUGAACCACUCUUUCAUGACACAUAUGCAGUUCUACACCUUCUCAUAUCCAAACGAUGACUCCUUGUAGUGGGAUGAGAGGAUAUUAUAUCUAAGCAUGUGAGGGAGGAGCAAGAUAUUAUGAGGUGGACUAUGGGGUUCAUAACAUCUGGUGUUGCUCCUGCAGCAGGUCUGGCACCUAGCGGUGCUUCCAGGACGUAAUUCUUCUGUGCAGCAAUGAGGAUAAUCCUCAAGUUACGGACCCAGUCCGUGUAAUUGCUACCAUCAUCUUCCAACUUUGCUUUCUCAAGGAACGCAUUAAAAUUCAACGGAACAACAGCACGGGCCAUCUAUCUACAAUCAGCAUAGACAAGAAAAAUACUAUCAGGUACUAAGUUCAUGAUAAAUUUAAGUUCAAUUAAUCAUAUUACUUAAGAACUCCCACUUAGAUAGGCAUCCCUCUAAUCCUCUAAGUGAUCACGUGAUCCAAAUCAACUAAACCAUGUCCGAUCAUCACGUGAGAUGGAGUAGUUUCAAUGCUGAACAUCACUAUGUUGAUCAUAUCUACUAUAUGAUUCACGCUCGACCUUUCGGUCUGAGUGUUCCGAGGCCGUAUCUGCAUAUGCUAGGUUCGUCAAGUUUAACCUGAGUAUUCCGCGUGUGCAACUGUUUUGCACCCGUUGUAUUUGAAUGUAGAGCCUAUCACACCCGAUCAUCACGUGGUGUCUCAGCGCGAAGAACUUUCACAACGGUGCAUACUCAGGGAGAACACUUAUACCUUGAUAAUUUAGUGAGAGAUCAUCUUAUAAUGCUACCGUCAAUCAAAACAAGAUAAGAUGCAUAAAAGAUAAACAUCACAUGCAAUCAAUAUAAGUGAUAUGAUAUGGCCAUCAUCAUCUUGUGCUUGUGAUCUCCAUCUCCGAAGCACCGUCAUGAUCACCAUCGUCACCGGCGCGACACUUUGAUCUCCAUCGUAGCAUCGUUGUCGUCUCGCCAACUUAUGCUUCUACGACUAUCGCUACCGCUUAGUGAUAAAGUAAAGCAUUACAGGGCGUUUGCAUUGCAUACAAUAAAGCGACAACCAUAUGGCUCCUGCCAGUUGCCGAUAACUCGGUUACAAGACAUGAUCAUCUCAUACAAUAAAAUAUAGUAUCAUGCCUUGACCAUAUCACAUCACAACAUGCCCUGCAAAAACAAGUUAGACAUCCUCUACUUUGUUGUUGUAAGUUUUACGCGGCUGCUACGGGCUGAGCAAGAACCGUUCUUACCUACGCAUUAAAACCACAACGAUAGUUUGUCAAGUUAGUGCUGUUUUAACCUUCUCAAGGACCGGGCGUAGCCACACUCGGUUCAACUAAAGUUGGAGAAACUGACACCCACCAGCCACCUGUGUGCAAAGCACGUCGGUAGAACCAGUCUCGCGUAAGCGUACGCGUAAUGUCGGUCCGGGCCGCUUCAUCCAACAAUAACGUCGAACCAAAGUAUGACAUGCUGGUAAGCAGUAUGACUUAUAUCGCCCACAACUCAUUUGUGUUCUACUCGUGCAUAUAACAUCUACGCAUAAAACCAGGCUGAGCAAAAGCGGUAACUUAGCCAAACAACGGUUUGCUAGGAAAGGAUGGUUAGAGGCUUGACAUGGCAAUAUGGGAGGCAUGAUAUAGCAAGUGGUAGGUAGCGCAGCAUAGCAAUAGAACGAACAACUAGCAAAGCAAAGAUAGAAGUGAUUUCGAGGGUAAGGUCAUCUUGCCUGCAAGGUUCUCAGAGUUGUCGAAAGCUUGAUCCUCGUAAGCGUACUCAACAGGUUCCUCGUUCACGAACUCGUCUCCCAGCUCUACCCACAGCAAGAACACAAGCAAUGGAACCACAAUCAAUCACGGGAAAUGCACAAGCAACAUGAUGCAAUACAUGCAUGAUAUGCAAGAUAUGAUAUGCGAUGCGUAUGCUUGCUCCGGAAGAAAAAGAAUAAACAAGGCAGUAACUUGGCAAACCAAGUAUGCCACUAGAAAUAUGAGAUGAUUUCGGUCGAAAUCAAUAUAAAGAUCACCGGAAACGGAUGCACGGUUUGCAAAUGGCAAGCAAAACAAGAAUGACACGAAUCUGCGAUUAACAGCAUGAUAGCACUUAGGAUACAUCAAGUAACUAUGCUACAGCACUCCAACAUAGCAACAAAGCAUAUGGCAGUAAUCUACAAGAGAUUCUUGACAAAAGAUGAACACUGAGCUAUGGCUAGAUCACAACAUAACAGGUUCAAACAAGCAUGGCAAAAGUGCAAAAGAUAUCAGUUUCACAGACUUGGUGAAAUUACUGGACAUGGCUGAAACAACAUCAGGUAGGAAUGUUCAGAGCAAGCAAAACACAUGCUACAGGAACUUAACAUAGCAAAACAAGGCAUGGCAUGAAUCUACUAAAUGCAUAGAACAAAAAGUCCCUUACUGACCAUGAGCCAAAAGGUACAGAAGAUAUGAUGGCACCCAUGUAAACAUAGCAAGUUUCGUUAACAGGUUUCAGACUUAGCAGAAAACAGAGCAUGGCAUUAACAGAAAUUAUGAGGGCAUCUUGUGAGCUUGAUGCACUCAUCACAAAGCAAUGCAUGACAAAACAAGCAUACCUAAAGCAAGAUGGCAUGUUUAUGAAUCUAACCAUGGCAAGAGCAAGUUCAUAGCAUGAAAGGAUCAACUACAACAACCUUGGCAAAAUUGAAUAUCAUGUUAAACAUUCUGCCAGAAACAUUUUAUAGCAAAAGUAGAGCAAGAUUAAGACAUGCUAGGGCACUCCAUAAUUGCAAACAGUGCCAUGGAUGGAUAGAGGAUAACCAUAGUUCAAAACAUCCUUAUUGAAGUAUCUCAAAAUAUGCAUGGAUCUCUCUGUAGCCACAUGGAUACAUAGCAACAAAAUAACAGCAGUAACAGACAGUGAAAAUCCCAAGUCCCUGAAAACAGAAAACAUCACGAAGCCUAGUUUGCAUGCUUGUGCUAGUCACCACAUAGAUCACAAAAAUACAUAGCAUACACCUCUGUAAAGAUGGCAUGGCAUAGAUCAAAACACCUGUAGAGCUCAUGCUCAUAAUAUGCACACAUCAAUUGCAACAAAAAUAACAAAUCACCAAGUUCUGAUAAGUAACAGCAGUAAACAUCAUAUAGCACACUUUCACCAGAGAUUUUGGCAUCAAUAUGGACUCAAACGAGCAUGGCGCAAUGGAACAAAAUGAAGAGCAUCUCGUGACGAACAUUUCGAUAUAUUACACGCACGAAACAGAGCUAUGUGCACGGAGAUAUGAUGCGAUGAACAGAGCAAUAUUAUGCAAAAACUUCGGGACUUGGACAAAUCGAGGGGAGGAAAAAGUCAACCUAGCCCCGAUCUGGAUCUAGCGCGGCUUGGGCGCGCGGUCGCCGAGGAUCGCCGGGGCUAGCGCGGCUGCGGGAGACGGAGGGAGACAGCGGCGGCUGGAGAGAGCUCGGGGGAGGCGCGGGGCGGCCGGAGCUCGGGGCCGGACCUCGCCGGAGUUGGAGAGGAGGGAGAUGGCCGGCUGGAGCUCGGGGAGGCCCGGUCGGCGGACGGGCGCCGGAGCGCCGGAGCUCGCCGGCUCGGGUGCGGCGGACGGCGACCUGCGGAGGACGGCGGGAGGCGGCGAUGGCNNNNNNNNNNNNNNNNNNNNNNNNNNNNNNNNNNNNNNNNNNNNNNNNNNNNNNNNNNNNNNNNNNNNNNNNNNNNNNNNNNNNNNNNNNNNNNNNNNNNNNNNNNNNNNNNNNNNNNNNNNNNNNNNNNNNNNNNNNNNNNNNNNNNNNNNNNNNNNNNNNNNNNNNNNNNNNNNNNNNNNNNNNNNNNNNNNNNNNNNNNNNNNNNNNNNNNNNNNNNNNNNNNNNNNNNNNNNNNNNNNNNNNNNNNNNNNNNNNNNNNNNNNNNNNNNNNNNNNNNNNNNNNNNNNNNNNNNNNNNNNNNNNNNNNNNNNNNNNNNNNNNNNNNNNNNNNNNNNNNNNNNNNNNNNNNNNNNNNNNNNNNNNNNNNNNNNNNNNNNNNNNNNNNNNNNNNNNNNNNNNNNNNNNNNNNNNNNNNNNNNNNNNNNNNNNNNNNNNNNNNNNNNNNNNNNNNNNNNNNNNNNNNNNNNNNNNNNNNNNNNNNNNNNNNNNNNNNNNNNNNNNNNNNNNNNNNNNNNNNNNNNNNNNNNNNNNNNNNNNNNNNNNNNNNNNNNNNNNNNNNNNNNNNNNNNNNNNNNNNNNNNNNNNNNNNNNNNNNNNNNNNNNNNNNNNNNNNNNNNNNNNNNNNNNNNNNNNNNNNNNNNNNNNNNNNNNNNNNNNNNNNNNNNNNNNNNNNNNNNNNNNNNNNNNNNNNNNNNNNNNNNGGCGCGCGGAGGGACGGAUCUAGCUUUUCAGGACCCGGAAUUUGGAGGAGGGAGCACAUAUUUAUAGGUAGAGGGAGUUAGGAGACUCCAAAUGGAGUGCGGUAUUCGCCCACACGAUCGUGAUCGAACGACCGAGAGCAUGGAGGUGACUUAGAUGGGUUGUUGGGCUGUUUGGAGGGGGGUUUUGCUGCAACACACAAAAGGCCUUUGCGGUUACCCGGUUGACCGUUGAAGCACCAAACGACCUCCAAAUGGAACGAAACUUGACAGGUGGUCUACCGGUGUUCUACCAAGUCCAGUUGGCAAACCUCGGUCCAUUCCGAGAAUGUUUGACACCCGCUCACGAAAAGAGACAAGAGGGGGUGCGCCGGUGCACGUGGGAGUGUCGGAUUGCAAAACGGACAACGGGGAAAAUGCUCGGAUGCAAGAGACGAACACGUAUGCAAAUGAGAUGCACAUGAUGACAUGAUAUGAGAUGCAUGACAUGAAAAAAAUGUAAAACGAGAGACAAAACCCGACCACGAAGUGAAUAUCAUAACACAUAGCCGAAAAUGGCAAGAGUUGGAGUUACAAAUAUGGAAAGUUACAUCCGGGGUGUUACAACACUCCACCACUACGAGAGGAUCUCGUCCCGAGAUCUAGGACUGAAAGAACUCCGGAUAUUCGGAACGGAGGUGGUCCUCGCGUUCCCAGGUGGCUUCUCGGUCGGAAUGGUGCGACCACUUCACUUUCAGGAAUUUGAUUGACUUGUUGCGAGUCUUGCGCUCAGUUUCUUCAAGAAUAGCAACGGGGUGCUCAUGAUAAGACAGAUCUUCUUGGAGGUCAAUCUCUUCGAAGUUGAUGGUGCGCUCAGGAGUCUUGAAGCACUUGCGAAGCUGUGACACGUGGAACACAUCGUGCACGUUCGCGAAGUUGGAGGGAAGCUCAAGUUGAUAGGCGAGGUCGCCUCUUUUUCCAAUGAUCUUGAAAGGACCCACGUAUCUAGGGGCAAGCUUCCCUUUGAUACCGAAGCGACGAGUGCCUUUCAUUGGAGAGACGCGGAGGUAGACAUGGUCUCCGAUCUCAAAAGCCAAAUCACGGUGCUUACUAUCAUAAUAACUCUUCUGCGCGAUUGCGCGGCUUUGAGAUUUUCACAGAUGACUUUACACAUGUCUUCAGCCUCUGUGAUUAAGUCAUUGCUAAGAAGUUGGCGUUCACCAGUCUCUGACCAAUUGAGAGGAGUACGGCACUUUCUGCCAUAGAGAAUCUCGAAUGGGGCCUUGCCCGAACUCGCUUGGAAGCUGUUGUUGUAGGAGAAUUCGGCAUAUGGAAGACAAUCUUCCCAUUUCAUGCCAAAGGAAAUGACACAAGCCCUGAGAAUAUCUUCAAGGAUUUGAUUGACUCGCUCGACUUGGCCACUAGUUUGAGGAUGGAAAGCUGUGCUGAAGCGAAUGUUGGUGCCCAUGGCUUUCUGGAAGGAGUCCCAGAACUUAGAAGUGAAGAUACUUCCACGAUCUGAAGAUAUCAAUUGUGGAAUGCCGUGCAAGGAGACAAUCCUGGAGGUGUAUAGCUCUGCCAACUGAGCUGCUGUGAUUGAUUCUUUGAUUGGAAGGAAAUGCGCCACUUUAGAAAGCUUGUCGAUGACAACGAAGAUAGCAUCAUUUCCACGCUUGGACUUGGGAAAUCCAGUCACGAAGUCCAUUUCGAUAUGAUCAAACUUCCAUUCUGGGAUAGCGAGAGGUUGGAGGAGACCAGCUGGUCGUUGGUGUUCUGCUUUCACCCUUCGACAGACAUCACAUUCAUUCACGAAUUGAGCGAUUUCUCGCUUCAUUCGAGUCCACCAAUACGACUGCCUGAGGUCAUGGUACAUCUUCGUACUUCCGGGAUGAAUGGAAAGAAGAGAAUUGUGCGCCUUGUUCAUAAUGACUUUCCUUAGAUCACCUUUAGGAACCACCAACCGGUCCUCGAAGAAUAAAGUGUCUCUGUCAUCAAUGCGAUAGCACUUGUAUUUGGAAAGACCCUUGUCGAUACCAUGUUUCACCUUCUUCACCAUGGUAUCCAGGAGUUGUGCCUCACGAAUUUGAUCUUCCAAAGUAGGAGAGACUAUGAGGUUGGCAAGAAAGCCUUGAGGAACAACUUGGAAAUUGAGCUUGCGGAAAGCUUCACAAAGAUCCGGUUGAAAUGGCUUGAUAAUUAAACUGUUGCAAUAAGCCUUCCUGCUCAAAGCAUCUGCAAUGACAUUGGCUUUGCCUGGAGUAUAUUCAAUACUCGGAUUGUACUCUUGAAUCAUUUCGACCCAUCGAGUUUGCCUGAGGUUGAGGUUGGGUUGAGUGAAGAUGUACUUGAGACUCUUGUGAUCGGUGAAUAUGUCCACUUUUCUUCCCAACAAGAGAUGUCUCCAUGUUAUUAAUGCAUGGACAACUGCCGCCAACUCAAGAUCGUGAGUGGGGUAGUUCUUUUCGUUGGGCUUCAACUGACAAGAGGUAUGGGCCACAACUUUCUUCUCUUGCAUUAACACAGCAUCGAGACCUUGAAGAGAAGCAUCACAGAAAACUUCGAAUGGCUUGGAUUCGUCAGGAGGAGUUAAGACAGGAGCUGUGACGAGUUUCUCUUUGAGAGUGUUGAAAGCAACGUCACACUCAGGAGUCUAGACAUACUUCACAUGCUUCUGGAGGAGGUUGGAGAGAGGCUUUGCAAUCUUAGAGAAAUUCUCAACGAAUCUUCGGCAAUAGCUUGCAAGACCAAGAAAACUGCGAAGCUGCUUGACAUUCUGAGGAGGUUCCCAAUUCACAAUUGCAGACACCUUCUCGGGAUUAACAACGAUGCCCUUGGCAGAGAUGAUAUGACCAAGGUAAAGAACUUCGUCAAGCCAAAACUCACAUUUGGAAAACUUCGCAUAGAAUUGAUACUCUCUGAGCUUGUCGAGUACCAAUCACAAAUGUUUGGCAUGAUCCUUCUUAUUCUUGGAGACGACCAAGAUAUCAUCGAGAUACACCAGGACGAAUUCAUUGGUAUAGGGGUUGAAGAUGAAGUUCAUCAUUCGAGAGAAUGUUGGAGGAGCAUUGACAAGGCCGAAAGACAUGACAGUAUAUUCAUAAGAACCAAAGCUUGUUCUGAAUGCUGUCUUGGGAAUAUCUUCUUCACGAAUGCGAAUCUGAUGAUAACCCAUCCGGAGGUCAAGCUUGGAGAAUACUUUAGCACCUUUAAGUUGCUCGAAUAGCUCAUUGAUGUUGGAAGUGGAUACUUGUUCUUGAUUGUCUUCUUUUUCAAUGGACGGUAGUCGACACAAAGUCGGUCCGUGCCAUCCUUCUUCUGGACAAAAAGAACACCACAACCCCACGGAGAUGAACUCGGUCUGAUCAAACCCAGACGCUCUUGUUCAUCGAGCUGUUUCUUCAAUUCCUUCAGCUCCUUGGGUCCAAGCUUGUAUGGACGCUUGCAAACGGGUUCCGUGCCAGGCUCAAGAUCGAUAACAAACUCAACUGGCCGGUGAGGAGGCAUACCCGGAAGCUCUUCUGGAAAGACAUCUUGGUACUCACAAACGACUGGAAUUUGAGAAAUAGCAUUCCACUCGCCCUUCUCAUUGAGAGAAAACAACUGAAUAGUUUCAUCACGAGCGGCAUAGAUGAUAACAUCCUCAGAAGAGUGUGUCAAUUUAAUUUCCCUGGCAGCACAAUCAAGUUGAGCCUUGUGCUUAGAAAGCCAGUCCAUCCCGAGAAUUAGAUCAAUAUCCGAGUCACCAAGGACAAUUGGUGAAGACAGAAAUUUAUAGUUGCCCAUCUUGAUGGAAACAUCCGGAACCAUGGCUAAUUAUGUCAUUGAUAUGAAUCAUUAUAAUUUUUAAAUGUUAUUGUCGACAUGGUUAGUUAUAGUGCUGGCUGAAAACCUGGGUGUUGUUUAAGCUUAUUUAUGCAAACAAGAGCAAAAGAGUUCGUAAAAGUUUUUCUUUCCCACUUCCAGUUUAUCAACUUAAGCUUGGGGGAGUUGAUACGUCUCCAACGUACCUACUUUUUCUCACGCUUUCCUCUUGUUUUGGACUCUAAUUUGCAUGAUUUGAAUGAAACUAACCCCGAACUGACGCUGUUUUCAGCAAAACUACCAUGGUGUUGUUUUUAUGCAGAAAUAAAGGUUCUCGGAAUGGAACGAAACUUUGUGAGGAUUUUUUAUAUCAAUGAUAAUAAUUUCUGGAGCCAAGACCUGCCAGAGAGGGGCACCUGGGUGGGCACAACCCACCAGGGCGCACCCCCCUCUCCUGGCGCGCCCAGGUGGGUUGUAUCCACCUGGUGGCCCCGCUGACGACCCCCCUGAUACUAUAAAUUCACAUAUUUCCAGAAAAAAAAUCAGGAAAAAAGAAUUAUCGCGUUCCACGAGACGGAGCCGCCGCCAAGCCCUGUUCUUCCUCGGAAGGGCAGAUCUGGAGUCCGUUUGGGGCUCCGGAGAGGGGGAUCUUCGUUCUUCGUCAUCACCAACCAAUCUCCAUCGCCAAUUCCAUGAUGCUCCCCACCUGUGAGUAAUUCCUUCAUAGGCUGCCUGGUCGGUGAGGAGUUGGAUUAGAUUCAUCAUGUAAUCGAGUUAGUUUUGUUAGGGCCUAAUCCCUAGUAUCCACUAUGUUCCUAGAUUGAUGUUGCUAUGACUUUGCUAUGCUUAAUGCUUGUCACUUUGGGCCCGGGUGCCAUGAACUCAGAUCUGAACCGUUUAUGAAUUCAUCAUUAUAUCCAUGUUUUAAAUCCGAUCUUGCAAGUUAUAGUCACCUACUACGUUUAUGAUCCGACAACCCCGGAGUGACAACAACCGGGCCCACUCUCGGUGAUGACCGUAGUUUGAGGAGUUCAUGUAUCACUAUUUGUUAAUGCUUUGUUUCGGUUCUCUAUUAAAAGGAGGCCUUAAUAUUCCUUAGUUUCCAAUAUGGACCCCGCUGCACGGGAGGGUAGGACAAACGAUGUCAUGCAAGUUCUUUUAAUAAAGCACGUAUGACUAUUUACGGAAUACAUGCCUACAUUAUAUCGAUGAAUUGGAGCUAGUCCCGUAUCGCCCUAGGUUAUAACGGUCACAUGAUGAAUAUCAUCCAACAAGUCACCGAUCCAAUGCCUACGAAUUUAUUUAUAUUGAUCUUGCUGUGUUACUACUGCUAUCAUCACUGUUACACUUGCUACAAAUUACUGCUAUCACUGUUACUGUUAUCAUUGCUGCUGUCACUACUAUCAAAACUAUCAAACUACUUUGCUACUGAUCACUUUGUUGCAGAUAAUUAAUCUCCAGGUGUGGUUGAAUUGACAACUCAGCUGCUAAUACCUUCAAAUAUUCUUUGGCUCCCUUUGUGUCGAAUCUAUAAAUUUGGGUUGAAUACUCUACCCUCGAAAACUGUUGCGAUUCCCUAUACUUGUGGGUUAUCACUGUCCAACCCCCAUGUGUCGGCGACGUUGGUCAGGGGUGCAGCAGGGACGGUGGCGGCACACAGGACGGUUGUGACGACGACGGCGGCGGUGACUACACCAAGUUCUACAGGCUCCUCGGCAUGUAGAAGGCGGGCGGCGACAACGGCGGCGCAGUAGUUUGUUUAAGUUCGUUUGUUUUAGUUUUAGUUAUGUUUUCCGUUUUUUGUACAAAUGUCAAUGAAAUCGCCUCGUUUGGCCGAAAUUUGUGUCGUGUUUGAUUUUUUAAAAACCCGCGUCUGGGACGGCCUUGGGGCGGCCGUCCACACGCCGAGUUUUUCGCCGGCGCACCCCCAAGCGGCGCUAUUUCAAGCCCCUAGAGAGGGCCAACGAGUGGAGAUGCUCUAAGCAAGACCAGUGUGUUGCUACCGGCAAAGGCAACGUCGACGACCUGCAGUCGAGCUGUUUGAUGGAAUGCCAGAGAGAAGUAAGCUUGAGAGUGUUAGACGCCGACGGGUGAACCCGCUGCAGCUUAACAUUCCAGGCUAACGGAGUGUAUAUUUGAUGCCACGUAAACGCUUACAUAUGGGUCCCAUGCAUCAUAAACAUGGUUAAAACAGAUGAACUACGUCCCUAGUGUCUUUUGUGAAAAUUAGGGGCAAUACUGGUAGGUUUUAGCAAAAAAAAUAGAGCGGUUGUUUUUUGAACCCUAAUCGUGAUUGUAGUGGUUUUUUCUAUUUACUCCAUCUAUACGAUAUCAAACAAAAUUGGGGAUAAAUGAUUUUCUUAGCUUAACUUAAGUUCUCAUCAUAGUGUGUGCGAGAAAUAAUAACUCAAACCAGGUUCUCACCCCGCUUUAUAGAUAAAACACAAACCAAAGUACAUGGCCAAACGAUACAAGGUAAUGAGGGGGCCCUCAUAGAAAGCAGAUCCUAGAAUAACUAAUCAGCAUAAAUGCACACAACUAUGUUGUAGAAAGCUAACACGGGCAGGCCUGAAAACUACGGCCAAACACAUCCUCGCCUAAGCUUCCAUAACAGCGCCCUUAGGAGGCUGAACAAUGUGAAGCGUCGUCGCUGCCAAGUCCGAGGGAGACAAGGGUUUUCACUUGAAGCCCUGGCACAGAGAGGAGAACCACGCCUCAAGAGGAUAGCGGCACCCACGCAUUGUAGCGUCAUUGGCAUCAAAGUGCGAAGCUUUCGUUUGGCAGAUCAUACAUGCCACCAUGAGGUAUCUAUGAUAAUCGCAACGAGCAUAAGCCUUUAGCUCCGGAUAUGGGCGCCGCCACUACCAACGAUAGGAAGCGAGGCAGAGCCUUCUACAGCAACACCGUACCCCUUGCCGCCCAGACAACCAAGAAGGAUACCCACCGUCGCCAUCAUGGUGCCCGCUGUAGCUGUGGAGCCAUCCAUGCGGGCCAGCAUCUAUGGUUCGAGCCACUGCCAACCCUCUGCGUCACGGCGCGCCAACCAAGUACAAGCAGAAGUCACUCCUUCUAUUCCUAGCCUAGCAUCAACCACUAGGUCCGGACCCAAUGCCUCCACCGUAGAAAGCGCCAGCAUGUGCCUCUCUAAGCAGUCUCGAUGGACUAGGGGGACACAACGCAGUGACUAUCGAUGGCCACCUUCGGGCAAGCACCGAACCGAGCCCUCUGGUCCGCAACCUAUGCGGCAACCACGUCAGGUCACCGCCAUCACCCCGCGCCACCCGCCAUGGCCAGGUCCCCAAAUCGGGAUCCACUAGAUGCCACAUGCACCCACCAGAGAUUGCCCGUGCAUAGCCGCCACACACAAGCACUCGCCCCAUGUCGCCGCCGCCCACCCUCGAGCGAACGUUGCUGCCACCCGCGCCUGCUGCCGCUCUGCCGCCCAAGGCUCCUCCGCGCGACUAGGCCAUCCCGCGCCAACCUUCACGGACCGAGCGAAGGGGAGAAGAUUCCCUCCGCCAUUUGGGCUUUGCCCAGCGGCGGCGAGGGGAGUGAGAGGUGUUGUUGGGGGUUAUUAGUCCGUCUCCAUGGGCUUUGGUCAAUAUCGCUCGUUAAUUCCUACUCCUACGCAUGUACGUCGGGUGCAGAACUGCACGCACUAGUUAGUUCGCCCAAAAGUUCAAGCUGAUGGGGGAAAGGUGGGCUAUGCAUUUAUACGUCAACACACACCCUUGUGUGUGGCUCCCUGAGGCCUAAACAUGAACUGAAAGUGGGCUGCAAUUUAAUUACGCCAGCCGUGUCUUGAACUAAAGACCUUUUGGUUCUAAUACCAUGUACAAAUGCACGCGCCAGCCAGUUCAUCCAAAAGCUCAAUCUAUGAGAGAGGGCAUGGCAUUAUACUUCAACACUCCCCCUCACGUCUAUGCUCCUUUGGAGUGUAUGACGUGGGCAGCGAAAGCCGGGCAAGCCCCAAUUAUUUAUUGUGUUUACUGGGUUUUGAACCCUAAACCUCUUGGUUGCAAGUUUAUGUACCUAACCAGUUCACUCAUAAGCUCAAGCUAUGGGAGAGGGUUGAACAUUAUACUCCAAGACUCCCCCUCACGUCUAUGCUUCUUUGGAGAUUAUGAUGUUGGCAGCGAAAGUGGGGCAGGCCGCAACCAACUCAUCCAAAGGUCCGGAGUGAUGGAGAGAGCCAGACAAUGUACUUAACACCCCCUCACAUCUAGGCUUAUUUAGUCUUUAGACAUGAGAUUUAUGUAGGCCGCAAAAUCCUUUUUUAAUACUACGUUGGCAGAGUAUUACUCAAGACCUCCUGGUUCAGAUACCAUGUUAAACUAAUGUUCUAGCCAACUCAUUCAAAAGUUCCAACCAUGAGAGAGGGCCGGACAUUAUACUUCAACAUCGACGAUGAAAACAUUGUAGCGGGAGCGGACAAGAAUGUAGUCCUCCAGUGGCGAGUAGCUGUGAUGAGCCAAAUACUUUUUUUAUAAAGGGAAUAUAUUAAUAUCACAGAUAUCAAUUACACCCAGCCUAUGCAACAAUGCAAUGCCCUAAUGGCAUUAUGGAUGUGCACAACCAAAAAAGAAGAAUCUAAAAAAAAGCCCCGCUAGAGAGUUCCAGUCCUUGCAACAGCAGUACAACCACCACCAAAACAACACCUCAAGUCCAAGUUCUCCAAAAACGACGCCUCAAAGAAGGAAACAGUGCACAAACACCAUCGUCACCCGAUCGUAGAUCUUGGAUUUUCACCCUGAAGAUAGUCUCCGCUCUCAAAACAAUGCCUUCAACAAGGUCAUUGCCAUGCACAACCAACUAAGGCCAGACCUUGGAUUUUCACCUUGAGAGGUAAGACUUUGAACUACACAUGUGUUGUCGCCCCCACUUACAUACCGUUGCUACAAAAUCCGAAACUCCAAACAAGCUCCUCAUCGCCAUAAAGGCUCCAGUCACCAUUACUAGUCCUCCGAUCUCGGCUUCCAUGACAUUCUCGCCUCUGACUUCACCAUAGAGUUAAACAUAUCCCAUGAUGACAACAGAUAGCAGAGCUUCGCACCGCUCCCUUCUUAACGGAGAACCAGUGGGCACGACCGAAUCCCAUCCGAUCCAGCAAUCUACAGACAUAACACGCCCAUGGGAGUUCACCGGCAGAGCCUUCCGGAACCUGACACUCCGACCGGAUCAAGGAGGACAGGCGUCAGGCAAAUCUUCGUCUUGUCACUUGAGGAACCCUAGGACCGCCCCCUUAAUUCAGGCCGAGCCCGCAGCCCCACGCCGCCGCGGCACCCCGGAUCAGAUCGGAGGGAUCGGCAGGCACCAGCACCUCGACCAACGACCCAGGGAUGCGCGAAUCUCAUCGAGGGCAGUAGGGGCGCCGGGAAAGGGCACCUCGCGGGUAGCCAAUGGCGCGCCGCCGCGCCAUGGAGGAGCAGGCAACACACCGCCUAAACAAAGCACCAACACAAUGGCCGGCUGCUGCCUCGGCCUUGAAUCUGAGGGGAAAACGCCGCGCCGCGAGAGAGAGCUCGCCCCGCCGCCGCCGUCCGCGGCACGGGCUUAGCCCGGUCGCCUCCUCCGAUGACAGCGAUGGGGGAUGGAGGGGUGGGGCUCGCGGUGGCCGGCGGCUGGGUCUCCCCCGUGUCGCUCGAGUCCAUGGCCACAAUUUCGUCGUGUGGACAUGUUCAGAAUGAAGCACAAGUGGUAUAGUAUAUUUUUUCUGCGGCAUCUUUUCACUAGUCUUGCUCUUUGUUUCGAUCCAGAAAACAGCAGCAGAAAUCAGAGAUUUGGGGCCCUUGGCACGACACCUCACUGUCACUGUCGUGCCUUGUGCACAUGCGUCUGUUCACUCGAUCCUCCCAUGGUACAAUAGCAUGUAAAGAAGGCAAAUGACAAGAAGACAUGCAAUCACCAGACAAAUUACUGAAUAGAUUAGGAGCAACUGUACUCGCCAUCAGUUACGUACGUACCAUGCAUUUGGAUGCCACGAACAUCUUACAAGUUACAGUCACAUCAUAUGUAUACCCCUUUUGUUGGAGAUUAUAACAUGUAAAUGAUGUAUGGCUGUUCGUAGAUCUCGAUCUAGUCGAUCAUGAGAGACAAUACUGACAAGACAGCUCACCCAACUGCAUUCUGAUCUACGGCCAGCAAUGCAUGGGCACCGACGCAUCAACCGCUCUUUCGUUCAUGCAAUGUAGACAAACGUUCUCCGUUGUUUCUUGAGAGGCAUCAACCAAUUUUUUGUUCUACAUUUAAGUGUAAAUAAUGGAAUGCGACAAUUAAAACCUGACGUGCACAGGAGCGCAAUUGGAUCGACAAAUAAUACACCUCAUGUCCAUUAUCAAGGGCCAGCCAGGGGACCAUGGACCCCCAAAUCCCCAGUACCACAGACGCAAUCCUACUGUUUUUGUAUAUAAACAACAAACCCGAACGUGCUGCAUCAGCAGUGAUACGGACUAGCAAGCGCUGUAGUCUUCCACUCAUCCCGGCCAUGGCUUGCUUCAAGCUCAACCCCACGUCCUUCGCGCUCGCCGCAGCCGUCGCCGUCAUCCUGGCGGUGGCGGCGCCGCGGCCGGCGGCCGGGGCGUCGGCGCACCUGCACGUGUACAUGCACGACGUGAUGGGCGACAGCGCGAUGAUGGUGGUGCGCGGCCCGCGGGGCAACUUCGGCAACACGGUGGUGAUGGACGACGUGCUGACGGAGGGCACGUCGGCGUCGUCGGCCGCCGUGGGGCGCGCGCAGGGGCAGUACAUCGUCGCCUCCUCCAAGGGAGGGUUCGAGCUGAUGGUGACCAUGAACGUGGUGCUCACGUCGGGGACCUACGCGGGGAGCUCGGUGACCGUGAUGGGGCGCGACGACACCGGCGUGGCGGUGCGCGAGCUGGCCGUGGUCGGCGGCACAGGGCAGUUCCGGAUGGCGAAAGGCUACGUGCUGUGGAAAACCGUCCGCCCCGACCUGCUGGAGCUCGACAUCUACGUCAACCCAUGAGUCACUGCCCACUGCCCACUCGGCCGAUUCAGCGUGCAUGCGUCAGUGACCUGUGGCAGCAUUACGUAAGUGUUGCGCGUGGUCGUUCAAAAUAAAAUCAGUGUUGCACCUUGUGUUACAAAGCGCUACGUGAAUGUUUGUGAUAUUGUUUUUAGUGUUUCUUUUAUUGUGUCAUUCUUUUUUUUUCGCGGGUGAGUGUCAUUAUUUUUGUUGGUCUAAGUGCAACGGAUUAUGAGCACCUGUCAUAUGUGGAUGCUGCUUGUGUUUGAAUCAAAUAAAUAUUUUGCAACUAUACAAUAAUAAUCAAACAAAAAAAUAUUGCUAUUUUGAAUUUUAAUUCUAAUAUAAUUGCUCUAAUUCAUG
rnacentral:lncRNA from 1 species